GUGGGUAGGGAUGUAAAUGGAUACAGAUAUCCGAAAUUUUAUCCGAAUCCGAAUCCGAAUGGGCUAAAUGGAUAUAGAUUCGGAUAUAGAUAUUUAAAAAUAAAAAUCCGACGAAUAUGGAUUCGAAUAUGAAUCUUGACUGUACCCGAUCCAAAUCUGAACCCGACCCGUACCCGAAUUUAUUUUGCAUUAUAUAUAAUAUAUGUAUAAAAAUUUAAUGUUAUAUUUAAAUUUUCUUUUAGCCCUUGUUUGGUUGGGGGUUAAGGGGUGGAAUAACCCCUUAACCCCCAUUUUAUCCCCAAACACUCCAAAAAAUGGGUGGGGUUAGUUAACCCCACCUCAAAUAAAUUAUCCCGGGUUAGUUAAUCCCAUUUAACCCCACCAAACUCCAACCAAACACUAUUUUCUAUUCAUAAUAACCCACUAUCUUUCUUAUCACACAUACUCCAACCAAUCAUUAUCUUUCUUUAUCAAUCAUUAUCUUUUUAUCUCAGCUACUCCAACCAAACACUAUUUUUCAUUAUUCUAGAUUAACUCCAACUCCCAACCAAAUAUAAAAAAACUUUAACCCCACUUUAACCCUAAACUUAACUCUAUCCCUGAAAUAGCUACUUUUUUCUUAACUCUGAACCAAACGGAGGCUUAAAAAUUUAGAUUUAAUGUAAUAUAUUUUGAAAUAUUGUAAAAAAUAAUUGUUUCGGAUUCGAAUAUAUGCGUUCGGAUUCGAGUUUUAAAUUUUGAUCAGAUUCGAGUUUGAAUAUGAAUUUUAAAACCCGUCCGGUUCGCAUUCAGGUUCGAAUCUCAGAGGAUUCGGGCUCGGAUUUUUGAAAAUCGGCCCCAAAUCCUACCCGCUGACAGCUGUGUGCGCUCCAACACGUUCCAGAGUUGGCAUAGAUAAUAUUGACCGUCCGAUGUCGCGUGAUCGUUGAUUUAUGACCGUUGGAUUGAGAUCGUGGGAAAGAACGGUAUUUCUCAGGGAAGAGGAAUAUACGCCGCAUCAUCCCUUUUUAAUAGAGGAUAGAGGAUAUAUAAAGGUUUAAAUAAUUUUUAUUUAGCUAAUACUUUUUUAUCUUUUAAAUAUUGUUUCAAUUUAAAUAUUUUUAAAAUUUAAUUAAAACUGAGGUAUAUUAAUAGUUUGAUAAAUCUAUUUUAAAAACAAUAAUAAAUAUUUCCGUUAAAUUUUAGAUAUGGAUCCGGUUGCGAUGAUAAUACGAUUUCAGCACAAAAAAUUAUCUACAACAAUACUACAAAAGGCUAAACAUAAAGUUACCUAUAGACUAUUUUGAAUGUCUAAUAUAUUUGUAUAUUAACUAAAUCUAUGAAGACAAAUAUCACAUUUAAAAUUUAAAGUCAAUGUGUCAUUAACUAACAAAGAUUAAACAAAUUGAAAGGAGUUAAAUCAAUUUUGAGAGAUUCAAAAUGAUCCAUAGAGUAAACUCUGCACGUUUUUUUGUACCUUAAAAAGAAAAAGGAAUUAACAAUUCUAUGAGUAUUAUCUGGUACCAAAUGCAUAUGGCUUAUCCACACCUUGACAAUACCAUCUUGCAAAAAUGGCAUGAACUAAGAAAGAAACCAACACUCUCAACUAACAAAGAAGUUCACACUUCAUGAACAAACUAAAGCUGAAUGAUCCUCAGUUGAUAGUGUUAUUGGCCUGCAGGAGACCAUCUCUUAUUUGCGCCGCAACGUCUCGAACGGCGCCCGGCCCGUGGGGGAUGAACACCGAGGUGGCCUUCGACGCGGCACCGAUCUCCUUCAUCGUGUCGAAGUAUUGCGUCACUAAGACCAUGUCCAUAACAUCCUUUGCCGAAGUGCCCGGCACGUUCUCGGAGAAGGCGAGCACGCUGUUCCUGAGCCCGUCGACGAUCGCCUGGCGCUGCCGCGCGAUCCCGAGGCCCGCUAAGUACUUGGACUCCGCCUCCCCCUCCGCGCGCUUGAUCUGAAGAAUCUUCUCGGCUUCCGCUUUCUCCUUCGCCGCCAGCCUCAGCCUAGCAGCUGUUACAGAACAUUGAUACAACAGUAAAAGUAAAUAUUUCUCUCCCAGUAUUUGCCAAACACUGCAAACAGAUAACUGCAGCGAAAAGCGAAAGAAGUAGCAAGGACCAAACAGUCCAAAAGUGUGAAAUUUCGCAUUAUUUCACAUGAUAUCAGAACAUGAGGUUCCGAGUUCGAGCCACGUCAGGCUUCUAGCAUUAUUAAUUUACUUCCAUUUAAUUCAAAUUCACAUCACGGGUCUUGCAAAAAGUCAAGAGUCUAGACGUGAGAGAGAGUGUUAAAUAUAAAAAUAUAUAAACGUCGUUCUCUAACAGCUUAAACUUUUAAAGUACAAUGGUUAUUUCGUAUUAUUUCACACAAAGAACUGCUAUAAACUUGCCUGCAUUGAUCUCGUUCAUCGCUCUCUUAACGUGCUCAUCAGGCUCGAUAUCGACUAUGAGGGUUUGAACUAUUUUGUAUCCGUAAGCCGACAUUGCCUAGAUCGCAAAGAAUCUAGGUUAAGAAACUCGUAAACAAAACAGCGUAAAAAAAGAAGAAGAGAGAGAAUAGAUUGAUUAGAUACCUUCUCAAGUUCAUCUUCGACGGCUUUUGCAAUAUCGUUUUUUUGCUCGAAUACAUCGUCUAUAUUCAGCUUAGGGACGCUAGCCCUGAUGACUGUAUAGAGAAUUUACAUUUGUCAGCAUUUACUACUGAUAAAAAAGAAAGUUAAAAAAAAAAAAAAUGAAGUUCAAGUACUCUAAGAAAAGCUACAAGUUUCUAAAUAUUUAUAUUAUGAACUAUGAGACUCGAAUUGGAAAAAGGAAACACAUUCAAAAAGAGAGAGGAUUCGCCGCGCUGAUUGAAACACUGCUUACCAUCAAAAACAUAGGAUUGAAUCUGCUUGCUCGGGUUGCUAAGCCUAUAGAAAGCGUCGGCGGCCCUACCAGCAAGAACAUGGUAUUGAACGGAUGCGACGACAUUGACAAACACGUUAUCCUGAAGCACAAAAAACUUUAUAAGAAACUAUAGCUUCAAAAGGCUAUGAUUUGCAUGCGAAACUAAUGACAUUUAUUAAUCCUGACAGAAAAAAAAAAGAAUAAAAUUAAGUCGAUUUGAGAGAUAUCCUUAGCUUUUUAAUUGUUUUUCUUUUGCAUAUUCCAAUCUUAUCAAAACUAUAGUCUCAAAGAUUCAAGUGUGUCAAUGUCCUUGCGAAGUCAUUUACGUACACAAUAGAGAAUCUGAGUUUACACACGCUCCUUCGCAAGCACUUUUUCUUACAAAAGUACGUUAUCUUAAGUUGAGGAAGCCGAUUUAACGGGGAAGUUGGUUUUGAAUCAGAAAAAGUUAUCUAACAAGGAGCAUACAAUAAGUGCAAGGGUCAUACGUUUUUAAGGGCAUGUAUGAUUAUUCAGAUAGUGCAGGGCUAUGUACUUAGAUAGAUAAUAUAUAUAACAAACGCGAGCGAACGUGCGCGCGCGCACACAGAAACAGAGAAUAACCUUCGUCUUUGUUUCGCAACGGACAUCAAGUUGUUGAACACGCAACGAAAGACGACCCGCAAUCUUCUGCCCGAAGAUCCAUGGCAAGCAGUGACAUCCGGGAUCAAGCGCCUCAUUAUAUUUCCCGAACCAUUCCUUGAUGGCUACCGUUGACUGCUCGACUUGGACGCAACAGAAUGUCUGCCCCAUUUUGUUAACUACAGAGAGAAGAAUCCAAAAAAAUAAAUAAACAACUUGCUAUUAACUAGCAUGAUAAAUGUUCACAUUCGGCGUAUCUGACAGUUCGUCAGUAAGGCUUAAAAGCAAUAAAUUUCCUUCAAGAUAAUCAAAACCUACAGCAAACCGUAACCUAAACUAACACGAUGUUAAUCGAUACUGUACCUCUGUUCUUUUUCAUAAAUUGAGGGGUUAUCUAUAGGUUUCAAUUAUCAAGUAAAGUACAGAUCCACAUAUCCAGGCUAGUUAUCUCGAUUUAAGUUCAAACUUCGAUUGCGUUCCUCUGGCGAGGCUUCGAAGCAGCAACUAAAAAGACUAGAAUUUACAAUCAGUUUCAGACUCUGAAACGAUGAUUCUCGUACUUCAAUUUCGUAAGAAUUUGCACAUUGCAUAAUAUACUAUGAAUUACCGCAAGAUUAAGUCACAGAACCAUAACAGAAAUUUUUUACAAUGGAUAGCAAACCGUUACUGUGCGGAAUUCAAAAAAGUGAUAAUCAGAAUAUUGACAGGGAGUCAAACUUCAAAAGCACAAUACUGGAGAUGACUCAGAAUUGAUGCAUACAAGAUGAUCAAAGAUAUAAGUACAUCAGAAUAAUGAUGGUUUGGUGGAGCUUUGAGAUGGCUUCAAUGUUCAUGAAAUCGAAGACCUAUCUCAACAAUUAUAUAUAUAUAAUCACAACUCAAAUCGUCGAUUGAUCAAAAACCGCGUAAUUGAAUCCUAAAAUUUUCUAUCCAUUCAACAUCGAAACCAAGGAUUUAAGUACCCAUCAGCAGGGACUGUAUCUACUGUGUUGUAUUGUGCCAAUAAAAUAUCGACACGAUACAGCCCAUAUGCCAAUGAAACAACUCAAAAUCUUAUAUUCUUUAAAUUAGUAAGUAAAUUUCAAGUUUAAAAACUUCGAUAAAAAUAUAUAAUAACCGGUUAGAAUAUUUUGUUGCUAAAAAUAAUAAUUAUUUCAUGCUAUUAUAUUUUGGCACGCAUGAAUUUUUGGUGACCGGCACGCAUUGGCGUAGCCCGACACGUACCAUAGCGAAAACUUGCCAUACCGUGCGAGCAAAUUACCGGCACGGUCCCGUACCAUGACGAUUAAAUCCUUGAUCAAAACUAAAAAUUCUUAAAGCAAUUGUACACAACCCAACGCAUCAAUUUCUCACCAAAAAAAAAAAACCAAUUUUGAUGUAAAAAUUACCGAAAAGGAGAAUAAUAAUAGUAGAAUUAAAGAGGUUAAGGGGUCUCUCAUACCUAUGGACGACGAUAGAAAAAGCACGAAGGGUUCGAGAAAUUAAAAAGUUAAUUAAUAUUUAAUAUUAUAAUAAUAAAAUUAAAAAAACCACACGGCUAGGGUUUUAUAGAAGAGUAGGGAGAGAGAGAGGAUAGAGACGAAGGGGUUUUGAAAGAUUCGGAGAUUGUCGUACGCCGAAUUAAUCGACGAAUCAGUGAAGAGCGAGAGCAAAGCAAAUUGUUCGUGAACCGGAUGCACCUUGCACCGACAAUCGUAGCCGCACAUUAGCUGCGAGUUUAAAAAAUGGGAUGAGAUGAACGGUCGAAAGGUACGGUGCAUCAAGGGCGAAGUGUGAACCUGGUUCACGAAAAUGUUGCGAUCGUUAGAGUAAGUGUUAACUAACUAACAAACCAUGCAAUCCGCACGCUAUAUUAUAUUUUAGUACCCUUAUCUUUAGCAUUUUUACAAAUAGAUCCCCGAACUUUUACUUUUUUUUUCCUGUGAGAUUAGAUUUCAUAAAUCUCAGGACGAACUUCCACAAGAUGUUCUCUUAUAUUAGUUUGCGAUAAGCUUGGCAAUCUAGCUCGCUGCUCGCAAGCCAACCCGUGUUCGGUUCGAAAUGAGUUCGAGAUCGACCAUUCGUUUAAUAAAUGAGCCAAACACAAUUUAAAAUUUUCAACUCAAAAUUUUAACGAGCCAAACAGGAACUAGAGUAAGCCGGCUUGUGCUCGGCUCAAUAUAGACUAUUUGAAUUUUAGUCCAACUCACAUAUAAAGAGGCCUAUAUUUUAUAAAUUUUAAUUACUAAAUUCUAAGGUUUGAGUUUUCUUUCAACUUUUCGUCGAGCCGUGUGGCUGACAAUUGAACUUGAUGUUCACGAGUUAGUUCGUGCUCGACUCGUUAACAAACAAACUGAACACAAAUUAAAUUUUUUAGCUCAAUAUUGAGCGCAAAUUAUAUUAUUGCAAAUCAUGGCUAGAUGCUCUGACAAUAUCAACUCAAUUUUUGGAUAGAAAUUAAUGGUUAUAUAUGAAUAUGAAUUCAGGUACUUUGAUGCUACAACGCAGUUAAUGUCCCUCACUCAAAUCCUAGCACAGUAGCACCUUGUCUCUACUCUCUGGUAAUUAGUUGCAUGAAAAGAAAAAUCCUUAAUAUUCUUCCCAUUAGAUAUUGGUUGUUGUAUUAGGAUCUCACAAAAUCCAUAAAAAUGCAUUAGGUUUUCACCUAUCCAUCUAACAAACUUAUUUAUCUGUUUCAAUAUCUAUAAAAUUCUUCUACAAUUUUAUUUAUUUUUAUUUUUUUUUGAGAGAUAGGUUGCACGCUACCCGCUUUGUUUAUUUCAUUUAGAAAUAAACUUAGCUGGAAAUAAUAUAUAAAUAUUUAUCUUAAAAAGAAAAGAUUUUGAAUGAUAAAAUAUUUAAUAAAAAAUAAAAUAUUAAUAGUUGGAGAAAAAAAGAUGAACUAAAAAUUUGUUUCGUUACGUUCUUGCGUACAAAAUAUUUUUUUUUAAAUUAAUGGGUUUGUCAACAGAUCAAAAUUUGAACUAUAUGCUUUUAUAUAUAAUAUAUGUAUAGAUAUCUACCUUAUGAAAGUCCGUGGUACUUUGUCCACGUGGCAACAUUAUCUUAAUUUAAUUUUUAUGGACCCUACCUGUCAGCCACACUAAUAAUAAUAAAAGUGGACCCUACCUGUCAGCCACUCUAAUAAUAAUAAUAAUAAUAAUAAUAAUAAUAAUAUUAGUUUUAGAAAAUCUAACCCGCCCCUACGCCCUUCCGCCUCCUCUUCUUUCGUUUUUUUUUUAUUUUUUAUUUCCCCCAAGCCGCCCUACGCCCUUCCGCCUCCUCUCAUUUCUUUUUCCUUUUUUUUCCCCAAGCCGCCCCUACGCCUCCCAGAUGGGCUCUGCAGGCGAAGGCGGAGAAGUCGACGGCGUCACACCCGGCGGAGAAGGAGGCGGCGGAGCAGCACAAGCAGGAGAGGAUCGACGAAGCCGAGGCCACCAAGCGGGAGGCGGUGACGGAGCGCCACCACGACGCUGCCGCCGCUGCCGCCGCCGCCGCCGCCGCCCGCGGUGGCGGUCAUGUUAUCGGGUGCCAGGCGGCGGGAGGGUACGUGGAGCCCGGCGUGGCGGAGUCGCAGCCGAUCGCCAUCGCGACGGGGAUGGUGCGGCCGUCGGCGGCGCACAACCCCCGCGUCGGCAGCGAACACCCGGAGCCCCGUGGUACCGGCAAAGGAUACACUUGAACUGAACUAAGGCGUCGGUUCCGGCUGGGGAGAGAAUAUAUAGGAAGAGCCAAAGGGAGAAGAGAAGGCCUACGCCGACACCUAAGCCGAUGCCGACGUCAGGACUCACCAGAAUGCUGGUCUUCCUCGGCGGAGCGCUCUNUAUUCGACUCGAAAUGAGUUCGAGAUCGAAUCGCUCGUUUAAUAAACGAGCCGAGCACGAGCUGAAAUUUUCAGCUCGUUUAAUAAACGAGCUGAAUACGAGCUGGGGUCAGCUCGUUCGUGUUCGGCUCGAUAACGACUCGAAUACAUAUAUUUUAUAUUUAUAUGUAUAAAUUAAUAAUUAUAUAUGCAUAUAUAUAAAUUUUUAUUAUUUGAUAUUUCGCCGAACCUAAAUAUAAAAUCCAACUCAAUUAUAAAAUAAUUUAUUUAUAUGUAAAAUUUUAAUCAUUAAAACAAAGUAUAACAUAUAAGAUCUUAUAAAUUUAUUUUAUAUAUAUAUUCUUUCUAUCCUUUUAAAAUCUUAUUCAUAAGCCAGCUCGUAUUCGGCUCGUUACUAAACGAGCCGAACAUGAGCCGAAUUUUUCGGCUCGAUACUUUAAGGAGCCAGGUCGUACAAGCCGAAAACACAAGCCAACCCCAACUCGCUCGUGUUCGGCUCGUUGACACCCCUAAUUAGGGGUGGCAAUCCUGUCAAAUUCUUGCGAACGAAAAAAAAUUUCUAUCGUCCCCGUCCUCACGGGGAUCUUCUUCCCCCGCGUGACUCCGCGAAUUUUUUUAAAUGCAAUAAAUUAAUUUUUAUAAAAUUUUAUAAAAUUUAAUUUUAUUCUAAUUCUAAUCACCUUACGUGUUAUUGAAUUAUUAAGUUUAUUUUUUUCUUUCAAUGUCAAAUUUUUAAGUGUGACUCAUCAAAUUACUAAAAUUGUAUAUCAAUAAAAUAUUAUUUAAGUUUAACUAGUAUAUUGUCUAAAAAACUAAAUAUGUUAAAAUAUUUAAUUAAAUUUAAAAUAUAUUAAAAAUAUUAAAAUUAGUUUUCUAUGUUUAUAAAUAAAUUAAUAAUAUAAUACAUUAUUGGACCGGGUGGUGAGUAAUAUCCCCGGCCCCGACCCGUCCUAUCCUAAUCUUAAUACAUAAAAAAAAGGGAAAACUUCAAAAACCCCCCUGUGGUUUCACACUUUUUUAUUUUAAUACCCUGUGAUUUAAAGUGUAUCAAGUUAGUACCAUGUGGUUUCGUACUUUAUCACUUUAGUACCCUGUGGUUUCACACUUUUUUAUUUUAAUACCCUGUGAUUUAAAGUGUAUCAAGUUAGUACCAUGUGGUUUCGUACUUUAUCACUUUAGUACCAUGUGGUUUCAUACUUUAUCACUUUACUACCCUAUGGUUUAAAAAAUCACAGGAUACUAAUUUGAUACAAAAUUACUUUACUAUCCUAUAGUUUAAAAAAUCACAGGAUACUAACUUGAUACAAAAUUAAAACCAUAGGGUACUAAAGUGACAAAGUGCGAAAUCACAGGGUACUAAAAUGAUAAAGUGUGAAACCACAGGGUACUUAAGUGAUAAAGUGAGAAACCACAGGGUACUAACUUGAUACAUUUUAAACCACAGGAUACUAAAGUGAAAAAAAUUGAAACCACAAGAGAGUUUUUUGAAGUUUUUCCUAUUUAAUUUAACACUAAGUUACAACUUAGUACACUAAGGCUUAGUUUGGUAUUGAAGCCUAUGUAACGCUAUUAGAUAAAAUGGGAAAAAAAAAACAUAUAGGAUAUGCUUCUGCGUUCUCCAGUGGGACCGUAGAAAAUAUAUCGUAACCGACUCAUCGCGAUAUGCAAAACGCAAUAUUACGUACGAAAAUAAAUAUGCUAUUUUUCCAACAUACUUUUUCACCGCACGUAACGCAAUCUCCCUGCAAUUUCAAACGAAGCCUAAAUUAAUCCCAAAAGGCCAAAACUAAGUUGAUAAUCAAAUACUAAAAAAGUUAACCGGUAAGUUGUACAAUUGUUUUUAAAAAUCCAAGAGUUCAAAUACCAAAACAAAUCAAAAGAAAAUAUUCGGUUCGGUUUGAUUUUCCACUCCAUUAAUUUGGUUUUGGUUUCCGAUUUUCUAAAACUGGAUUAGAUCGGAGUGGUUUCAAUUUAUCUUGUAAUCCUCCGGCCCAGUCCGGUCCGGUCUAAGAUGACCCACUAAACCAGGCCGACCCGCAUUGGACCCAGGCCCAGUUUAAACCGGCCGGUCUAAUUGAAUAUUUAUGAGUUCUACCGAGCUUGCGUCCGGUCUAAUCUGGUCCAACUUUAUAUUUCUCCAUUGGGUUCCCGGUCUAAGCCGGUCCAACUUUGUUAUUAUAUUUCUCGACAGUUUCGAGUCUCUUCGUCUUCGUCUUCGUCUUCUUCCUCCUCCCUUUUACUACUACGCCUACUUCGUCGUCGCGAAUUAGGGUUAGGGUUCUGCUUCCCAAGCACAACCUCCUUUCCCUAUCUCAAUCACCUCGCCAACUAGGGUUUCGAGGCAAGCGGGAGUGGGAAGAAGAAGAAGUAGACGACCUUAUAAUUCUGAUUCGAAACCCUAGAUCGCAAGCACCUCGCCAAUUAGGGUUUUGGAGGUGAUCACGCGGCGAGAGGAAGGAGAAGAAGGGAGGAAAGAAGAAGAAAGAGAAGAAGAAGAAGAAGAGGAAGGAGAAGAAGGGAGGGAUGGGAGAGCGGAAGGUGCUGAACAAGUACUACCCACCGGAUUUCGAUCCGGCGAAGAUCCCACGGCGGCGGCAACCGAGGAACCAGCAGAUCAAGGUGCGGAUGAUGCUCCCCAUGAGCAUCCGAUGCAACACCUGCGGCACCUACAUCUACAAGGGCACCAAGUUCAACUCCCGCAAGGAGGACGUUGUCGGCGAGGUAAACCCUAAUCAUAUCCCUCCCCUUUCGAUUAUUGUUAGUAAUUUCUUCUUCUAUGUUGCUCGAUUUUUGUGGGAAAAUUCGGGAAUAUGAUGUGCUAUAAUGUUUUUUUUUUUUUUUUAAUUUGAUGUCUAUCGAAGAGGGAAAAAACAAGGGCUUUUUAUGGGAAAAUGAUGAGAAAAACUGAAACUGAUUCUUGGAACUGUUAUAUCGCAUCUGUAAAUAUAUUGCUCAUUAUUGGUACAAAAUUAGAAAAUAAUGUUAUAAGAGGUUUGCAUUUUAUCCUAGAUACUGAGAUUGGUAUGGGAAAACGAGGUGGAGACUUGAAUUGAGGGUUGAAUGAUUCUUCUUUCCAUCAGGCAGGUGUAUCGGGGGAUUGAAAUUGAAUCCUCCUUUCGAUUCUUUCUGACCUAUCCUAUUAUGUUACCUGACUUUUCGAAGAAUUUCUUGGAUUGUAAUGUGAUGUGUGGUUCUUCUUUUGGUUCUCUGUAGGGGGAAAACUGAUCCGUUUAUUGGAGAACAUUUGGCAAACUACAAUUGGUUGUUGUAUUGUAGCUUAUAAUAUACUCCAUAUAUGAGGAUUUUUGUAGUUCCUGAAACUGAAAGUUGUUCUGCAAAGCGACUAUGAAACUGGAAUUGACUAUCAAAAUAUUGAAUUUAAUUUUGCAGACGUACCUGGGGAUUCAACUCUUUCGGUUCUACUUCAAGUGCACCAAAUGUUCGGCAGAAAUUGCUUUCAAGACGGACCCACAGAACUCGGACUACACAGUAGAGUCAGGGGCAUCUCGUAAUUUUGAGCCUUGGCGUAAUGAAGAGGAGGUGAGUGAUCUAAACAAUGCUAGCUAUUUGUUCGGUCAUUUAAUAUGUUUGUGAUGGGUGUUUGGCCUGACAUCUGGAUCAUGCUAUUUACUAAGAGCACCUGAAGCUAGAUGUUUUGGCAAAGAAAUAGCAUGGAGAUUUUGCUUUGAUUGGAAGCUAAAAUAUGUUACUACAAACCAAAAGUAGAAGCUCUAAUUUGAAGCUGUAUUUUCUUCUGCUUCAGUGGGGAGCUAUUGGAGGAAUUUAUGAAAAACCUGUUAAUCAUUUUGAACAACUAUAACAGAUCUUAGCUCUGAUGGGGGCCCAAAUCACUAGCUUCUAGCCGGGGCUGAAAGUUGAAAUAAGCUUGUGGAUCCCAUGGCAAAAGCUUCAAUUUGAAGCAUCUUUGUCUACCUUCAGUGGGAAGCUCUUGGGUUUUUUCUUUUAUUAAACAGCUCGUAAAGCUUCUUUGAACAUCUUUGUCAAAUGACACUUAAGCAGAAGCUUCAUCAGAGCCAACUGGUCCUUUAUCUGCAGUUUUUUACAUUAGGGGGUGCCGGUGAUGGUUUUUAAUGGAGUUUACUUCUUCUGUCAAUGUCAUUAGGCACUACAAAAUGACAAGAGGAAAAGAGAGGCAGAAGAGAUGGGGGAUGCAAUGAAGUCAUUGGAGAAUAGGGCUCUUGAUUCAAAGCAGGACAUGGAUAUACUCGCUGCUCUCGAAGAGAUGAGAUCAAUGAAGGUAUAGUUGCACUUUUCAUUUUAUGAUUCUUGGUUUUAUUUUCAUUUUCUAUAUGAUAAGCUGUCAUGGGAAGUUUGCUAGUCAUAAUAAGGAUUGGCUAAUUGGUAGUUUUGCAAUUUUCUCACCAAUGGGUUUCGUCAAUGAAGUGCUUAUGAAAAAUCAAUCACGUCAGAGUGUUUCUGGGGUCAAAACCACUUUGAAUUUGAUAAAUGUAUUUCUUGUGAAUUUUGGAAUUGAAUUGUACCCAUCUAUAUUGGGGUUUAUACUUAUUUUUGUACUAGCUGUUUUAUUUUCCAAUUUAAUAUGAAUCGUGCUGACUAUUUUUUUUUGUCUUUUGUCUUUUUUCUUUUUUGUUGGUUUGUUCUGCAGUCCAGGCAUGCAACUGUGAGCUUUGAAGACAUGCUGGAGACCUUGAAACGUUCGGCUUAUGAGAAGGUAGUAGCUUGCUUUGCUAGUUAUCUCUCUCGCCUUAUGUAUUUUCCUUUUUUCAUUUGGUGAGAUUUAUAUAUUAUUCAGUACUAUAAGAAGUAGAAUUAAAAGCAUAGUGAGCUUACCCAUAAGGAGUUCUUCCAAUUUUCCAAAGUGUCUUUAAUUUAUUAUAUGGCGUCUUGUAGACACAGAGCAGAAUGGAAGAACAUGUGUAGCUAACCUUUACUAAACGUUUGUUAUGUGCUAUCUCUUGUGCAUGAUCGAGUGCAAUAUGUCUUCCAUUUAAUAUUUGGUGGAAAGACCUCUGUGCAUUAACUUGUAUGUGUUGAGUGUGGCUCUGAGAUUUCUAAUGACUUGCCAUACAUUGACAGGAGCAAAAAGACAUGGAAGAGUUAGAUGAGGCAGAUGAAGCACUAAUUAGAUCAAUUGCUUUCCAUGUUAGUAUUUCUGCCUUUCUUUUAGUUUUUUAUUUCACUUUCAGUGUUGUUAUUGUAAUUUUCAAAUGAUUGUUAAUAUGCAAUUCAUAAAUUCAGGGUUCAAAAGAUUAUGUCCGGCGAUUGAGUGAUGAUGACGAUGACGAAGUUGAUCCAGAAAUAGGCCAACCUUCUUCAAGUGAACCAUUGGAUAGCAAUAAGAAGGUAUUCCAUUACCUAGCUUAUUGCUUUGCUGCAAAUUCUAGUAUUGAAAAUUAUGUUUUCUUUUCCUAUAAUGUCGUUGGAAAUGUUGUUUUGGUUGCAAAGUCAUUAUUCAGUGCAGAGCUUAAAAGGUUUUUUGGUUGUACUUUUCCACAUUGACUAAGCCUAAAAUAACAUCAUAGAUUCCCUGUAUUAUCACUGCUAUAAUACUACUUUUCUUCUUUUUAUUUUUAAUCCAAGUUAUUUAGCAUGGCAAUCUUUGUGUUAUUUGCUUGUUAUUUGACACUCGUAUUGCCUUUUUUGUCAUUAUAUAUAGUAUUCACAUGUGGUGUAUGAUUAUUGUUCUAUACUACCUGUGUGAUAGAUUCAUACCUAUAAUGACACUAUUGUUGUUCUGAACGGAAUUUGGCGUACAACUUAUCACCUUUUUUUAUGAUUUAUACUAUAAUCUGUGUGUGUGUGUGUGUGUGUGUGUGUGUGUGUGUGUGUGGUUGCUGAAUCUCAUAUGUUUCUUAUCUUUUGAAGGGGAAAAGUUCCUUACAACUCCAAAGUACAAUUGCAAAUCCAACAGAUGCCUUGACAAAAGCAAGCAUCUCUGACAGCUCAAAAAAUAAAGGUGUUUCUCUUGCUGAAGAUCGUGUUACUUCAUAAUGGUUUUUUUUUCUUUCACUGAAUUAGCUACAAGCUAUUUUAGAGAGGAAUAAAUUUUUUUUUAAUGCUUUUAUGCUCUAGUAUUUCGCCAUGCUUUUGCACCUUUUAUGUAGUUUUAAGGUUUUGAUACUUAAAUGCUCUAACUCUUGUUUCAUUUAACGCAAAUGAAAAUAUCCCUCAGGUUUUUUAUUUGUCGAGCAACUUCCAUCUUCUGUUAAGUACCAACGAAACUGUUUUCCAUUUAGUGUGUAUGGCAUGGUGGCCCGCUGGCCCUAUAGCUUCUUACUUUUUCUUUGAAGAAAUCAUUAAAUAAUUAAUUUCUUUUUAUGAUCCCUCUAUGGUAUAGUUACCUCACAUCUCGCCACUUACUCAAAAUAAUGUUCUUUGAAGGAAACCGCUUUUUCUUCCUUUUUUUCCCCAAUUAGUUUGCAAAGCUCAUUAAAUUUGGGUUAUCGUGUCCUUACCAUCAAAUGUAAUUUUUACAGGGACUAGAAGUGGCACAUCAGUUUUAAUGCCAAAAUUCAUAUUGAAACCAAAGCCUACAAAGGAUGAACCUUCUUCUAAGAAGCCUCGGUCUGAACCCGCAGCGAUGGACCAAUCAGGAGACACAGGAGGAGAAGGUGAAAACAAACUGAUUGAAAGCAACAGUAAUACAGCGAAUGGCCUUCAAUCUCUUUGUCAAAAUUACGACAGCGAUGAGAGCGACUGAUUCUGCGAUAUACCAUUACUUGCUGUUAUCUUUUACUGGGAAUUGAGACCUCUGGCCAUGUACAAUGAAGAGGCAACCUCUCUAGGUUUCAGUCGGACUUCGAGAAAUAAUGACAAGAGUUGUUUCUAUUUCUCUCUUUGGCCGAAAAUAUUAGGGCAUUAGUAUGCCUUGUUUCAGGCCUCAGAAGUUAUUCCCUGUACACACUGUAAAUGUUGACAGUGCCAGAUAAGAUACUGGUGAAAUGGGAGAAAGGUGUGUAAUGUCAAAUGUGGGCCAUCACCAAUGUUUAGAUGUUGUGCUACAUUAAGCUUGAAGCUUGUUUUUAAGGAAUUUGUUUAGCCAGAGCAAUUCCUUGCCUCUGUCUAAAAAUUGAAUUGAGCUUAAAAUGUACCGGUGCAUCUUAAGUUUAGUACAACGAAUUUUUGGUGCAGAUUUGUUCUUAAGUUGGGUGUGUUGGACAUGUUGAAUUUGGGCUUUUUUUGGGUCUUUUAUUUAUGGGCACAAAAAAAAAAAGAAGAGUUACAAGCGAGCCAUACCCCUUGCUUUGCUUUAAGAUUCGAGCCAGUGGAUUAAUGUAGUGAUGUAUCCCCCCGCUUCGCUUUAAGAUUCGGGUCAGUGCGGUGAUGUAGUGAUGUACUUCUCAAUCUACUGAGAUAUCAAUUGCUUGAGAUAUCAAUUGAAGCGAGACUAUUAUAAGAACAAUACACGAUUCCAAAAUUUUCACCGUUACAUAUUACAGGUUGCUGUAAUUACAACAAGGCUAUUAAUAUUAGCAUAUAUCACCCCAAACAAAACCACAAGCAAAAUCAUGUCAACAAGAAACAAAACAAAACAAAAGAAUGAUAUACAUAUUCUCCAGGUGCGUCUUUUGUCGAUCACGAGAGAACGUUGAAGGACUGCGCUUCUUUCGCGACCUUAAUGAAGACAUCCUCCAACGUCGUAUCGGCCAAACCCCAAGCAUAUAUCUUGAGCUUGCUCUUCGCACUCUCGACCGCUCGGAAAACAUCCGCUAUUCGCACUUCUUGUUUCGAGAGCUCAAACUUUUGGGUCCCUGAUAUAUGGUAAAUCUUAUUCGCACUCGGAGAUAGCCGUCGAACUAAGCUUUCCACUUCUGCUUCUUCAUCUGAAGAUGUAGUCAUCGUGAACACGUAGGACCCGCCGUAUCUUGCCUUGAGCUGCCGUCAUAAACACCGAUAAAAACACAUUUCAAUAACAUGCAUUGGUGCUAAUCUUUAUUAGUUAGAGAACAAUCACCAUAUAAAUGCAACUUUUGGAAUAAAAAUUUGUCAUCAUACACAAACUGAUAUUUUCGGCUUACCUCAGUAGGGUUUCCUAAGCAUUGGAAGCUUCCAUCCACGAAGAUACCAAGCCGAUCGCAUAAAACCUCUGCCUCCUCCAUUGAAUGCGCUGAAGCGAUUUUUUUUUUUUUUUUUUUUAACUUUCUCAGUGAGUAGAAGUAAUCACAUGCAUAAACAAUAAAAAUUUGCAUAUUUCAUACUAAUAGUUGAGAGCAAAUGUAUGCACACAGCAUGCAAAGCCCUUGCCAAGUUUAGGCUCAUCAAAGUUUUAGUCAGUGGAAAGAAUAGGAGAGAAUAAGGUUACAAAACAAAAAAACUGUAUUAAAGAAAAGAACAUACUAGUAAGGAUAAUCGCGCGAUCUCUUUUCGCACGCUUCACGACGUUCCAUAAGUUGUUUCUUGAUGCUGGAUCCAAUCCUGUGCUUGGCUCAUCCAUGUACACAACCUGUGCAUACAUUUUAAAGGAAUAUGCAUGGUGCAAUGAGAAUGUUAUGCACAAGUAAUAGCCUAUUAAAAGGAUCUUAAAUGUAAUAUUUAUGAGAUAUAUAUAUAUACUUUAGGAUCGCCAAUUAGUGAGAUAGCCACACUAAGCCUCCUCUUCAUGCCGCCGCUGUAUUUGCCAACUUGCUUGUCGCCGACGCCACCGUGAAACAGAUUCACACUCUUCAACGAUUCUUCAACUGCCUGGAAAAUGCAAUUGUUGGAUCCAACAACAUUCAUAGGAGUAAAUAGAUGUUUGGUGGUGCAUUUACUACUAUACAAAAUAUACUCGCGCGCCAUGAAACAUACUCUACAUAUAUAUAUUCAAUGUAGAAUAAACAGAUGUAAAAGAAAGAUAAACAUGCUUCUAGUGUCUUUCAACAACUAUUUGAAGUUAUCAAACAAAGUUUUCUACGAAUAGUUAAGGGAUUUGAGCCCAAUAUGAUUUAUAUAAAUCGAAGUGCUCACUUACCACCUAAAGUUCUCUUAUUGAUUUCCAAAUCUGCAUGUUCACUUAAUGUAAUUUAAUCAUGACAAAUUAGAAAUUAAAGGCCUGAAUGAUCUAUCUAGAGCUACUACAGAACUGCCCUUUGAGUUAGGCGUUGCAAUUCGAGUUUGCAAGUCAUGUUCACAUUCGACAACCAUGUUACUCGUGUCAAUUUGAAGAUCGUUGAAAGGCCUAUAAUAGCAACUUAAAUGCUCAGAACAUACAAUAAUUUUGCAUGUGUCAUAUCGUGUCAUGUCAUGUCAUUUUCAAGUUAAACAGGUUCUUAUAGUGUCGAUUUCAGGUUUCUCUCAAUAACUUCAUGUCGUAUUUGAUCAUAUUAGGUCAUGUUAUCACGUCGUGUCUGAAAUUUCGGAAGGAGCAUUAACAGUUUUCCUGGUGAGCUCCUCCAAGUAGCUUACUUUAUCGCAAAAGUGCUUUCGAGUCAGAAAACUAUUCCUUCUUUUCUAUUUUUUUUGUGGCCCAGAAGUUUAUUUCUCUUUCCUGUAAUACCGAGAAGCUCCAAGUUUACUUGCAACUCUACUUUUAAUUGAUGAAACCAUACAACUUUGGUUGAGUUUAUCAAAGAGUGAAUCAGAUAUAAACCAUGCAUAUAACUGAUUUACCUGCAUUAAUGCACCACCCUUAAGAUUCUUCAGUCGGCCAUAGAACAAAAGAUGCUCCCUUCCGGUUAAUGUUUCCCACAGCAAACUGCAUUUCGAACAAAUAAUUAGUUGAAUCAAAACCCAAAUCUCUAAUUUAUGUUUACACCAAUUAACCUUAUAGCUAACACGAAAGAACGGUAAGUUUAGGGACAUACUCAUGCUGCGGACACACACCCAUGCUUGUGUAUAUCUCAUCCAUACUCGUCCGUAUAUCUAAUCCUUGGACAUAUGCUGUGCCUGAGCUUGGUGUAAUAAGCCCAAUCAUCUAUUAACAGAAGAAAUACAAGUUCAUGUUAAGACCAUAAUACAUGCCUCUUAAAUACCUGCAAAAUUUAAAUUUUUGUAUAUACCCCUCGAAAUUGUAGCUUCUUAUGCAAGCACCUUCAUCUUAAAUUGGGGAGUCAUCGAUGUCAAGCGACAGAGUUAGUUUUGUAUUAGAAAUAAAGCUUUUUUGAAGGGCAUAUAUGAGAACUCAAACUUUGUAGGGAUACAUGUGUGUAUGUAAAUUGACAAUUCAGCAGUAUAUAUGUAAAUAUUAUCAUUAAUUGAUAAAAAUUUUCAUGGCUUUCCAAUAUCCACAGUUGUUGCUCACUUUACGGUCUUAUUAAACAUUAGUGAGAAUGGACGGAACUGACCAUAUUGAUGAAAGAAGUUUUUCCGGCACCAUUAGGGCCAAGCAUUCCGAAACACUGCCCUUGAGGCAAAGCAAGAGCUAAUCCACGGACGGCGAGCUUGUCCGGAUUUCCGUCCCUUCCUGGAUAAACUUUUUUGAGGUUAUUGCAGACGAUCGCAUGACUAGUACGGCCGGAUUCUGCUAGCAGCUGCUCAACAACCUCCCUCUGAAAAUAAGUUAAGAAACGCAAAGCAAGAACAUAGGAAAAUAAGGAACCAAUUAUCUUUUCUGGGAAGUGAUAAAAAGUUUGUAAAGUACAUCAGAAUACUGGCUUUUCAAAGUACAUCAGAAUGGCAGUGAAUUAUGUAUUUUGUAUCCGCGUGACAUAAACCAGACUUAUUCUGGGCAGAUAACCAAGAAUUAUUAGCUGCUAGAGGCGAGUCCGCAAAAUAUUGAGACAAGUCCAACAUGCUAUCCAUUAAGAAAGCGACUCACUAUUAAUAAAAAUUUGAAUAUAUCUGAUACAUAUAGCUUGCUAAGUAUAAUUCAUAGGUGCGAUAGUUUUAAAGCGGAAGAUUGAUCUGAAAUCUUGCCGUCUGUUCUUAAGACAAAUGUAUGCUCUCAACCAUAUUCUAUUACAGAAUAGUUUACAGACAUUUCGUUUCUCUUCUUUUGUUUGAUCGACUCCCGACCAACUUUCGACCAUUAUCUAUGGAUAUUUCUGUCGAUUCAAUUGAGGAUUCCACUAUUUAAAAGUGACUCAAAGUAGUAUAAAGAAAGUUCAUACGGUGCAAACUAGUAAAAUGAACUUACUUCUUGAGCCACAUCAGGUUUCUCCAUAUCAACAGCGACUUUCGAUCCUUGGCUUGCCAAACUAGGUCUUCUCCAAGAUAGUGAUCGCUUCUUUUGAAAAUAUCUUAAGAAAAAUAGAGGGUCUUUCCUCAUUCCACCUCCUAAUGAAGAGGCUUGAUCCAAAUAGUAUGCAAGAGGGAGCAACACUACCCAUUCCACAGUCAUUACAAUCAUUACGUUCUUCAUACCGUUUAUAGGAUCACUUAAAUCUUUCCAUCGCAUUCCCGAAGUGCCCAUGUUGUUCCCCAUGAAAGCAUACUGAGCAAAUUCAUAUAGCCCGCGCCAUAAUGAAAAGCCAGGAACAAGCUCUAUGACUAUAAUCCAACCUCCUAAAAUAGCGAAAAAUUCAAGUUAUGUAUUCAUACGAUUUAAGAGAGGAAAUUAAAGUGGUAAACUCUUUCAAAUGAGAAUCAGCUACUUACUCGGAAAAGAAGUGUCUUCGACGAAGAAACGCAAAAGAAAUUCUCCUAACAAGCCUGACCCAAAUACGUAUAUAUACCCAAGAACUGCACCAUAAGAUGUUCGGACGAACACAGUUCGUCAUUCAACUCUCAAGAAGGAUGUAAAGUGAUUUUAGUUUGAGAUAUCAACCUAUAUACGUGGACAGAGAUAUUUCCUGCAAAAUCUGAAUUUUCAUAAAUGUGUUUCUUAAAAGGUAUGUUUGUAAGAAUUUUUGAGCGGUAUAUAUGAAAAAUUCAGAUUUUACAGGUGUAUAUUUGUUGAUUGAUGAUUAUGAAUCUGACCUGUAGCAGUCUUUACAGAAGAGAAGAAAGUUGCGGCGAGAAAGGCUAAUGCGAUCUGCAAGUUGAUGUAAAUGAAAUAGAAUACAACCUGUAUGCCGUAGUCAUUCAAUUUGAAGAACUUUAACCCUGCAAAAGAAUAUAAAAAUCCAGUUAAAGCAAAUUUUAUUUGAGAUUUGUAUAGAACAGUGGUAGUUCGUAACUAGAUGGUCGUACCUACUAUAGAUCCAAAAAUUACAAAACAUAUCAUAUACAGAGCUGAGAGGCAGAAAAAGUAAGCAUAAGAUAUCAUCCAGUAGGGGCCAUCCUUUAGUCCAUGCAUUUUCAUCAUAAGUUUUAGCUUUUGCUGCUUCUCGUAGACUAAAUACGUCAAUAUAACCUACAAGUAAAAAAAAAAUUACAAGCUCGUUAGAAUCACCUCAUAGAAUUUAGAUAGCGUAUACUUAACAGCAAAUGAAUAUUUUUAGUUUGGCCUGACUUCUGAAACAACUUCUCUAUUUGAAGAAGUAGCAACCAAGCAUUUGACAACUAAAAAAUCAAUAGCUUUUUCUUGCGAUUUGAAGGUUCAGCCUCUGCCAUACUGGGAGUUUGUAGGGGAAGAAAUAAAUGAAAAACCUGUAACGGCUUUUCUAAUUCAAGACAACUUCUAUGAAAACUCGAGCCAGGCCAAAGUCCAAAGCGGGAAAUCCUAACUUUGAACUACUAUGUGUAAAGAAUACCACCAGACAAACGCAUAACGUGAGCUACCACAUUUACCAAUAAACUAAACUAAAGGCCAUUGAACUCACUGGAAAAAGUAGCUCGAUGAUCCAGGUAAAGAACAAUGCACCAAGAAGGGAGGAGAAAUCGAAUCUACUCUUUGUUGCGGGCUUGGGCAUCUCUUUCACAUACUCAAGUUGCAUAGCCAACCCAUCGCCUUUGAAGAGCUUGAGGAAUGCGCUAGAGGCCUGUAAAAAUAAUUAAUUUUACAAAAAGAAUCAUCAUAAUCUCUAAUCAAUAGCAUCAAAAGAUAUAGAAUUUCGACUAAAAUGGAGGUAAUUGCAAAUUGAGCCAUAAAGGUCAAGUAUCCGAAAAGGCUCCAAUAUCUCGGUAAAAAUGCAAUAAAUGAGAAAGUUGAAUUCACUCGAAUAAGUUCAGUUCAUCAUAUGAGUUCGUAAUUUCAGUUGUUUGAUGGAGAGGAAAUUCUGUAGUUUUGGAUGAAAUGAAUGCACUUACCGCAUUCAAUGAGCGUGGAACUCGAAGCAAUGCAAUGCUAACAUAUCCGGUGUCAUUCUUGUAAGUUGAGUUGUACCAAAUAUUUACAUUGAAACCAUUCUCACUAGUAUCCAAGAAGUCGUAAGCUGCGAACGGUAAGUGGAAGUUAGCUACGGAACCUAGUAAUAACACGAAAAAGGAGAACAAAAAGAAAAUGUAAACAAGAUAACCUGUGAGAAAUUCAUUUGUCUCCCUCGCCGUGUUUCCUUGUCUAUAACCCUUGUAUAAGUCACCAUUUAUCGCUGACGAACUAUUACGCCAUAGCGAUAAACCUUGAACACACUCGACAUCUGUUCCAUUUUCAAAGAAUAAUGAUGUGAAAUCGUGGCUGUUUUCAAAGGAAUAUAAUGUGAGCAUUCUGCCAUAUGAGAUUAGUUCGAAACAGCGUUUUUGAAUUCAUCUGUAUUGAAUUGGCGCGAUGCAGUCUAAAAUUGAUAAACAUGCGAAAUAUAUACAUUCAUGUGAUUCAACAAAUAACAGUAAAGUUUUAAACUAUCAGAAAUACAAAAGAAAUAAAAAUCUAGAAACUUCCUAAAAUCAUCAGAAUUAAGUUUUUUUUUUUUUUAAAAAAAAAAAGUAACAAGCUCUUUUACCUAGCUGAAUUGGGAAAUUGUCGAUGUCUACAGAAACUGAAAGAUUGAAGCUUGGCAGACACUGAGGCUGGAUCAGAUACAGUGGUCUAUCAGAGACAAAAGCCGGUUCUAUGUACUCCGUAAAUUGCGGAAUUGUGUCCGUUCCCUGCGAGAUUUUUUUAGAAAAAUCAAAAUAAAUGGAAAGAACAAAAGUGAAUAAGUAAAACAAUUUAAUCAAGAUAUUCAGAUUGUUAAAUUUUGGUUUAGAUUUGUAGUUAUCUAAAUUGAGGAUAAAUCCUAAUCUAAUUGAGAUUAGAUAUUAUUUAGAUUUAAUUUGGCAUAUAUGGAUUAUGAGUCGGAAUCUAAUUUCUAAUUGAAUUAGAAUUAGACCCUAUUUAGGAGACAUGUAUUAUAAAUAUAUGCUACGGUCAAAUUAAUCCGUGCGACAAAAUUAAGAGGCCAUGCACUAAUUAAUUAAGUCUCUUGGAGGGUACGGUUGUUGCCGGAGAGAACCAAGCUUCGUGUUAAUUUGGUGUUUUCGGUGGCUGCAUCAUCACGAGCCAAGAGAGAGUUGGAGCUCUAAUUAAUUAAGUGAGCAUCCGAGGAGCCGGCGACUAAUUAAGCUAUUGGUCCGUACGGUGAAGGAGCCGCACAUGCCAUGCUAAUUAAUUAAGGUGUUGGUCCGUACGGGUUGAGAGAGCCGAGUCGCUUAUUUGGAGUCGCAUGUACAGAUGCGGAUUUCGACGUUUCCGAUCUAAUUAGAGUUCGGGGUCCUUUGAGAGAUUCAAUUUUAUACUCCGCCUUUUUUCAAUAUUAAUAAAGUAUUUGCUCCGUCUUCGUCUGUGGACGUAGACCGUUGGCCGAAUUAUGUAAACAUCGGUGUGUUCUUUCCACUUUAUCUUUUCUUUUUUUUGCAUUAAAUUAUUUUCGGAUCUAUUUUUUCGCCGUUCGGAUUUCAACACAGAUAAGUAAACUCACAGGAAUAACAUUGGCUAGGAUGUUCAGAAAAUCAGAGAAAUUGGGGCUGGAGGAAGGAAUUGGUGUGAACAACCUCCCUGCAAUACCUGUCAACAUAGAGAAAAACAAAAGAAAAGAAAAAUUAUUGUUAAGGUACUUCAACCAAAAAAAAAAAAAAAAAAAAAAUAAUUGUGAAGUAGAACACUAUUUGGUGCUUGUUUAGCGCUGCUUCGUGAACAGUUUCUCUACUCCAAGAAAUAGAAACCAUGCUACUUAGCGAACACAGUAAAUUUUGGCUACAUCUGGACGUGUAAAUAAACUGCAGACACUUUGUUAGAAAAAAAACCCCACAAAAAAUCCAUAUUUAGCUUCAGAUAAAUAUUUUAUGGACAUACUCUCCAAACAAGCAAUCUUGUUUGGAGAUUAUCCGGAUGGGUGCCACGUGGCGAGCGAUGUCUAUCCCAAAAGCCCAGCAAAAAAUGACGACCAUUCCAACUCUCAAGCAUUUUAAUUCAGCAAAAGUAAUACUUUUGUCGGGCAGUGGGGAUGGACUCCGCUCGCCAUGUGGCACCCAUCCGGACAAUGCCCAAACAAGAUUGUUUAGGAGUAUGUCCAAGAACUUCCUGUUCUCGGUUAAGCUCAAAAUCUCAUUCCAAACCAAUGCAAAAUCCGUAUAUAUAUAUAUAUAUAUAGAGUUGAGCUAUGAUACUUUUAUAAGUAUCACCAUCAUGGUGCUAUUAGGGUUUAAGCCAUUGGAUCUAUUUUUUGAUUAUUAAUAGCCAUUUGAUUAAACACUAUUCCACCUACCACCACCUACCACCACCUACCACCAUCAUCUCAACCUCACAUCUCUCCAUCCAAAGGCUAAAAACACACAAGUAUCACCCCCAUGAUACUUUUACAAGUAUUCUAGCCUCACUCUCUCUCUCUCUCUCUCUCUCUCUAUAUAUAUAUAUAUAUAUAUAAUUGAGCUUCUAUAUUUUUAAAAGUAUCUAAGUUAUUGAUGCUUAUAGAUUUUUAGCAAUUGGAUUAAAAGAUAUGCUGUUAAGAUGAUGUGGACCCCUAGAGUUUAGUGGGUGGUUGGUUGAAUAGUAUAAUCUAAUGAUUGAAAAUGAUCCGAAAAGUAGAUCUAACGGUAAAAAACUUACAAGCACCAAAUGCUUGGUGCUUUUACAAGCACCAUAGCUGGACUCAUAUAUAUAUAUAUAUAGAACUAGGCUACUAUGCUAUUAAUAGUACCAAGUCAUUGGUGCUACCAAGUUUUUGGCCAUUGGAUUAAGUAAUGUGCGGUUAGGAUGAUGUGGGCCCCCUAGGGUUGUGUGGGUGGUUGGUUGAAUAGUAUAAUCUAACGAGUAAAAAUAAUCAAAGAGAUUAAUCUAACGGCAGAAAACUUGAUAGCACCAACUACUUGGUGCUAUCGAUAGCAUAGCAGCCGGACUCUAUAUAUAUAUAUAUAUAUAUAUAUAUAUAUAUAUAUUAUAAUAUAGUUUUGAAUAUAUAGUAUAAUUAUAAUUAGAGUGAGGCUACUAUGCUAUCGGAAGCACGGAGCCUUUCGUGCUUACACCUCAUUUUUUAUGUUGCGACUUUUGAAUCGUCGAUCAGCUUCGUUAAACUUGAUCUAGAGUAUUUGGAGUACCUAGAAAAUAAAUUUUAUUAUUUUUCGAUAUCAUGUGCCUAGUGAUCGAAUGGGUUCAAAAUUAAUAAAUUUCAAUGGCCGUAGUGAGCCGUUUGCAAGUUUAACGGUAUAGAAAUAUCCAAAUCACGUGAAAUUUUGAUAGAAAAUUCUUUAUACUAUAUAAAACAAGAUCAAUAUCUUUGAUUUAAAAUUUUAAUGUCAUAUUAUUAUAUUUUGUAAGAUUUUUAUUUUCAGCCGUUGAUUUUGANUCAUCAUGGUCGUCAUCAUCAUUAUAUUAUUAUUAUUAUUAUUAUUAUUAUUAUUAUUAUUAAUAAUUAGUUAGCAAAUGUCCAACAAGUUUAUGCAUAUACCUUGGGCGAGCGAGCGGUUCCGGCCGCAGCAGCGCCGGCCAGCGGGGGGGUCUGGGGAUGGCGCACGUCCCGACCUGAUCGAGCGUCGAGUGCUGCGGCCCGCACACGCACGCGCCGCCGCCGCUGGGGCACGUGCAGCCGCAGCGGUACUCGGGCUUGUCGAGCUCGUGGUCGAUGACGCCCUGCAACACCACCAGGAUCACGCACAGCAUCACCGGGAACGCCACGAUCCCCACGUUCGUCUUCAGGUUCCGCUUCUGCAUAUAUAUAUAUAUAUAUAUAUGCUCUCAUUCAUUCAUUAUAUAUAUAUUUUUUUCUUUUUUUAUUACAAACUAUAUAUAUAUUUUUAUUAAUUAAUGAAAAAAAUGCAAAUCAAGUGAAAAUGAGCAUGACUUAUAAUUUAAAAAAUUUGAAAAUUUAAUAAAUAAAAAAAAUCAAUCAAAGCUGUAUAAUGAAGUCUUAUAUUUAGUGUUCAUGUGACCGAAUUUACAAUUUUUUUUUUUCUUUUUUGCUGUAAAAUGCAGAGCGAUUAACCCCGUGCGUAAUUGUAAGCAAAUUUACGAAACAAACCACGCACAAAAAAGAUUUAGAUCUAGAGAGAGAUUAGAGAGAGAUUAGAGAGAGAGAGAGAGAGAGAUGAUCACCUGGAACGUGAGGUUCUUCCUCAGAAGAGCAUUAGCCUGGGUCGAAAAACUAGCAGUGCCUCGCAACGACGGUUCCAUUCACAAAUCUCAACUUAAGAUCCCAAAAAUUAAUAAGCUAGUAGAGAUAGAGAGAGAGAGCCUCUAAAGAGAGAAGCUGUAGUGGUUGUUCUUUUUUUUUCUCUCUCUCUCUAUCUUCUUUUCUUUUUUUUUCUUUUUCUCUCUUUUUCUUUCUGAUCAGUAUACAGAGACUUGAACAAUGGAACAAAGGGAAACCAACAUUGCCGGCCCUUUAAAUACACCGGCCGAUCAAUUUGCGGCUCGUCGUCUGUGGACCGGGUCUGGUAGACCGAACCAAUCGGAAUCCUCGAUAGUUGGGAGAAAACAUAUGUUUUUUUUAUUGAGAAAUACUCCAAUACACCGACCAAUUUAAAUCUGACCAUUCCUUUUUAAAGAUUAAAAAUUGACUUUAACAUAAUAAUAACCUACUCAAUAGGUUACUAUUGACUUAAAUGGGCCAGCAUCCUACACUGUGGCGAGAAGGCAUGUUGGACCGAGUCAUGUUCGAAAUGACGUGAGACUGGGUGGGCCGAGUCAUGUUCGAAGUGGCGUGAGGCUGGUUGAGCCGAGUCACAAUCAAGAUCUGUGGGUGUUGUAUUUAUACGCUUAAGUGAAUUGGUUGCGUAUUUCUAACAGCUCGAGCUUUUGGGAUUAAUGGUUAGCGCCAAUCCGACAGUUACCGAUCGAAAUCAAUCUUAAAUGCAAUAUUAGAUUAGAAAAUAUAUACUAUCCAAUUACUAAAUUGAAUAGCAUCUAACAAAUCUUUCAUUUCCUAAUUUAAUUUUGUUACUUGCCAAAUUAGAUAAUAGCUAAUUUGAUAAGUGGUAAAUCUUCAUAAAUUUGAAUUUAAAAUUUAACUUGAUUUUAAACUUUAUGUUUAUAAUUUUAUAGGUUAACUUCAAACUUAAAUUUAAAUUUAAAUUUAAAUUUCAGAAAGAAAAAUUUAUAUUUAAAUCAGUAAUACAUUUAAAAUCAAAUUGUCAACUCAAUCUUCAAAUAACAUGAAAGUUCAAAAAUAUUAGUCUAUUUUAAAUUGUAAUUUAAGUUAUACUCUACUUAUAAAUCCAACUUUUAUUAUUUAUUUAAAUAAAAAGUUUCUAUGUUUUAAAAUAAAUUCAAAUUGUUCAUUUAAUAUUCAAAAACAGGAUUAAAGUUUAAAAUAAUGAUCAAAUUUAAAUUUUAAAUUUAGAUUUAAUUUAUAUUAUAGUUAAAAAGCUAAUUUUUAUUAACUAUUUAAACAUAAAAUUUUUAUAUUUGAUAAUUAAUUUUAAAUUAUAAAUCACUAAAAAUUUAUGAUCCAGUGUCAUCGUAUUUAAAAAUUCGUUUUCUCCGUGUAGUAUGUAACAUUUUAAUGUUGGCUCUUUUUUUUUUCCAAUAUAUUCCUAUCGCACAUACUUGGUAACGUCACUGCCAGUGGAAUAACAUGUUUUUUUUUUUUACACAUAAAUCUUAACCUUCCAUUAAUUAGAAAUAAAUGGCUAAAAUUACAAUGGAGUAUUGAAACAUUGCUCUUAUUUAUUUAUUUAUUUAUUUUUGGACUUUUAUCUGAUGUGGAUGUUCCAAAAAUAUAGAAUAAUUAUAGUUCUCCAAAAAAGUAAGCUAUCGGAGAAUGAUAUUUUUAUAAUUUAUAUUUUGCUGGAGAAAAAAUCGCACUGAAAAUUUGAUUAUAAAGAGAUCAAACAAAAUAAAAAUAAAAUUAGAAUUUAAAUAAAAUUUCAUCUCUUUUUUUUUUCACUUAACUCUCUCUCUUCGCAAUGUUCAUCUCGAUGAACAGCACAAGUAGAUCCGGCAAUCUUGACCCAUACCUGUGGAUACCCGCGGGUUACCUGCAAAUUUACGGGUAUAGAUACCAACUUUUCUAACCCAAAAAAUUACGGGUAAAACAGAUGGGUACCCAUUAAGCUGUGGGUAUUUUGGGUAACCCACGGGUACCCACGGGUACCCGCAUAUAUAUUUUUUAAUUACAAAAUAUAUUUUUUUAAUUAAAAAAUAUAUUUUUUUAUUUACCUAUCUUAAAAAUUUUAAUAUUAAUUUUUUAUUGCGUGUUUUUUAUAUUACGAAAUUUCUUUAUUUUAAGACUUUAAAUAUUUUUAUUGUAUGNCUAUCCGCUUCGUUUAUUUCAUUUAGAAAUAAACUUAGCUAGAAAUGUGAAUCAACUAGGAUUCGAACUUGGGUCUCGGGUACCAACCACCAAGCCCUUUGCCACUUGCUCUAUCCAUGCCCAAGUAACCCGCGGAUAUAAUGAUCCUUCCACUGGUUAUCCAAUCCGCCCGUUUGCCAGGUCUAAACACAACCCAGUGCAUAUAUAAUGGAGAGAGAAUGGAACGUUCCAUUUCAUGCCUUAUGCAAUAUAAAAAAAGAAUAAUAAAAAUAAAUUAAUUAAAUCUAUCUAAUUAAUUAACAUAAUAAAUAAUAAAUGACAAUAAAUAAGAAUAAAUAAAUUAUUAAAUAAUAAUAAUAAUAAUAAUAAUAAUAAUAAUUGGAUAUUUUAAAUUUUUCACCAAAAUAUUCAACAUCAGAGAUAUAUAAUGGAAUGUUGUNGUGGUUUCGUUUUUAUCUUUUCAGAAGCUUUUUCGUUAAUAUUUCGUUAAAUUAUAUACAAAAAACUUCAGAUAACCAUCUAUGUUUAUCGAAUAUUUACUUUAAUAUCCUUUAAUUUUAACUUUGUCACUGAUUUAAGAAAAAAAAUAAUAAAAUUGAUAACAAAAAGAGAAAAACGAAACCACAGAGUGGCAAAUUGAUACGUUUUAAACCACAUGAUAUUAAAGUGAGAAAGCGCGAAACCACAUUGGGGGUUUUUGAAGUUUUCUUUAAAUUCUAUGUGUUGUUACUGUCGCCAAAAAAAAAAAAACUUUUCAUUUUAUGGCUGACGAAAGGGUUAAUAAAAGUAAUAAAAUAAUUUUAUAGUUAAAUAAUGUCAAAAAAAAUAAUUUUAUUUUUCUACUUUUAUGUUAGAUGAAAACUUUUCUUUGGACUAGUGCUACUAUUUCAAUAUAAAAUAACUAUUAUAGUAAUUUUUUUUUAUUAUUUUACAUGCAAUAAGAUAAUAUAUGAAAAUUUUUAUAUGGGCAUUAUAUAAUACGGCAAGAAAAGAAAAGUUUAUAAAUUUUAAACCCUAAUAGCAAAAUUAAAUUGAAUUGUUACAACUGUAAUAAGCAAUUCAUACAAAUUUGUUAAUAUACUCUAUAUCAAGCAUGCGAAUAUAUUGAUUUUGACAUAAUAAUCGACCUAUUAGCGACUAUUUACACGUGCCGGUGCACCGCUGACGUGGUGGAGAUGGUUCACCCAACACUUUGUGAGGACCACAUAGAUAAUUUAAAUGGACCCAUGUAAAUUACAUGGGAAAAUAUAAUUGGGAAAGAGUGGUUUCCCACUCACCGAAUAAUAUAUUUAUUUAUUAAUCUAACAGUUUUAUUAUUUUUUAAUAUAAGAUUAGAAGGUUCUUAGCUUUAUAUGUAACACUCUAUUUGACUUUAAUUUUUUUUGGGAAUCAAAUACCACCCUAUAGUUUCGCACUUUUUCACUUUAGUACCUUAUAGUUUAAAAGCGUAUCAAUUUAGUACCAUGUGGUUUCGCACUCUCCGACUUUAGUAUCCCGUGGUUUAAAGUGCAUCAAUUUAGUACCAUAUAUUUUUAUUUUCCUCUUUUCGUCGGCUCAUUUGUUAAUAUUUCGUUAAAUUAUAUAUAAAAAACUUUGGAUACCCUAUCUUGGUUUAUCGAAUAUUUAUUUUAGUACCUUUUAGUUUUAACUUUAAUUGUCACUGGUUUUUUUUUUCUCCGGUAAUAUUUCAUUAAAUUAUAUAAAAAAAACUUCAGAUACCCUACCUAGGUUUAUCGAAUAUUCACUUUAGUACCCUUUAAUUUUAACUUUGUUACUGAUUUAACGGAAAAAAUUAGUAAAAUGAAUAAUAAAAAGAGAAAAGUAAAACCACAGGGUACUAACUUAAUACACUUCAAACCACAGGGUAUUAAAGUGAGAAAGUGCGAAACCACAAGGGCUAACUUGAUACACUUUAAAUUACAGGAUACUAAAGUGAGAAAGUAUGAAACCACGUAGGGGUGGCAAUCCAGCUCGCUGUUCGUGAGCCGGCUUGUGUUCGGCUCGAAAUGAGCUCGAGAUCGGCUCGCUUGUUUAGUAAACGAGUCGAACAUGAGCUGAAUUUUUCAGCUCGUUUAAUAAACCAGCCGAACACGAGCUGGGAUCAGCUCGCUCGUGUUCGGCUCGAUAACAGCUCGAAUACAUAUAUUUUAUAUUUAUAUAAUUUAUUUAAUUUAUAUUUUUAUAUAUAAAUAAAUAAUUAUAUAAAAUAUAUUUUUUUAUUAUUUAAAUUUUAGCAAAAUAAAAAUAUAAAUGCGAGCUUAAUUAUAAAAAGACUCAUUUAUAUGUAAAGUUUCAACUAUUAGAUCAAAGUCUAAUGGAUAAGAUUUUAUAAAUUUAUUUUUAAUAUAUAUUUAAUCUAAUUUUUUUUAAUUUAUUGUUCGUUGCAGCUCGUGAGCCAGCUCGUGUGUCUCUGUGUAAUAAUAACGAGCCGAACACUAGCUGAAUUUUCUGAUUCGAUACUUUAACGAGCUAGCUCGUGUUCGGCUCUUAAUAAACGAGCCGACCCCAGCUCGCCUCGGACAUCGUUUACAUCCCUAAAUCCACGGAGGGUAUUUGAAGUUUACUUUUUUUUUUUUUUUUUUGUCCAUAUGCAUGGCCGAUAUCCAAUGAACUAAUGGUGACGUCAUUAUUUCAUUAUUAUAACUCACUCACGUAUAAAGCUAAGUAGGGCAUGUAGAUAUUUCAUUUAAAUAGUACAUGUAUUAAUUACUAGUCUUUUUCCAAGCACCUCUUGAUUUUUUAUUAUUUAUUUUAUUGGGUUAAUUUCAUACAGUUUUUUCUAAACAUAUGGAAUAGCAAAUAUUACAAAAUUCAACAUUUUUUUUUUAUCGUUAUAAAAGGUCAAUGAUAUUCAUAUUUGUCCUUCUACUUUGUUAUUAUUAUAGCACUAUUUAUUUUUUAACAGAAAAUAAGUGAAAUAAUAUUUUUGUCAUUAUAAAUAUGUCCUUCAAAAGUGUCAAUUGUUAAAAUUAUAUAUAAAUAUUCUUUCAAAAAUCUCCUCUUCUUCCUUUCUACCAUCACAGAUAAUAUAAGAGAGAUAAAAAUGUUAAUUUAUCUUAUUCACUAACUAUGGUUAACUAUUUUACCUAUAGCUAACUAUAUUUUUCGAAUGAAUCUUAGCAGCCGAGGUAUAUUUAAAAACGCUAUAAUUUUUAUAAAAAUAAAAAUAAAAAAUUAAAAUUUUAUAAAAAUAUAUUUGCUAUUCGAUAUAUUUACAAAAAGCCAUAUGAAAUUAACCUUUUUUUUCUAGUAUGGAGCAGUGUUCAGUACUAUCGGAAGUGUGAAAUUGGUCGAGUUCCUUUCCGACAACGGAACCCACAUGAGGACAAAUUAACCAAGUAGUGUCCGGUCCUUGCCUUGCUAGUUAAUGAAUCACAAAAUUUAUUGCACUUAUGUGGAAAUUGCUAAUUAUAUUUAGUUAAAUUAUAAGCUUAUAUAGCCCACAAAAUUUGACACCAAACUUGUGGUCCAUAUUACCUUAUUUAGAGUACUAAAUUGUUCAUUAAUGAACAUUGUUUUAGAAAAAAAUGAUUGGUUAGUGAACUUCAACUCUUAUCCUCUUUGUCCACUUACAAGGAAAUUUCAAAAUUUUCAUUUGGUCAAAUAGUAACAAGCGCAACUUUGCUGAGAAGUUUCUCAACCAAACCUCAAACAAAGUGUUUGGUAAACAAUAUAAUUAAUUUUGGAAUAAACUUUAAAUACCACUUUUGUGGUCUCGCACUUUCUCACUCUACUACCAUAUAGUUUAAAGUGUAUUAAGUUAGUAUCCUAUGAUAUUAUUUUUAUUUUUUCAUCAGCUUUUCUGUUAAUAUUUUAUUAAAUUAUAUACAAAAAAAACUUCAGAUAUCCCACCUAGAUUUAUCGAAUAUUCAUUUUAAUACCCUUUAGUUUUAACUAUGUCACUAAUUUAAUGAAAAAAAUUAGUAAAAUCGAUAAUAAAAAGAUAAAAAUAAAACCACAUGGCACUAAAUUAAUACACUUUAAACUACAUGAUAUUAAAGCGAGAAAGUGUGAAACUAUAAGAGUGGUAUUUGAAGUUUUUCUUUUAUUUUGUGCACGAGUCUUAACAAUUUGGUUUAAUCUAAAAGUUUUUCGUCCAAAUCUCAGUGUCUGUAUUGUUUCUCAGCAAAAAUCCAACAUACAAAGAGUUUUUUUUUUAUUAUUAUUAUAAUAGAUUUGUUCUUCCUGUUUUUUGCUUUAGCAAAUCCUAGUAGAACUUUCAACCAAAAAAAAAAACAAAUUAACAUUUUUUUUGUUAGAAUGCAAAAAUAAAAAUUUAAGUUUAAAAAUAAAAUAUCUAAAUAGACUUUUGAUUCUGUCGUAGAAAAAUUUAUUAAAACUCUUUCAAAGAUACAAUUUUUAAUUUUAGUAUUUAUUUGACAGUAGGCGGAUUCCUUCGUGGCCACGUCUCCACAAUGAAUUAAGAGAAAGGUAGCAAGCUAUCUGUUUCAUUCAUUAAGAACAAUGAAUUAGGCGUACAAAAUGAAGGCAGCUAAGGCCCUCCUCGAGCCAGGCACAAAAAAAAAAAAAAAAAAAAAAAAAAAAAAAAAAAAAAAAAAAAAAAAAAAAGUCCACGCACUUUAAUUAUUAUUUAUACUUAUAACUUAGCAUCUUAAAAUCAAACACUCAAAAUACUAAAUCUGAUAACGAUUGUUAACGGUCAUACAAUAACGUAAUUAAUUCCUUUUUUUUAACAGAACUUAAAUCUUUGAAAUGUGAUGUCAAUCGAUCAGGGGUGCAUGACCACUAACAGAUUAGCAAAGCAACACCGCGUGAGCAGAACUUCUUCGCUAUUAUGACCCGAAAAAACCAAAAAAAGAAAAAAAAAAAAACUUGCAAAAAUUCCACACAUUUUCCAUAGUUUCUCUGGUGAAAUCUCAUAGAUUUUGAAAAUUCUCUCUCAUUCAGAAUAUAGAGUUGAUAAAUUAAAUCCAAUGCUGCUCAUCACUCUGAUGAAAAAAUAAUCUAUAAAAAAUUAUAUAUAUAUAAUAAUAUAUUUUAUAUAUAUAUAUAUAAAUAUAUGAGUAGGUCUAGAAACUUUGUAUCAAUAUCACCCGAAGGAUAACUUGUGUGGUUUUUAAAGCCAUUGGAUCAACUUUUUGAUUACUAAUAGUCCUGGAUCGAACACUAUUCCACCUAACCACCACCACAGCACUUCAUCUCAACCUCAACAUCUCUCCAUCCAAGGGCUAAAACACUACAGAUCCACUUUGGUGAUACUUUUACACAGUAUUUCUAGCUCUAGCUAUAUAUAUAACAUAUAUAAUAUAUAUAUAUAUAAUAGUAUAUAUAAAUAUAUAUAUAAGAGAUCAACACGAUACAGAGGAGUUGAGCUAGAAUUCAUCGUAAGUCAACGGGCUCCGUUUAUUGCAUUUGGUUUCGAUGAUGACUAAAUCGCGGUACGGUUGAAUGACUAUCACUUGGUACUAGAUCAAACUAUAUAAUAUUGUAGUAGACAACAUUUAAAUUUUGAAUUAGAAGUAUGACAGCGUAAUAUAUUCCCCUAUUUUACACAUCAUUAAUAAGAUUUCUUGAAUAAAUAUAAUGUACAAUUUUUUAUUAAUUUAAAAUAAUUAUUAAAUAAUUAAUUGUUACGUGUAUUUGUACGUACACUCAACUAGUAUAUAUAUAUAUUUAACUAUCAAACAACUUUUUUUUUUAAACAGAUCUAUUGUUGAGUUAAGGAUUUUUAAAAUAGGGGCAAUUGCUUAUAUCCCCCUUGAAAAGUUUCCGACUUUCUAAUUUACCCCUCUUAGAAGGUUAAUUUUAAAAAUAUCUUUUUAACAUUCCAACCUAUUUCAAAUACAUCCAUAGAAUUAAAUUCUGUUAAUUAACUGUUAGCUAUUAUCUAUAUGAAAUUACUAUUUUAUCCUUUUAAAUAUAUCCUUCCACCAUUACCGACUUUUCUUUAUUUGCUCUUAAGUUAGGGACACAAAAAGUAUUUUGAUUUUUGGUCUUUUCAAAUAUCCCCUUGUAUCAUCACCAAUAUUUCUUAUUUGCCCUUAAGUUAAAGGCAAAAAAUGUAUAAUAAAUAAGAUAUUUCUGAAGUUUUGAUGGGUAUAUAGAUAAUUAUCCCUUUAACAUAAUAAAACAAACCAAGUAAGAUAGGAUUUUUUAAAAAAUAAAAAGGCCAAAGCACAUGCAAGCACAUUCCAAACACCUUGUCAAAGACUCAAAUGAGAAAACAUAAAUAAUUGAUUGGAAUCUAUUAAUUAAUAAAUUAGGGCAAUAGAUAAGUACUGUUUCAAUUUUUUUCUUUCUUUUAAUGAAGUGUUAAUGCUAAUAAAAAAGAUUGUGGAAUUGGAAUGAGUUGACCAAUCUGAAAUUUUUGUGAUUAUCAUAAUUAUAACUUCUCCCCCAAGAAUCCAAUUAGUUUCAUGUGGUCAUGAAGAGAACUUGUGGUUAAUUAAAUAAAUAAUUGAAAGGAUAACAACAAGUGUAUAUAUAAUCUCUUUAAGUGACCCUUUAAUUUAAGAAGCCACAAAUGAGCAUCAACCAACAACUUUUUGUUUUUAGUGCUACAUCAGACAGAAUUUUUUUUUAGAGUAAAAAGAGGUUAUAAAAAUAUAUAAAAUCUAUUAGAACUAUAGACUAUUUUGAAUUAACCAUCCAACUAAAAUAAUAAAAUAAAAAUUUUGAAAUGUCGAGUAAUCGAAUCAAAAUAAUUAUAGUUCAAAUAAAUUUUCUUGUUUUCUUGUUUGUGUUGUUAUAUUUUGUGAUUGCAUGAGUCAACUAUAUUGGGAAUAGUUCAUUUGAACCAUGUCACAAUACAUUUUUAGUCCCCAUAUCACAUGUGGAGUGCAUUUGGAUACAUACAUAUAUAUGUUCAAGAAACACUACUAAUAAAAGCGCUUCUUAUUUUCUCUCUCUCUCUCUCUCUCUCUCUCUCUGUAUAUGGAUCUUCUUAAAUAAAAGCUCUCAUAUAAAGCUUACUCAUAUACUUUCUUUGAAAAGUUCAGGGGCUAAAUUGCUCUUUUGUAAAACAGUAGGUGAGAGAUUGAAACCCCAACUAACUAACUGCACUAAGCAUUGGCUUUAAUACUUAUAAUAAAUAUAUAUAUAACUAGUAUAGUAACUCGUGCGAUACAACAGAUAGAUAAUUAAAAAAAAAGGGCGACAACUGAAGAGAAAACUGUAAUAAAAAAAAUAACAAUAAGGGAUGGGAUUCAUCUUGUCGAUGGAGGAAGGUAGCAGUAGAAGGAAGAGAAAAAGAAAGAUGAAUAGUUUUGCCCAAUGCAGAUGUGUGACUUGAUUUGACUCAAGCAAAAAAAAUAAAAACUCGGUUUGAUUCAAACAAAAAGAACGAAAACUUGAGCCGAUUCAUGUUAGAGUCUACACUUGACAGUGAUCAGUUCAGUUCAAGCAAAAGAAGAGAAAAAUUUGGCUCAAAGAUGGAAACAUAUGAGGGUCGGUUAAGAUAAAUGCAACAGAUUGAUACUGUUUGGUUCAAGUAAACUAAGAGAAAAAGGUAGGUUCGAUUCAAGCAAAAAAAAAGAAAAAUAUGUGGGAGACUUGAGUUGGCUUGGACCAGCCCACAUCAACAAUAAUCGAUUCGGUUCAAAUAGAGAAAGAGAAAAAUUCAGUCCAGUUCAAGUAAAAAAAAGAGAAAAAUAUAUAAGAACUUGAGCUGAUUCGAGGUGGAGCCACACUCAAUAAUGAAGGUAUUGUUGCCGUGUGACAAAUUUAGAAAAAAUAAUAUAUAAAGGUAAGAUACUGAUAACUCGCGUAUUCUCCAAAGACAACAUAGUAUGUAACUUUCAUGAUUCGUUUGAAAUUCUAAAUUAUUAAUUAGGAUAGAAUUUGACCAUGUUUUAGUCAAGCAACAAUUCCGCGUUUCCAAUUCCAAAAAACAAAGUCUCUCACAUUUUACAAUAAGAAUAAUAUUUUGAAUUAUUUACUUAUAUUAUGCACACUGCACCUACCUAGAAAGUAAAAAAAAAAAAAUUCAACUCGUCGAUACUUAUCAUUUUUUUUAGUUAUCUACACAAUUUUUUUUAUAAGUUUCUUUGCCACUAAGCUUGCUAACAUCAGCAAUUAAAUUAAAAUUUUAGCUAAUUGAAGUCAAUCGUAUGCAAAAUUUUUAUUCAAAUACGCGUAAAUGUUGCCAUAGAAUACAAGUUUAGGUAAUUAAAUUAUUGAAUAGUAAAUUGUAGUUAGAAACCUAGCAAGUUAUUUUUGAAGUUGACAUAAAAAAAAUCAAAGGAAAAUUGAAAGAAAUUUGGAUUAUUUAUUCAUGUGUACAAAAAUAAUAAACAACAAAAUGAUUUUGAUAACCUGUUUUAAGAUAUUUGUUAGAGAUCCAAAUUAAACAUGAAGAACAAUGUGGAAAUAAAAAUAGAAAACCAUUGAUCAUUAAUCUAGAGUAUUAAUAAAGAAAUUAAUGGGCAAUUUGACAUAAAGAUAAAUUAAACACGUACGAUUAUGCGGAGUUCAUCUUAUUAAUUAGAGUUUUUUCGAUCAAACUCUUUGACUCUAAAACAAUAAUUAAUCUCCAUUAUUUUUAAUUCACAAAGUGUUUAAAGUAAAGAAACAAUGAGCACCAUCAUAAACCACCAAACAGUAAAAUUAUCACAUAAUUCACACCAGGAUCAAUGAAUUGAUCAACCCUUUGACUCUCACAAAUUUUUGGUCUUUGUUGUGAAAAUUAAAUUAUUGCUUAAUUAAGUACGAAAAAAGUGGUGUGCGAAAAUAAUACUAAUAAUAAUGCUUUAUUUAGAUGUAAAUAUUAUAAUUUUUAAUGUUUCAGUGUGACAAUUUUCUUAUUAGUUCUCUUCGAUCAACUACUAUAAUUACCAAUUCAUUCAUAAAUUGAUUCAUUGUCUUGGUGAAUUGUAACAAUUAUUCAAUUUAAAAUGCUUCGUCUCACCAUAUAAUUAUUUAAUAAAUAAAAUUUUUGAUUAUUUUUCUAUAUAUUUUUCUCACGUAAAGCACUUUAAUUUGAGUUAUUUUCUGCAUAUUUUUGAAAAAAAAACUCAAAUUAAAAUAAUGAAAAUAACUCAAAUAAUAAACAUGAAGCCCUCACCUUUUUUUUAUAAAUUAUUUUAAUUUGAGUUAGUUUUCAAUAUGUAUUGCAAACUUAACUACCCUAAUAUUAUUUAUUAAACCAUUAACGAUUAACAAAAUCUGCAUUUUCAUCGGUUGAAAAAGCAUCGAUAACAGUUAAAUCUAUCAAAAUUGCCAUUAAAUUUUGAUUAAUAAAAAUAAAUUUAAUUUAAACAAUUAAAUUUUUUUACAUUUUUAGAUUUAGGUCUCUUUGGUUAGAGAUAGUUAACUUGUCUGGUUGCUUCUAGUGGGAAAAAGCAUUUGAAGAUCAUAUUAUUUUGGGAUAAUUACCUAUAUACUCUUUAUACGUUUUAAAAUAUCCGAUUUAUUCCUUUAUUUUUUUCUUUCUAAAAAACUUCUCAUAUGUUCCACCGUUAUUGCAAAAUACCCCCGCAGUUAUCUCCUAUUAAGUUAACUUGGGUUAAACGUGAGUUAAAUAUCAACUACAGUUAAAAAAAUUAAAAUGCCAAUCUUGUCCUUAAUUUGAGGACAAAUAAGAAAUGUUGGUGACGGUAGAGAGGUAUAUUUGAAAAGACCAAAAAUUAAAAUACUUUUUGUGUCUUUGACUUUAAAGACAAAUAAGAAAGUCAGUGAUGAUGGAAGGGUAUAUUUGAAAAGAUAAAAUAAUAAUUUUACAGAGAUAACAGAGUUCAUUAAAAGAUUUUAAAUCUAGAAGUAUAUUAGAAAUAGGUUGGAACGUGAAAAAGGGUAUUUUUAAUAUUAGCUUUCUAAGAUGGGAAAAUCAGAAAGUCGAAAACUUUUUAGGAGUAUAUAAGUAAUUGCCCCUAUUAUUUUUUAAUGAAAUAUGAUACUAACCGAAUAUAGUUUGGAAUACGGGUAUAAAAAUAAAAUUCGAUAGAUUUGACUUCGGAUAGAAAUUUUGUUCGUAUCUGAGCCAUACUCGAAUUGAUUUNUAUAUAUAUAUAUAUAUAUAUAUAUAUAUAUAUAUAUAUAUAUAUAUAUAUAUAUAUUUGAUAUUAUAUUUGCACUUGCAUUUCAAAAUUUUAGAUUUUAAUAUACAAUAUUUUGAGAUACGGUAAAGAGAAAUAAGUAUUUCGGAUUUGAAUCAGGGUUCGAAUUUUUUGUCGGGUUUGGAUUUGGAUAUUAAUUUUCAAAAUUCGUCGGAUUCGGAUUCUACUUCUUCGGAUUUUGCGUUCGAUUUGGGGUUUUUAAAAAUCUGUAUUGUAACUCCAGCCAUGUUUGGUUUUUAAGAAGAUAUUGAAAAAAAUAAUUUUAUGGCUGGAAAAGUAUUUUUUAUUCGUUUGGUCUUAAGAAAAACUAAUUUUUUCUUUUUUCAAAUUUAAUGAAAAAAAUAGAAUUUUUGUUUUACAAAUUUUUAUCUAAAAAAAAAUUUUCAUAAAAAAGUUUUUUUUCGUAAAAAUAGUAUUUUACGCUUUUCCAAAGUAUAAAUUACGUGGCUAUGUCGUCAUGUGUAUGAAUCAUCUUUAUGUAAUUAAGCAUGGGAUUAUCUAUGAACUUUGAAUUCCUUAAUUUGAAAUUUCUGAAUUAAAAAAGUUAUAUUAUUAUUCAACGCGCUUUCCCGUUCUAACACAAAAGCAGUUACUAAUUAAAAAAAAAAAAGGUCAGUUUAAAUAAAAAGAGAGAUGGUACUAAUUAAAAGUUAUAUUAUUAUUCAACGCGUUUAGUUUCCAACCUAUCUUUUUUUUUUGUAUAUUUUAGUUCCUCAUUACAUUUUAAUUUUUAUAACUAAGUUCUUAAUAUUUAUUAUAUAUUUUAAUUUAACUCACUAUUUAUUAUGUGGCUAGAUUUUGUUGCUAACGCGGACUUGAUAGUUCUAUCAAAGUAUGUAAUAAUCAACUUUAUAAUUGAAGCAACUUAAUAAAAGUAAAUAAUAAAAAAUAUAAAUUUAAUCAUAAACUUUAAAGAUAUUAAUGUAAAAUUAUGUAUUUGGAAACAAUUGUAAUAAAAAAAAGUUAAUUUCAUACGGGUCCCUGCAAAUAUAAUAAAUGGUAAAUAUAUUCCUACAAAGUUCAACUUUCAUAUAUUGUCUCUGCAAAAAUUCUGAUGUUUUUAAAUAUGUUCCUAUCGUUAGAAUCCAUUAGAAAUAUUUAGUUACCAUAGGUUAAAUAUUUAACCCCGAUUAGUUUUUGAUAUUUUUAUCCUUUUAUAUUAUACUGUUAUGACUUUAGAAGGGAUAUAUUUGUGAUAGCAAAAUUAAAAAUAUAGACAGUUUUUUUAACGAUUCUUUAACAGUAACAAAUCAGAGAGAUAUAUUUAAAAAUAUUAUGAUUAUUGUAGAGACAACAUAUAAAAAUUAAAUUUUGUAGAAAUAUAUUUAUUAUUUACUAUAUUUGCAAGGGCUUGUAUGAAAUUACUCCUGAAAAAUAAGAAAAUGUGAAAUAAACUUUAAUACCAAGUUAACACCCUCAUCAUUAACAAUCUUAUCAGUGUCCUCACCUAAUUUCUUGGGUUAAAAUUGGUUGAAGAGGACCAGUGGUAUUUCUAAACAGGGUAACUUUUUCUGUUUUCCCUCCAAAAUUAUUUAUUUGGAGAUUGAAGUUUCCAACUACUAGGGCUGUCAUCGAGCAGAAUACGGGUAAGCUGAGGUCGGCUUAUAUUUGUUCAUUUAUUAAACAGGUCGAAUAUCAGUUCAUUCGUUACAAUAUCGAGCUGAAAUAUUCAACUAUAUAAUUUGAUAAGAUAAUUUUAAAUAAAAAUAAAUUUACCUCCCUAAUAAUUAGGGGUGUAAACGAGCCGAACACGAGCGAGCUGGGAUCGGCUCGUGUUCGGCUCGUUUCAUAAACUAGCCGAACACGAGCUAGCUCGUUAAAGUAUCAAGUCGAAAAAUUCGGCUCGUGUUUUAACUUGUUUAUUAACGAACCGAGCAUGAGCCGAAUACGAGCUGUCUUAUGAAUAAAAAUUUAAAAAGAUUAAAAUGAAUAUAUAUAGAAAAUAGAUUUAAAAGAUCUUAUCCGUUAUACUUUGAUCUAAUUGUUGAAAUUUUACAUAUAAAUGAAUCAUUUUAUAAUUGAGUUGUGCUUUAUAUUUUAGUUCGGCUAAAAAUUAAAUAAUAAAAAUUUAUAUUAUAUAGAUAUAUAAUUAUUUAUUUAUAUAUUAAAAAUAUAAAUUAAUAAUUAUAUAACUAAAAUAUAUGUAUACAAACUGUAUCCAAGCCCGAACACAGCGAACGCUGUACCCCACUCGAUGUUCGCUCGUUUUAUCUAAACGAGCGAUGCUCGAUCUCGAGCUCAUUUCGAGCCGAACACGAGCUGGCUCACGAACAGCGAGCUGGAUUGCCACCCCUACUAAUAAUCUUUUUUAAAAAAUUUCUCUUUCCUAUUUAGGGCGUAAUCUCACCUCCCCCACAUAUUAAAUGAUGGAAAUUUGUGAACCUAUUUCUCAAUCGCAAAAAAUCAAACAAAAUAUUUAUACUUACAGUAAUUGCUACUACAUUCAAUUAAACAAGAUGUAUGUAAUUAUAACUGCUGUAUUUCCAACAUCGUGUGUUUCCAACUAUACUACUAUAUUUAUAGUUGCGUCGAAUCAAACCGCCCCUUAGUUACUUUUUACUUUUAAAAUUUGAAUGGGACAGCUUAUUUUUACGAAGUUAGUUAAUAUAAUCUAUAUAAUUUAUGUCACUAUAAAUUUAUUAAAACAACCAAUUCGUUUAAAUUUUAUUUCAAAAAAGUCAUCAAAUUAUUUAAAUUUUAAAAAAAAUUAAAAGAUUAAAUAGUCAAAUCAAAAUGUCUUAAAAUUUAGAUAAGUUUUAUAUAUUUUUAUUAGAAAAAAGAAAAACUUUUUUUAUGUUAUGUAACGGCCCUAUAACUGUAGUAACUGUACAACGCUGGCACACCAAUGCGCCUCCGCCAACUCGGUGCUCUCCCACGUUGUUUCCACAGCUAGGGGCAUUCUCGUUAUUUCAUUGUAAUUCAGGGUCAAAUCGGCUCCACUUUUUAAACCCCCGAGCAAAAAUGUACCAACAGUCCUCUUACUAUCUCAAUAUUAGUAGUUAGUUCCCUAAUAAAGUUUUAGACAACUUGUUAAAAUUUAGUCCUCCAAAUUUUCUUUUUUAAAUUUUGUAGGAUAAACUUUAAAUACCACCCAUGUUGUUUCACACUUUCUCAUUUUAGUGCUCUGUGAUUUAAAGUAUAUCAAUUUAAUAUUCUGUGAUUUCAUUUGUCUUUUUCUGUCUGCCCUCCGUUAAUUUUUCAUUACAUUAUAUACAAAAAAGUUCAGACCCCUAUUUAUAGUUUUUCAAAUAUUCACUUUAAUAUCUUUUAGUGUUAACUUUGUCACUAAUUUAAUAAAAAAAUUAGCGAAGGGGAUAACAAAAAGAGAAAAAAUAAAAUCGCAGGGUACGAAAGUGAUACACUUUAAAUCAUAGAGUAAUAUAGUGAGAAAGUGUAAAAAGUUUUUUCAAUUUUUUUAUGUAAGAUAAGUAUUUUUCAAGAAAAUUUUGAAUAGCCUGAAUUAGACUUUACUGUUGGAUGGAUAUAUUAUAUAUAGAAUGUAUGAUUUACACUGACUUUGGAGUAUAUGCGUGGUGUUUAUAUAAGACAAAAAAUAAGAGAGAACUCUAAACUAAAGAAUAUUAUGAAAUGGCUCCCUUAAUUAUUUUUUUAUUAUUGAGACCCUUCAAAUUUCUAGUUUUUUUUAAGUAAGUAAUUUAUUCAAAAAGUUUUGAAAUUUUAUCAAAUCAUUGGUAAUUUCAUAAGGUUUAAUAAUUUAAUCUCUUUUUAAUAAAAAAACAUUAAAUUUGAUAAAAACUUUUAGGUCACGGAUAAUAAAUAAUAAACUUUUUAAAUUUGAUAAUAUUUUUUGCUUCGUUGAGUAAAGAAAGAUAUAGUAGAAUAAAACAAAUUAGAAGCCAAAGAUUCACAAUAAAAAAAAAAGGGUAAACUUUAAAUACCCCCAUGUAGUUUUACACUUUCUCACUUUAAUAUUCUGUGAUUUAAACUAUAUCAAGUUAGCCCUUGUGGUUUUGCACUUUCUCACUUAGUACCAUGUGGUUUAACGUGUAUCAAGAUAGUACCCUGUGGUUUAAAGUGUAUCAAGUUAGUAUCCCGUGAUUUCAUUUUUCUCUUUUUUUUUUUCAUCUAUUUCAUUAUUUUUUUGUUAAAUCAGUGACAAAAUUAAAAUUAAAGAGCACUAAAGUGAAUAUUGGAUAAAUCUAGGUAGGGUAUCUGAAGUUUUUGGUAUAUAAUUUAACGAAAUAUUAACGAAGGAAAAAAAAAAUCAAUGACAAAUUUAAAACUAAAGGGUACUAAAGUGAAUAUUUGAUAAACCUAGAUAGGGUAUCUGAAGUUUUUUGUAUAUAAUUUAACAAAAUAUUAACAGAGGUGCCGACAAAAAAGAAAAAAUAAAACCACAGAAUACUAUAUUGAUGCACUUUAAACUACAGGGUACUAAAGUGAAAAAGUGCGGAGCGACAGGAUACUAAAUUGAAACACUUUAAACCAUAGGAUACUAAAGUGAAAAAGUAGGAAACCACAUGGGGUGGUAUUUAAAGUUUUUCCUAAAAAAAAGAUAAAAAUGUAAGAAACUUACCUGGACUACGGGUGAAAUUUGACUAUACAAACUUUUAAAAUUUUUAUUUUACUAUUCAACUUUUUAAUUUGUUUAAUUUGAGCCAAUUCACAAUAUUUUGACUUCAAAAUUUAAGCUAAUUACUUAUUAAAUAAAUUUAAAUAUUAGUGAUAAUUGCACAAAGUAUACUAAUAAAUCUGUAAAGUGAAACAAAACAAAAAUUUUAAAGUCGCAAUGUCAUUGACAGGCACAAAUAAAAUAAAUUGAGAAUUUAGAUAAAAAAUAAAAAUUUUGAAAGUGUGGGAAAAUUUAAAUCGCCAUAGUUGGGGUAAGUUUCAUACUUAUUUUCCUGAAAAAAAAAAAGAAACUUCAAAUACCCCCUAUGGUUUCGCACUUUUUUACUUUAGUACCAUGUGGUUUAAUGUGUAUCAAGUUAAUACCUUGUGGUUUCACACUUUCUCACUUUAGUACUCUGUGGUUUUAUUUUUAUAUCAAGUUAGUACCACGUUGUUUCAAUUUUCUCUUUUUAUUAUUCAUUUCACGGUAUAUAAUUUAACGAAAUAUUAAACCAUAUGGUACUAAAGUGAGAAAGUGCGAAACCACAUGGGGUAUUUGAAGUUUCCCCAAAAAAGAGAAAAAACUUUAAAAAACCCCGUGGUUUCGCACUUUUUUUAUUUUAGUACCCUAUAGUUUAAAGUGUAUCAAGUUAGUAUCACGUGGUUUCACACUUUCUCACUUUAGUACCCUGUGGUUUAAAAUGUAUCAAGUUAGUACCAUGUGGUUUUAUUUUUGUAUCAAGUUAGUAUCCUGUGAUUUUAUUUUUCUCUUAAUGAAAUAUUAAACCAUAGGGUACUAAAGUGAGAAAGUGCGAAACCACAUGGUACUAACUUGAUAUAUUUUAAACCACAGGGUACUAAAGUGAGAAAGAGUGAAACCACAUGGGGGUAUUUGAAGUUUUCCAAAAAAAAAAAAAAAAAGUUGAGGGUGCCAUUUCGAUGAUCGCUACAGUUGAGGGGUCUCUUUACAUUUUCACCUGUGAAUAAAUACCCCGUUACUUAUCCCCUCAGCAGCUCCCCAUAACCUCCCUUGAAACCUCCAAACAAACGCCAACGAAGAAGACGAAGGCGUAGAAGACGAAGAAGAAGAGAGAGAGAGAGAGAGAAAGCUCCAUCAACAAAUCCCCCCUCUCCUCUCUCUCGAUCUGCGUUGAUCGAUCGAUCGAACUCUUCUUCGUCUCCAUCUCGAUCUCGAUCUCGAUUUAGGUAUCGACUUCGAUCGAGAGAGAGAGAGAGAGAAAGAGAGAUCUCGAUCGAUCGGAAUCUGCGAGGUCGCCAUUAAUGGAGCUCCAAUCGGGGGCUCGGCUCGCGGCGCAGCAGUACCUGGCGCUGCUCCGGAAGAACGCGAUCCUCACAUGGCGGAACAAGCGAUCGGCGUUCCUGCAGCUCUUCUCCUCGCUCUUCUUCAUCUUCCUCAUCUUCUGCAUCGACCGCGCCGUGCGGUCGCGCUUCGCCUCCACCACCGCCUACAAGAACGUGUACGACCCCGAGGCGGUCGUGUCCCCCCCGAUCCCCCCCUGCGAGGACAAGUUCUUCACGAAGGUCCCCUGCUUCGACUUCGCCUGGAGCGGGAACUCCAGCGCCCGCGUCGCCACCAUCGUCGCCGCCAUCAUGCGCAACAACCCCGGGAGGUCGAUCCCCUCCGACAAGGUUAGGGUUUCGCUCCUUUCCCUUUCCCCCUAUUUCCCAUCUCUCUCUACGAGGCAUCAUCAUUGUGGAUUACGAUCCGGUGCACCGUGGACCGGCCUAGAGACCUUACCCUCUUAACACUUCAAAAUUCUAUGUUUCGGAGAGCUACAAUGUGUUAUGCGAUGGGUAAUUGUUCUUUGAUUUUUGAAAAAAAAAUUGAAAUAUUUAGAUUUAUAUUCUAAUUUUUAGUCCAUGUUAUUAUCAUAUUAUUACAGAUUUUUGUAGGGAACUGUUGUUGGAUGACGUGGUAUCCUAGUGUGCGCCUUUUCUUUUUUCUUUUUUGCUUUUUUCCAAGGGGUAAAAAUGUACUAAAAGCCUCCUAGGGCAUUUUGAAAUAGACCCCUCACCUUUAUUAUUUUUAAAUUAGUAAUUCUUUAAUUUUUAUUUUUUUUCUUUUAAAAUUUUAUGACUCCAUUAGCUAUUAGUUGUUGAUUGUCUUAGUUUUUAUUUACUAAAAAAUAAUCAAAAUCCUUAAAGUUUUUAUACAGUCACUCAUGAGUUUUAUAAAAUUUUUAAUUUAAAAAAUUAAAAGUUGAGGGAGUAUCAAUCCCAAAAAAAUAGAGCAAUGCUACCCCUACGAUAGUAGAAGUUUUAUUACUAAUCACAUCAUGAUGAAACCCCAAACUCAUUAGAUGGGUGGGUGUAUAAAUAUUAUACACCAAACAAUGAGGUGCGUUGAUAGCUUUUUUCAAAAUAAUCCUCAACGUUGUAAUUUUGUUCGGUCUAUAGACCAGGCCCAGGUGAUUAUUGCUUUUUUUUUAAGAUGGGUUAAAUGUCGGGUUUUUUAGUGUAAUAGUCUUUUCCUAAACAUUUAUUCUAAAAAUAAGUUUAUUAAAUUUUUAUUUAUAAAUAUAGUCUUAUAAAAGUGGUGAAUCAUUCACCGCUUUNGAUUUUUGUAGGGAACUGUUGUUGGAUGACGUGGUAUCCUCAUGUGCGCCUUUUCUUUUUUCUUUUUUGCUUUUUUCCAAGGGGUAAAAAUGUACUAAAAGCCUCCUAGGGCAUUUUGAAAUAGACCCCUCACCUUUAUUAUUUUUAAAUUAGUAAUUCUUUAAUUUUUAUUUUUUUUCUUUUAAAAUUUUAUGACUCCAUUAGCUAUUAGUUGUUGAUUGUCUUAGUUUUUAUUUACUAAAAAAUAAUCAAAAUCCUUAAAGUUUUUAUACAGUCACUCAUGAGUUUAAUAAAAUUUUUAAUUUAAAAAAUUAAAAGUUGAGGGAGUAUCAAUCCCAAAAAAAUAGAGCAAUGCUACCCCUACAAUAGUAGAAGUUUUAUUACUAAUCACAUCAUACGAUAAGCGAUGAAACCCCAAACUCAUUAGAUGGGUGGGUGUAUAAAUAUUAUACACCAAACAAUGAGGUGCAUGGGUAGUUUUUUUCAAAAUAAUCGUCAACGGAUUGUAAUUUUUGUUCGGUAUAUAGACCAGGUCCAGGUGAUUUUUGCUUUUUUUAAGAUGGGUUAAAUGUCAAUGAUCCGUUCAUAUAUUUUAUAUUUAAAAAAAGUAAUCGUGCAGAUGAAGCAACAUCUGAUGUUAAGUAAUUUUUUAAUGUAUAUUCCCUGGUCUGUUUACUGUGGAUCUGUUUAUCGUUAGUAUAUAUUGACGUAUUUUAUCUUGUUAAGUUACCUUUUUAUAAUGUAUCUUUAGUAAAUUUUGAGUGAAAUUAUCAUUUUGCUCGAUCAAUGGGAUAAAAUUAGGUAGCGCUGAAUCUGUUUAAAUGGAAAAUCAGAAACUAAGAGAGGUCAAAAAUUCAAAGAACAUAAGUUUAUCCCUUGUUAUUUAGUUGACUUUUGAUGAUGUUAGAGAGCACAUGUAGUUUAGAAUCAACUGGCAACUUGGCACUUUCAAGGAUGAUCUGGAGUUGAUUGAGCGUGUUCAAUUGGUUUGCUAGAGAAUGGGCUUGUAUAAGCAAACUCAGUACGUCCAUGGUAAAUUGGUCUUUGUGGAAGAGAAGUUUAAAAAUAAGCUUGUACGGUAACCUUCAUGUAUUUGACUCUGUUUAGUUUUAAUAGCUUAAUGUAGUUAAAGGUCAAAUUGAAACUUGAAAGUAUUACAAUUAUAGAGAGUAGCAUUGUUACGUGGCUUCAUUACAGCCACCAGGUUCUAUUCUUCGUGAGUCAAAUCUUCUGUUUUUGAAAAGGUAACUCCUGUGGUGCAAGGGUUGUCAUAAACCACCUGAUUUUCUGUCCAACUAUAAACAUCAAUUUUUAGCGCUUCAACCAGUUUUAAUUUUUGUGUACUUUUUUUAUUCUUUUCAUGCUAUGUCACAUUGUUUACUUGCUUGUGCAUUUGAAGUUUAAGAUGAAUAUUCUAAUGGCAAGGUAAGCAAUACUAUUAAGCCAUAUGGUUAGGUCAAUUGAGAAAGUUUGCUUCAUUUGAAAUAGAUGGCUCACGACAUUAGUCUUGCAUUCCGAAAUCUUCUUACCUAAGUCCUCUUUAAGGUAACACAGAGAAACUUAGUUUUAAUAGUUGAAUUUAGAAAACACUGGAUACUAUAUAUUCCUCCUGAAAAUGAGAACUUUUUGACUAAAACCUAUUGUCAAUGAUGGUACAUCAUGGAUAUCAGUUAAGAAAAAUAUUGUAAUUUUUAAACAUAUAAUUCACUUUUUAUUAUCUCAGGUCAUAUCAUUUAGAAAUUCUGAUGAAGUGGAUGCAUGGCUGUUAAGUGAUCCUAUGCAUUGUCCUGGUGUUUUGCAUUUUGUGGAAAGAAAUGCCACUGUUAUAAGCUACGGCAUACAAACCAACUCCACUGCAGUGGCUAGGAGAGGAACAUAUGAGGACCCCACCUUCAAGUUCCAGAUUCCACUUCAAAUUGCUGCCGAGCGGGAGAUAGCUAGGUCUCUAAUAGGAGGUGCACUAAAUUAAACUAUGCUCGCAAAUUAUUGUUCAUCAUUAUUUGUUUAAUGUUGUUGAUGUUUUUUAACCUUCGUUAAUAAAUGAUCUUUUCUUAAGCCUUAAUUUGAUUCUAAUGCAUGUGGCAGAUCCAAAUUUUAGCUGGAUGGUGGGAUUUAAAGAAUUUGCUCAUCCAGCGACCCAAACUUUUUCUGCCGUCGGGCAAGCAGGGCCAACUUUUUUCCUUGCGAUUGCCAUGUUUGGCUUCGUUUUCCAAAUAAGUUCUUUGGUUACGGAGAAAGAACUUAAACUUCGUCAGGUAUUAAUCAUACAUUCUUCUAAAUUUCUCGUGGUAAAAUGUAUGGAUAGUUCCUGUACUUCUCCAGGAUUUGGAUUUAAUCCCUUGGCUUUUCACAUAAGCACUUCACUUGCUCAUAUACCGCAAUUGAAUCCUGGCUGGUAAAAUCUCGCAAAACUUGACUUUUCCUAUAAAAUGACAUUUCUAUACUGUGUCAGGCAAUGAAACAAGGAAGUCAUUUUACAGGAAAAACUUGUUUUUUUUUUUUUUCUUCUUUAAUGUAUGGGGAUGGAAUUGCAAACUCAUAAGAAGGCUCAGAAACAAAUUGUUAAACUAAAAAAAAUCUUGAAAUAAGAGGGAACAUUCAGACAUUUUUACGCUAGAAGUAUUUGGUCAUGAUUUCAUGUGCUUAUAGUUGGUAUUUUGGUUGAUGUUCACAGGCCAUGUCUAUUAUGGGCCUCUAUGAUUCUGCCUAUUGGUUGUCUUGGCUUACAUGGGAGGCCUUUCUCACACUUAUUGCUGCUCUUUUUACUGUUCUUUUUGGGAUGAUGUUCCACUUCGACUUUUUCUUGCAUAACGGUUUUGCUGUUCUAUUCCUCCUGUUCUUCCUGUUCCAACUUAAUAUGGUAAGCUUGUUGUGCUCUAAUACUUUCCCAGUUUUUCUUUUAUAUGUGUAUUUAAUUUUAUUUUAAAUUGAUACACAUAACUACAUUUUAUUUAUCAAUUUACUCAGAUAGCUGUACUGUUCGAAUAGUUUUUCUCAUACAUCAGCAAAAUUUUCUGCAGCUUAGCUUUGCUUUCAUGAUAUCAACUUUCAUUACCAAGUCAGCAUCUGCCACUACUGUUGGAUUUUCAAUAUUUAUUAUUGGGUUCUUGACCCAGGUAAAAUGAGCUAAUGCCAUAAUCUUAAAUAUCAUGCUAUUUGCCAAAUCGCUGGAAGAGUAAGAACUAUUUGUUUUUUGGCCCUUGCAGCUUGUUACAACAUUUGGAUUUCCAUAUGCUACCGGCUUUAAGAGAUAUCUUCGAGUGAUUUGGUCCUUUUUCCCUCCCAAUCUUUUUGCAAAAGCUCUUGAUACGCUUGGGCAGGCAACAUCGACUCCUGAAGACAAAGGCAUUAGCUGGAGUAGCCGCAACCAAUGUACAACAUACGAAGAAGAUUGCGUUAUAACUAUCGUAUGUAUAAAAUUCAUCCCACGCCAACAAAUUACACUAUCGAAAUUUUAUGGGUUUUGCAAAUUUUCCACUGAGAUAUGUGUAUUUAACAGGAGGAUAUUUACAGAUGGCUCCUCUCAACAUUCUUUCUGUGGUUUAUUCUGGCGAUUUACUUUGACAACAUAAUUCCAAACGCAAGUGGUGUGAGGAAAUCUGUGUUUUACUUCUUGAAUCCUUCAUAUUGGACAGGGAAAGGUGGAAACAAGGUGGAAGGUAAGAGGCAAGGCAUUGCCGACUUGGCGUCUGUUUGGCCUUGGACAAACAAAAUGUACCUGAAAUGUGCUUUUGGACCUGAAAAGCAGAAGUUCAAAACCUUCUAUUUGUUCGGGUAGUUUUGCUCAACAGUGCUUCUGCAGAGGCUUCGGCCAGGCCAAACUGGCCAUUUCAGUAAUCUUCUAAUGGUCCCUAGGUUGUGAUUUUAUUGGAAAAAACUUAUUAUUAUGGACUGUCUUUUGAAGGAGGAAUCUGUAGCUGCAUUGGUUCGACUCCACCGGUGGAAGAUGUUGCUCCAAGUGAUGAGGAUGUUCUUGCGGAGGAAACCAUUGUGAAGCACCAAGCGGCCAGUGAUGAGAUAGAUCCUAGUACUGCUGUUCAAGUACGUGGCCUAAUGAAAACAUAUCCUGGCACCACAAAUGUUGGUUGCUGUAAAUGCAAAAGAACUCCCCCCUACCAUGCGGUUAAGGUACCCUGCAGUUCAUUCCUUGUUCACAUCAUACAUACAUACAAUGAAUAAUCCUUUAUAAGUGUUUCUUCAUAUCUAUGUAUCUGUGAAAUCAUAGUUUUUAGAAUAUGCGCUUCCAAAACUUAAUUUCUUUGAUGUAUAUAUUUGUACAUACAAAUAGCGCCUCUUUAGGUCCUUCUACUGCAAAACCAAUUUCCCAUUAAGGAUAGGAUGAAUCGAAACUUAUCAUUAUGGUGUUUUUUUCUUUUUCCCUUUUUUUGGGGUAAGAAACUGCUCUAAAGGGAGUACAUAUGAAAACUCAGAUUUGUAGUAGUAUAUCUGUAAAUGGAUGAUUUCGAGAUUGUAUCAGCAGUAUGUGUACGCUUUGCAUUUGUUUAUGUUCAUUAUUGUGAUAACUUGCAGGGUAUAUGGGUAAACCUCGCAAAAGACCAGCUAUUUUGUCUUCUUGGACCCAAUGGAGCUGGUAAAACAACUGUUAUUAAUUGUCUGACCGGCAUCACACCAGUGACAGGGGGAGAUGGUAAAAAAGGAAAAAGAAAAUAACUUGAUAUUUAAUUUGUAGUUAGACAUCUAUUUAAUGACAAUAAGGGACAUCAAAUACUAACUGUCUACCUCUAUCAUUUUGUAGCAUUAAUUUAUGGCUAUUCUGUUCGAAGCAAUGUCGGAAUGUCAAACAUCCGAAGGAUGAUUGGAGUUUGCCCACAGGUUUGAUACAAUUUUCUUGCACAACUGUAGUAUUUCUUUCCUAGAAAAAGAAACAAUUUUCUUAUUUAUUGUAGCACCUUGCAGUUUGAUAUCUUGUGGGAUGCAUUAUCAGCUGAAGAACACCUACAUUUGUUUGCUAGUAUUAAAGGUCUGCCCCCUUCCACAAUCAAAUCGGUAGGUGCUUAAUAACCUGGAAAUUGACAAUUUUGUUCUUUCUUCUCUUUUUUUUUUUCCUCCCAAACAUGAUUGUGGCCUUGGCACACCCUUUCAUUUUAGGGCCUGUUUGGCUCAGUUAGAGCUUCUACAAAAAUAUUGUUCAAGUAAAGCUAUUUGAUGAAGCAUUAUCUUUUUUCGCUUGGCCCCUAACCCAUCAUCCAAAAUAACAAGAAGAAGAAGAAACAACUCCUCAAAAAUAGCUUCUCAUUGCAGAAGGAAUAACUUCAAAUAGGAGUUUUUUCUUUUAAGUUGUUCUAGACGCUAGGUUGUAACUUGGUUUGCUUUUCUCCGAGUAUCUGAGUCACUUAAUUUGAGUACUAAGCUGUAGAUAUCUUCUUCAUUACCAUCUAUCAUUGAAUACAUUGUUCGCUUUGCAGGUUGCUGAAAAAUCGUUAGCUGAGGUGAAACUCACAAAUGCGGCUAACGUUAGAGCGGGGAGUUAUAGUGGAGGAAUGAAGCGUCGGCUGAGUGUUGCAGUAGCCCUUAUUGGCGACCCAAAAAUGGUCUUUUUGGAUGAACCAGUAAGAGAAAUACUGAUUUCAGCUUUUUUUAUAUAAUAGCUAUGCGAGUUUACUAAUUUUCUAUUACUCCAUGCUUCAAAUUUGCAAUAGAAAAAGUCAUACGUGAUAUAAAUAGAAGGAAACAAAAGUUUCUAAAGGUUAUAUUUUGAUAAACUAGGUAUGUGACAAACUAUUUAUAAUCCUUGUAAGCAAAGCUUCUCUUUUCUAUUAAAAGGAUCCUAAAUGGUUAUGUUAGUGGCUCAUUCUUGUCUACAACCUUUUAAUGAAAUUAUUUUUCUUGUAGACUACUGGUAUGGAUCCGAUAACUCGGAGGCAUGUGUGGGAUAUAAUAGAGGAUGCAAAAAAGGGAAGAGCUAUUGUAUUAACGACCCACUCUAUGGAAGAAGCCGACAUUUUAAGCGACAGGAUAGCUAUCAUGGCUAAGGGGAAAUUGCGAUGCAUAGGAACCUCAAUUCGGCUGAAGUCGAAAUUUGGAACUGGCUACAUUGCUAACGUGAGCUUCUCCGGAAAUGGUACAGGGCAAAGUCCAAUCAAUAAUAGUACAGCCCCGAGUGAACAUCAUCUCGAGCAAGUGAAGAGUUUCUUCAAAGAUGUAAGUGUUUGAUUAAUUAAUUUUGAUUUGUUGUAUUUUUUGCUUUGGCCAUUUUUCACAACAAAGAAAAAUAGAGAAAUAAGAACUCCGAUGAACAUUUUUCGAUUUUCGAAGUUCGGACAAAAAUAUCUUUUCAUGGACCAAAAUGCUUCAUAUUGAAAUCUCCGUGGCAUGUCAUUACAAGGAGUGCCAGAGUUUUCUAGUCUAUAGAGGAAGUUUCUGGUCCAGAUUAUGAAAAACAAAGAAAUUCGAUCAAAGUUGCGAAAGGAAAAUGAAGUCUUAUUUGGAAAAACCCCUUUUUUCGUGUUACUGAAGUUAAUCGGAAUCAUUCAUGUACAGCGCUUAAAUGUGGAUCCAAGGGAGGAGAACAGACAAUUCUUGACAUUUGUAAUCCCACAUGAUAAAGAGCCACUAUUAACGGUAACUUUUUGCUUUAAUUACAUCCUUAAAAAGGUGCAUUUGAUACUAUAAUUGGCUAAAAGUAUUGGCUUUUACAACAGGAAUUCUUCGCGGAGCUUCAAGACAGAGAGAGAGAAUUUGGGAUCUCAGACAUACAACUCGGUCUUACAACGCUCGAAGAGGUCUUCCUGAAUAUCGCAAAGCAAGCUGAGCUUGAAAGUUCCGCUGCUGAAGGAAACCUGGUGGUUUUGAACUUAUCUUCUGGAACUUCACUUCAGGUCCAGAGCAUCUCUCUUAUCUUCAUAUAUUGCUACUGCCUAAUUACCUGUUUCACUGCAUCUUCUGCAUACUUAGAACUUUCUCGAAAGCAUACUGCAUCAAAACUGUCAACUCAUUAUCGUGAUGUACAGAACCUAGCAAUAAGCCCUUUUCUUUUUCUUAGAAAAAGAUAGUACGCUAUCUGCUUUGUUCAUUUAGCAUAUAAAGUUAGCUACUUGAAUUGAGGCAAUGCGGCCUUUGUAAAGAUAUAAGCCAACCAAAACCAAAAAAAAAAAAAAAAAAGAGACAAAAACAAAAACAAAAAAACCAAAGAAAAAUAGAUAAAUUAUAUCCCUCACUCAAACCAAAUCAGUAAGAGCUGCAAAAACCUAACAUUAAGCUUUGAUCUUGAAUUUUGUAUGUCUUAAUCAGAUUAUAUCAAUAUCAUAAAGGGUCUUUUAUGUACAAAUAUUCCUGAAAAUUCGUCUAAUUAAAACAUAUCCCUUCCCCCUUGAAAAUGUGAUUUCUUACAAAGACUGCCUUACCUGAAAUUGGGGAAUCAUUUCUGUUUUUUUUAAUAUCAUAACAUAGUCUCUCAAAGAGGGGCAUAAUUGUCUGUAUGAAAGUGUGUUAGAGUUUUUAAACCACAUGCGGAAGCCCUAAUUUUCUGAGAGUAUAUUUGUAAUCAUGUAAUUUUCAUGGCGAACUCUAGAUACAAAUCUUUUGAUUCCGAAUAUUAUACACAGAUAAUGUAUUCAAAUCUAAAACUCUAGAUACAACUCUUUCGAUUCUGAAUAUUAUAUACUGAUAAUGUAUUCAAAUCUAAAUCUGAUCAUUGCAGAUUCCAAAAGGAGCCAGGUUUGUCGGAAUUCCAGGGACAGAAUCGGCGGAUUAUCCGAGGGGUGUUAUGGUGGAGGUGUACUGGGAGCAGGAUGAUUCAGGCACACUCUGCGUCUCCGGCCACUCAUCUGAAAUCCCCAUUCCGCCCAAUGUCGAGCUAACUAGGGCUCCCUCGCUCUCCCGCAGAGCCUCCCGUGCCCGGACGCCUCUCGGGAUUGUCAUCGACCCCACCCAGAUCUUGAAUGGAAGGUGAAUGUUGAUGCAUGUUGUUGGUUAAAUGUAUUAUGCACCAACUUGGUUUCUGUAUGAUUCAGCUUAUACCUGUGAUGCCUUUUUUUCCCUGCCCUUUUUUCUUCUUUCUUCCCCUUGUGGUGUAAAGGUUAGAAAUUGGAUUUUGACCAGUGCUUCUACAGUAUCUGUAAGUAAUUAUAGCUCCACCCCCAAAGGGGUCAGUAUCGCGUGACACUGAUGUUUGUUCAUUGUGUUAAAUUAUACAUGACUAAGAUACAACAUUUUUUAGCCAAAAGUCACAUAUCUGCAGCACCGCACCUUUAUGCAGCUUGUGUUCACCCGCAACCGCGCAUAGUUGCGAGAGAGAAAAUUUCCCCUCAUACUCAAAAAAAAAAAAAAAAAAAAAAAAAAAAAAAAAAGCAGCAGCUUAAGCACCCGUGGCACAAUUUAACUCUCCAAAGUUACAAUCCCGAGUCAAAAUGCUCGCCAGUACAACAAGAAAGCAUGAAAGUUCGAGCGAGAAGUUGAAACAUAAAAGAACAGCAUAAAAUGAGAUUCAGAUUUAAAGGGGACACGUUUUCUGGUAUCAGGGAGUCUCUCUUACCAAAACAGGGUUCAGAUAAAUACAGUCAAAACAAACGAGAAGCAGUUGUAAGCUAUACAUAACGCACGCAAACACAAUACAAGCCCUACAUAGUAAAAAUCAAAUUCCAUCAUCAGAACACACCACAACCUUUAGUUCACAGAAGAAACCUUCAAGAGUCAUGGAUGGCAAUCAGAAGCUUUACACCACAGAAUCAAACAAUAGAGAGAGACAACAGGUUCGCAGGCAAACCCCUAAAUAUCAGCUACUUAGAAAAGCAUUUUUCGGAGUCCUCUUUUUUUUUUUGCUUUUUUUCCUUUCCUUUAACACCUAGGUCUCCAUUAAUCUUAAAUUGCUCUAUCUUCAGAUAUCAAAGUAAAGGUGAGGAUCUUUUCUAAAUACCAAAUUCGGAAGCGCUUUUUGUGGAUCCCGUCGCUGAACAUCUUAGCGUCUCCAUUCAACCUGGAUUGGCCGUUCUGCUGACAACGAAACAUACAUAAGAAGUUAGGCUAUUAAGUUAUUCUGUUACUAACUGGAGAAAAUGGUGCAGGAUUGAGGAUGAAUACAAGAACAUGCAAUCGAUGAUAGAAGCAACUGAUACUCUUCAUUGAUAACCUCGACACCUGGGGUUGUGAGAUUUGAAUAAUGCAAAUAACUUUUGCCGCACGAAAAUUAUUGCCUUCGCAUCACCGUUGGCGCAUGUGAUGUUGUUCCCCAGGGGAUUAUAAAUGGCAAUUACACUUGCAGAAAGUAAAAUCUAAUAGUUCAUCUGAAAGACAAAUGCUACAUAAAUAGUGUUGUUAUGGCUUGAAUCUGAAAAGUUUUCCCUCCACCUACAUUCUUAACCAUGUUACAAGUUGGCCCUAAACUAGCGUAUAUUUUUGUGCCCAAAGGAGCUCUAAAAAGCAAAAAAGGAGACGGCAAAGUCAUGCUCCUCUCCUCAUCAGUCAAAUACUAUGAUUCAAUUAAAAUACUCUUAGAAAUCUAAUAAUAUUAAAGUUUCUCGAUAAAUCGCUUGCUUGGCACAUUUAAUCAACAUCAUCUCCAUUCUCUUCGCAUUUUGCACUACUAAGCGCCUACUUUGGUAUGCCUUAAUAUGUAACCUGUCAACCUUUUUUUUUUUAACUAGAGAAACAUAAUGAGAGAAGGAACAAGAAAAUGUAUAAGAUUGUCAUUAACAAGAAAGAGAUUGUGAGCACAUACCACUCCCAUCUCUUGACGACAACAGAGACCUGUCACCUUUUAUUCCCCCCUUGCCGCUAACUUGGCCAGGCCUCUGUGUGCGCGGCGAGUACGAAUUCAUUUUCCCAUUCGAGGACGGAAGAGAAUGGCGACGUGUGAUUCCACUCUUGUCCCCCGAAUCCGAGCCAAACCUAGGUGAGAUUUGCCCCCGCAGUUUUGCCUUUGCAGAUUCCGUUGUAGCCAUAUAGCUAGGCAAAACCGGAGAAUUAGUUACACCAUUUUCAGGAUAAUCCAACUUAGUCGCGAUCGAAGACCUCCUCCUCCUGGUUUUCUGGCUUUCAGAACUAGGUAGUUGUUGUUCUUCCUUAGAGCUUAAUUCCCCAUUAGUAAUUACCAUAGCAUUCUCUUCAUUUUCGAUGCUCUGUAAUGGUUGUAUUUCAACUUCUAGGGAAACAUCAGUUGCUGCACCGAACUGAACAUCCUCUGUUACCGAUUUCCAAAUAUUUUCCACUUCAGGCUUUGUUUCAGGACUUGGAGUAGAUUCUUUCUUUUCCUUUAAUAAAUCACCAUUGCUCUUUUCUGGAAUGCUAGUAUCAUUAAUGGAGCUUGACACUUCUUGUAUAGUCUGAGAUGGCUUCUCGCUUUCCACCUUUGGAUGGUCAGAAUCCUCCUUCAUUAAGUUUGAAACCUUUCUUAGAUUGCGUUUAACCUUUUCAAGCUCAGUCUGUGGACUUUCUGGCGCAGACUCAGCAGGAGAGCUAGAGAACUUUCUAGGGUUUCUUUUCACUUUGUCGGCCUCCAAAUUUCCGUUCAAUUGAUCAGACUCAACUGGAUUUUUUCUUAUAACACGCUUUGAUUUGCCCGAUUCUGUUUCCAUAGCAUAAUUGGGUCUUUUGGUAUGUAAUUUUGAUUCAACGUUCUUCUUAGGUGGGGGAAUUGGCUUCCAGAAUCGUGUGAUCGUCCAUCUCUCCAGCCAGCUGAACACUGAAUUGGGAUCCUUUUCAUCAUAAAGGAUUUGAAGUGCCUUUGUAACAGCUACUGAAGAUAGAAGCUGCCAUAGAUAUGAAAAGGAAAGGCACAAGCAUAAUAAACUGGUUCAAAGGAGAAUGAAAUGGAAAUAUUUAAACAUAUACUCUUACUAAGUAAUGUACUUGCACAUGCAUUCCUCUAAAGUUUGAGCAUAAUUGUAUACUUCAAAAGCCUAAUAUCUUACAUAUUUACCCAUUAUGAACAAAAGUGGCCUUUUGUAAAAAGCUUCUUCCACUAAGGGCAUGUUUGUUUCAACGUAAGUAGACUCGGGGUGGAAGUGGACUUUGAGUUGAAGUGGAGUUGGAGUGAAAAUUAAUUCACUUCCACUGUUUGUUUCUAACUAUGGAAAUGCAGUUCUGCGAGUUCUGUUGUUUGUUUGGUUGAAAGUAGAUGACGUAAAAAAUAUAGCUCUUCACCCCCGGUAUACUUACCUCGGAAGUGAUAUCAUUGUCUAUUUUGUAACUUAGUGAAUAAUAAAUUAUAAUAAAUAAAAAUUAAUAUAAUUAUAUAUGUAUAUAAUUAUAUAUAUGUAUGAUUAUAAAAUAAAAUUUUAAAAAAUUUGAUUAUUUGUUUGCAUAUAAAUUAUAAUAAUACAACAAAUAAAAUUCUAAAGUUAAAAAAUUAUUAACAUUUAACAAAUUCAUUUUUCAUCAUUUUCUAAAUAUACAAAUUAAACAAAAAAUAUAUUAAAACUUACCUAACCAAAUUUGAUCAUAUUUUAGACAUACAAUCAAAAUAAAAAAUUUAAGUACUUCCACAAUUGAAUAUAUUUGGAGUUGGAUUUGGGACUCUGGAGAGGAAAGGGUAGAGAAGAGGGUAACCCUAGCACAUUAAUUCCCACUCUUGCCUCUUUUCACCUCACAGAAAUUGACUUCGCCCCAUGGGAGGGGGAAGUCAAUUUCAUUAUUUUGGGUGAACUAGACUUUCGGACGUAAUAAAAUUACGGUGAACCAAACAACGAAAGUGGUCUGUUUUCACCGAAAAUUACUUCCCCCUUCCCACUUCCACCCCACUUCCGUGCAAACAAACAGACCCUAAACGAAACCAAAUCAGUUGAUAAAGUAGAUCACUCUCCACUUCAAAAUAAGGUUCUAUCCCAAGUUGCUAAAGUUUCUAGGGGCGCAAAUGAAACUUCGAAUUAGAAGUGUAUAUAUGUAAAAACAUGAUUUUGACAUGGGUGUAUCUGUAAAAGGCCCAAAGCAAAAAAAAAACCAAAAACAUAACAAGGGAGAAUGAAGAUAAAUGCCACAACAAGAUAGGGACUCAACAAUUGUCUUCACAUUGCAUAGAGUCUAAGCAAACCCAAACAAAUUUAUGAGGAAGGACAUUGUAUUAUAGUAUAAUUUGGUGAUAGAGUUGGGCUUACCCUCAGAACAAACUUAUUUGAGGAGAAUCGCCCUUUCCAAGUAUCCAAAGGUUUAGCAUUCUGAAAGGAGAUGAAGAAAAAUACUAGUUUAGAAGAACAGAGAUAAAGUUAUUAGAAAAGAAAAUUAAUAUUUCACAGUUUCUACUGAGUACAAAACUUCUUAAGAUCAGCAACUCAUUUCUGUUGGGACAUGAGUACAAGUACAUCAAUUAUAAAAGUACAGCAUUAUGGACAAGAAGCUGAGCUUGACUAGAAGUCAAAAACAUUAGCUUUCUGAUGCAUGCAAAUUUUGUAAAACCUAGAAGAUCAGACAAAACGUAGUAGAAUCAUUCCAUAGGAUAAAAUAGAUACCGACUCUAGUACAAUUGCAACCAAAAUAGAAGCACGGUGAGCUCAAGCUUCAAAGCUUGAUUGCAAGAACCCCGAAAAAUCUAGAUGGAUUUACUGAGGUGGGUGAUAGUGAUCCCAGUAAACUUCAUGAAAUUCUCCAUAUGCUCUGAUACAGCUAACAAAGAAGUUUUGACUCUAAAUGGAGAUCAGGUCUGACUUCAUCGCUCCCAAUAGGCCAAAACUGUAUUUCGAUCAUUUAUUUUUCCCCAAUUUAUGGAUUUAUGGAAGACACAUGAUACGCGAGCAAAAUAAGACAAUUCCCCAGUCCCCACUAAAUUCUAACCAUACGAUAGAUUUAGAUUCUCAUGGUUUUUGAGAAGCAAAUUAAGCUAAAAACUUGAUGUGACUGGUCACAACAAGAAAGGAUUACAAAGAUGCCUACACGACAGAACAAUUGAGGAAGGGCCUGUUUUGCCAUAUAGUGCAAAGCUAUUUAAUCCACUAAUUUCUCUCUACAGCAGAAGUAGAAGUUUUAAAUUACAGCUGCUAUUUUCAGGGCACUAUCUCAUUUCAGCUUCGUUGCCAUAGUAGUAGCUUCAAACUUCUCUGUUUGCCAACACUCUACUACAGACAGCUGGAGCUGAAAGAAAAAGUAGAAGCUGGGCCAAAAAGGCACCAAUUGGAACUAAAAAAAAAGAUAAAAGAGUCGAUAUAUUCUCACAAAAACAUCUUUUGUCAAUCAUCUUUUAAAUAUUGCAAGUUUCAGGACUAUUACCAGAGUUUUCUGUGGCAAAAACAUUGUACUGACUUCAAGAGCGAUACUGGAGUGUCUAACAAUUCUUCCACGAACUACAGCUUGCAGCUUUACAAUUGCAUGCAUAGCACAAAGAGUUGCAACAGCUUGCCUCCUAACAAGAUGUCCACGGAUCAGGGCUUGCAGCCUUAUAAUACCUUUCAGAGCACGAAAAGCUCUACGUGCCUGCACCAAAAAGCAUGCCAGCAUCAGACAACAGCAAGAUGUCAUACAAUUAACUUGAAACUAAAAUCUCAUAGCUAAGCUAGUUCAAGGAAUGCCCAAGUACCACAAACCAACGCGCGGGUCGAAAAUACUCUGGUACUUGCAUGUUCUUAUUAUUAGCCAUAAAUAAUAUACAACAUGAAAAUUCUCAAUAUAUAUGGGGUGAUUGGGCUGUCAGGUGAGGUCUUUGAACAAUACUCUGAUUGAAAAUGCCACAUAGCUAGUAAUUUACUUUGAACUUCUUUAAAAUACAUAGUUCGAUAAGUUAGUUAUUUACUACACAAUAGUGGUAUAAUUAUGCAUUUGCAGAUUAGCUGAAAUGUUGAAUAAGUGACCCUUGAGGCCUUGACCCAACCACACUCGUUUGAUGGACACUCCAGGUUACAUACAAUUUAUACAUAGUGCAUACUGGAUAAUAGAAAACCAGAUAGAGAUCUUUAAGGAAUUCAACAUGACGGCAACUUGCAAACCACUCUGAAACAGAUUAAAUUACCAGAUAACCUCGGAAGGCAGCUUGUGCCUUUAUAGCAGCCUGCUCUUCCCUCAAUCUUUCAGGAUCUUUCGAUUCAUCAAUUCCAGAAACACUUUGUUUGUCAACGUCUUGGUUUACAGCUGAAAUAUCUGCUCCAUCACCAUGUAAAUAAGAAGGCGCUUCCUUUUCUAGUGACGGUAUUGCUGCAUUGUUAUGAGCGCUCACGAGUACUGGUUCGGAGAUCACUGGAGAGUUCUCAGCAGAAGCAGGUUCUUUUCCCCCAAUAUGACAUUUGUCAUCUCCAGCCUUCUGCAACUGAGAUUGAAAGAUCAGUUAAUAGUCCUAUGCAGUACGGUCCGAAUAGAUUGGUAAUGUAUGAGAAUUUAUGCAGGUUGCACAGAAUGUGCAUAUGAAACAUCUUAACAAAUAUAGUCCAGAAAAGAGAAUAAUAUGAAAUAUCUUAACCAAUAUAGUCCAGAAAAGAGAAUAACACUAAAAUACAGCACUAACAGGACAACAUUUUUCUCUAAUCAUACGAGGUUUUUUUCAUAACGUUGUAUGCAAUCUAGCAAGCAUGAUUACAGUACUUUGACGAUGUUCAUGGGAGGUGAAUUUUUCCAGACUUGUUUUUGUGAAAUUUGAGCGAAAAAUUCAUUGCUUCUGACAAGAAACCAAGUGAUGAUACAAGAACUGGUAAUAGAAUUAUAGUACAAUAAACUGGGAACUAAAUAAAAGAUGUAAACUAUUGGCCUUUGCAGAAGUAUUGUGUGAUUGGAGUUGUCGAAAGAAGCCUUAACAGCUUUUUCAUGGAAAUCAUCUCAGCAGUAACUAGAAGAAGAAGAUCCAAGCAUAAUCUCAUUUCAGAUUUCUACCAAAGCCAAAAAAUUGUGCACUUUUGUACACUAAGAGGCUAGCUUUCGCUUCUAAAGCAGAGAAUCCACUCCAAUGACUGAACAGGAACUAAAACGAAAAGGAGCAUCAGCAGCUGCCAGCUAGGGUUUUCUUACAGUCACUAACUAAUGAAAAAGACCGUUCUUUCUCAUCAGACGGUGACAUCACAACAAAUAAGAAUUCCUUCCCUUUGCCGAAACAAAAACAAGUACAUACCGAAGAAUUCCUUCCUUUUGUCGAAUGAGAUCUAGCUGAUUUCUUGCCAAAAAGCAGUGUCUUGAUCCAUUUCGCAGGUGAUUUCCCCAUCUUGCGAUGUGUUCUCUCCUAUAAUGUAAGCCUGCAAGAAAACAGAUCACUGCAUUAAGCAACGGAAACUAGCAUCAAUUUAACCUUAAAUCGUGAGAAAAUUAGCUGCAAAUACAGUUGUCCUACUCAAUCUCCAAAGAUAUCAAGUUCUACAAAUUAUCUACCCAAUUUAUUGCAAUUCUUCUGACACGCAAAAGAAAUCUGAAAACAGAUCCACUCUACGGUGUACCAAAAGACAGAAGAAAUAAUGUUCCCAUCGCACAAACGCACAAGUGACCUGAACAACAUGCUAAAUUGCCUCCAACAACCUCGCACCAUUCUCCAAAACCCUAGACAUUCACGAAACACAUUGCGAACCCUAACCCUAGAACCCUACUUCUCCUAGAUCCGACACCGACGCCCGUCAAAUCAAGUAGAUAAGCAAAAUUAUCAACAAUAAAACAGAAAAUAAUCAACCCAAUCGGUAGCUCAGAGCAGCUAGAACUGAGUUUUAACUCCCGAUCGGAAAAAUGGCCCCGAGCACUCGGAACAAGAUUUCAAGAACAAAAAAGAAAACGAAACCCUAGAUUACGAAUAGAACAUCAACGCAAUGCACGAACUACGGACAUCGGAUUCAAGGAGAAGGGAGAGGGAUCGAAACCUCGUAGAUCUGGGAACUUGCGAGGCGUAACCCGACGAGUACGGAAACCCUAGCACUCUCUCUCUCUCUCACUACUCUCUCUCUACUCCAUUUUCGAGCCAGUGUAAGGAAGAAGAAAGGGGAGUGUGUAAAGUGGAGAGAGAGAGAGAGAGAGAGAGAGAGAGUGAAUGAGAUCUGAGACGAGAAUGAUACCGAGAGUGAAAAAAAAAGAAACGAAAUUAAUAAAUGAGAAAAUAAAAAUAAAAGAUAAAAACGUAUGGAGGCCCCUCACCUAUUGCAAAUUUUUGAAUCAGGCCUAAACCGUUUUUUUAUGUUUAUUUCAUUUAACUACUAUAGCCAUUAAAUUUAAUAACUAGACUAAUUAUUAGUUAUUAAUUAUUCAGUCUCAUUUGUUUGAAAGUAAACUAAGGUUUCUGAUAGAAUUGCUGAUGAGUUUAGUAAAAAAUCACAAUUUAUCAUAAAAAAAAUACUUACUUCAAAAAUUUAAAAAUUAAAAAAAUCUUAAUCGCAAUAAUAGAAUUUAGUUCAGAUGAAGAGCACACUAACAAUUUAUUUCAUAAAGCGUGAUUUACUAAUUGUUUGUCCAUGCAUUAUAUAUAUAUUUUAAUUAGUAUUUUUAUGACACAUGAAAUUACAAUUCAUGGAGUUAGAUAUUUUAUUCGAUGUAUAGGUACGGUUGGGAUAGAAUUUCUACAUAGUAAUUUAGUAAAACUUUUUUCACUUAAAUUAAGUUUUUCAGAAUAAAAUAAAGGGAUCUAUUUUAAAAUAGCCUAUAGUUGAGGGGUCCUUAUAAAUAUUUUAUCUAAAAAAGGAAAAUAUUAUUGAUACACUCAAAAUAGAGAGUAAGAUUUACAAUGCCUCAUGGGAGGGUUUAAAAAUUCUUUAAAUUUUUAGUAUUCAAAAAAAUUAAUUUUAACAAGAUAAGAGUCCAUUAUAGACCUUUGGAUGAGGUGAUAUAAGAGUUACAUGCUUUUUUUUUUUGUGUAUGUGUAACAUUGCUAAAAAAAUAUACAUAAAGACUCAAUUUCGUUCUCAAAAUUUAAUAUUUUACAAAAUUUGACUCAAACUUUCCAAAUUGUUAUAACCCUCCCAAUCUAAUUUACUUGACUGAAUAUUUGUGCGCCAUUAAUAUGAAAGCAAUGUUGUAGUAUUGUGAUUGAUGGCAUCUUGUUACUUCCAUAUCAGUAAUACAUUAAUAUCUUAUCAACUAAAUUGAGUUACGAAAUCCGAUUAAUAAUAAUUUAUAAAGUUCGAACAAAAAAUUAUAAUAAUUUAAAGUUUGAAUACCAAAGAUUCACAUGCCUCAUAGUUUUAAGGACCAGAAGCGUACUUUGGGAAUUAAACUUUCUAGACUUUAUCAAAUAAUUUAAUGAAUCAUUCUUCUGAACCGAAAUUUUUAAUUGAAUUAUUGUUACAUAUUCAUGCCUUACACAUAAUUUUGUAUGCCUUCAAAACACAAACACAUAAUUUGCUCUUCUGAAUCCGAUAAUUAAGCAUUAAGAUUUAAUAAAGAAAAGAGAGCCAUCAGAUUAAAAAAGUUGUGAGGUUAAAAAGGUUGUAGGGGUUUGUGUACAAAAUUGCUUAAGGUUUAGGGGCUCUCUGCAUAUUUUUUUGAGAAAACUUCAAAUACCCCCUUGUGGUUUCAUUUUUUCUCACUUUCGUACCAUGUGGUUUAAAGUGUAUCAAGUUAGUACCUCGUGGUUUAAAAUGUAUCAAGUUAGUACCCUAUGGUUUCGCACUUUCUCACUUUAGUAUCAUGUGGUUUAAAAACCACAGAAUACUAACUUGAUACAAAAAAAAAAAUCACAGGGUACUAACUUGAUACAAAAAUAAAACCAUAGAGAACUAACUUGAUACACUUUAAACCACAAGGUACUAAAGCGAGAAAGUGCAAAACCACAGGAUACUAACUUGAUACACUUUAAACCACAUGAUACUAAAAUAAAAAAGUACAAAACCACAGGGAGGUUUUUGAAGUUUUUUCUAUUUGUUUUUAAAAAAUAAAUGAAUUGAGUGAUGUUAUUUUAUUAGUCACAUAAUAUGACAAAAAAAAUAAAUCUUAUUUAUUAGAUGAACGAAGUGUACAUCAUUCACCUCAAAAUGAAUAGCCUUUUUCACAAAAAAAAAGAGAAAAAUUUCAAAUACCACCAUUGUGAUUUCACACUUUUUUAUUUUAGUACCUUGUAGUUUAAAGUGUAUAAAUUUAGUGCUCUGUCAUUUUUUUUAUCCUUUUAUUAUCAAUUUUAUUAAUUUUUUUGUUAAAUCAGUGACAAAGUUAAAACUAAACAGUAUUAAUGUGAAUAUUUAGUAAACCUAGGUAGGGUAUCCAAGUCUUUUGUAUAUAAUUUAAUAAAAUAUUAAUGAAGAAACUGACGCAAAAUUAAAAAUAAAACCACGAGAUACUAACUUGAUACAAUUUAAACUAUAGGGUACUAAAGUGAGAAAUUACGAAACAGUAAAAAAAAAAAAAAAAAAAGGGGGUUGAAGCAGAAGAGAGUGGGGCCCACACCCCUACGGGCAACAAUUUCAAAUAAAGCGCAUUGGUAAGAGACCCGGAACUGUGACUCAUUAAUGAGACCGUCCUUGCUGGCACUUUGUCAUAUCGACACGUGUCCUUUGGUGCGUGCAGAGUGAACAUCUAGGUCCAAAUGGUCCCCUCUGUCCUGGUUUGCACGGCGUUGCUUUUUUUAAAAAACUUCAACUAAACGCCUCAAAACUACUGCUGCUUUUGGGCCCGGACCUUGUUAUUACUUUUUGUUUUUUUUUUCUAUUAAAAAAACGGAAAUGGAUAUUUAUUCUCUAUUUUCAUUUUUUUUAAAAAAUAAAAUAAAAUGGAUAUUUACGUACAAUUAGAUUAUAAAAUAUGCUGUUAAAAGGUCGAAGAUACAUUUUUCCCUUGAGACAUAGAAAGUCAAACAAAUUAUAAAAAUAUACGGUAGAUUUUUUAUUUUUAAAAUUCAAGUAUCUGUCUCGAAAAUCGAAAUACCGUAGCAUCUAUAUAUAUAGUUAUGAAUUGGAGAAACAAAAAUGGUACGGCCGCCCUCUCCGUGAAUUGGGAAAAUUAUUCAAGGAAUCUGAAUAAUUUUUCAUCAAUAAAUAUUUACAUAUGUAUAAAGUAAAAUCCGAUUCGUCUGAGCCGGCUCGGUGUGAUCAAUUUUUGGCUAGACGGAUUCGACCCAGUCCGGUCAUUAUGGGCUGGGUCGAGCUUGAAUAGUUUGCUAUGUCUUUGGACUGAGGACGGUCCGGUCCAGGCCGUUUUUUCCGUGGCUUGGCCCGGACUGGAAUUUGCUUAGUUCGAUUCAUAUUUUUACAAAAAUGAAUUUGAUUUUUCAAAUUCACCCAUUCUUAAUGAGAGAAUAAAUAUCACGAAACAAAUUUGUACUUCAGAAAAAAAAGAAAAGAAAAAAAGAAGACAAUUCAACCACCCCACUAGGAAGAGAAAUGCUUCUUUUUUUUUUUCUCCUUUUUGUCUUUUCAGAUAGAAAGAGUGUUUAGAGUAGCAAGUCCUAAACUUCAAAAUCACUCUUAAACCAUUAUUAGUGGGUAUUUAUGUGCUAUAUACAUCAAUACAGUCGAAAUCCUAUAGUAAUACAAACAUUAGGAACACCAAAAUCUCACUGUUAUUGUAGCAUAACAGCUUUGAUUUUACGACACUACUCGAGUUUAUUUACUACUUUUAUUGUACAGCUUGAGCCUUUGUACAUAUUGCGGCGCGAACAGCACAAUCUUAAGGAUUAUAUUUUCUAGAGAUGUCACUUUGUUAACCUUAGCCUUGCACCCAGAAAAGUUGAAACCCCGGUAACUUGAUGAAGCUGCGAUUUUGUUUGAUGAGGCCCUUGAACUUUACUUUUCCUUUCUUUUCUUUUUUGUUUCUUCUUUCCUAAAGAGGUUAUUAAACCAAAGUCAAAGAUUUCUUUAGCCAAUACUGCUGGAACCUUUGCCGCGCGUACUCCAUGUAGUCGAAGUCGAUGUCGUUUACGUGUUCCUGUAGUUAAAGAGGGGAAUUAGCGAAGAGCAAAAAGAAAAAGAAAAAGAAAAAGAAAAAAGGGAAGAAUGCGUAGAGAAUGAUUUUAAAAGUUGAAGAGAGAGUUUGCGAUGGAGAGCGGCUUACAGAGAUUAAUCCCCAAAGGCCCCAUACGAGAUGACUUGCGAGAGCAUACUUCUCGAUGGUUUCGAGCAGGUUCUCGAGUUCGGUGUCAUCAGGUUCCUCACCUGUUUCGAGAGGGAUCCAUAUUCUACUUUAGAGAGAGUAAAAUGGAGGAUUUAAGCAUGAAUAGCAAUUUUUUAUCGAAGUGUCGCAUUUAUUUUGUAGUAAAAAAGCAAAUUCAGAGGAAUCGAGACAAGUUCAACGAUAUUCAGAUGAUGAGAAACUGAAAUAAGGUACUCCCCGACUAAUUCAUUCAGCAUUAGCCAAAUAUUGCUAUACCCCUUAACCCGUAAACUCUCGGGCCCUGUUCAUCCUUGUCCUAACAUCAUUAUGGCAAUUUUAGUAUACUGAAUCAGUUGUGUCGUUCUUCUAACGUAGCAUUCGCGAUGUUCAUUUUCUUAAGCAUGGCUUAUCUCUUUACCAGUGAGCUCUAUUCUAACAUAAUUGAUUAUAGUGCAAAGUAAGUGGCCAGGUUCGGUAUGACUACUGCCAUCUGACAUGCUAUUUAACAGGAAAAAGAAUCAAAUAAAAAGAAUAACACUUGCAAAAUGAAAAACAGCCACACACUACUGAUUAUGAUAUUAUGUCAAGGACGAUAAGAAAUUAACAUGAAUUCCAUUUUUUUUUUUUGAGAAAAACAUGAAUUCCAUAUUACCAGAAGAACUCAGGUAGGUCUCCACAAAUCUCUUACGCUCCUCGAAACCUGUCAAGUGGAAUCAUGUAAGAAUUUUUAUCAAGUGAUCAGAUUGAAUGGAGAAAAAUAGUAAAACAACAACAUCAAUCAAGCAAAUAUGAGAAGUUGGCUACCUGGGUACUUGGUGUAGUCUAAUAUGUGAGGCUUUUCCGAAUGGUAGUUAGCCGCCAUCUCACAAAAGUGAUUCGCAAUGUCAUAUGCAACUGGAUUGAAACUUGCAUACUCGUAAUCCUAUUCAAGAAAGGAGAUACAAGUAAAUCAACUAAACUCCACAUUUUCUACUCCCCCUCUCUCUAAAAUCAAAAGGGAGCACGAAUUUCAAACACUAAACAACAAAGUGACGGGAGAAAAAAGGCCAUAAAGCAGCAGUAGUGAUAGAAUAAAUAAGUUUAAUAGAAAUAGAAAAGACACAACAUAUGUUUUCAAAAUAAAGUCAAUCCCAUGUAUAAUGCGCCGCUCAAACAACCAUUACUAAUCACUCCCGGAAAAAUAAACUAGUAGUGCAAAUUGCUCAAAUAGUGACACUUACUAUAAGAGGAAGAAACAAAUAUAAUUCUGCAUAUGGUGGAAGGUUAUGUAAUUGAAGAACAAUAGGAAUUAUAUUGGAGAAUUGACAGAAGAAAAAACUUACAAUUAUGGUCACUAAGCUAGUCUCUUCAUCAAUCAUGAUGUUGCCAUACUGAAGAUCAUUAUGACAAAACCCUAUCCUCUGAUUCUGGCCAGAAAAUUCGUUCUCUAAAUCAGUAAUCUCCUCCUCCAUGAUAUCCAAGCAAUAUUCUUCGGCUUCCUCAGGGGGGCACAAGCUCCUUGCUGCCCUAAGCCAAUUCCUUAAAAAGGGCAGAUUGUAAAUAUUAUGUCCAUUUGUUUUAACAAAAUAUUGAUAUACAAUAUUUGAUAUAGCAAUUAAAAGGUACCUUAAUCUGUUCCAAAGCUGAAUUGUUUUUGGACCAGGCAUGUCAAGAUCAUGAAAUUCCCUUAGUUUUGCUGCCACGAGAGCAGAAAUUUUUUCGUCACGAAGGUCAACAGCUGAAAGGGUCUGUAGUGCCAUAAAAACCAAAUCAGAAUCUCUAUAGUUGAAGGACAACUUUAUAAGUCACUUGUAUUUAUAUGUAUAAUGACAAGUUCUUAUACAUCUCUUAUGUCUUAUCACCAAAAAAUACAUCCUAGGCUUCAUAUACUUUCUAUUUCUGUUGUUAGUCACACCUCUUAGUCCUUUUCUUUUCCAAAGAGAAGUGAAGAAAAGUCAGAUAGACUGGUUAAAGCUAUUCAAAGAUCUAGUAUUGGUUACGCAAAAUCAAAGAGCUAACUUAUUUAACAAACUAUUUCUCUGGUUCAUAAUCCCAUUCUUGAAUUCAUCCAUUAUCUAAAACAUAAAGAUAAGAAACAGAUUCAUCUAAAAAGAUCUAAAGGGGAAAGAAACACCUUAGAAAAGUCACGGCAAUCAUAGUUCAAAACAGGAAUCAUAUAUACUCUUAUUUGCAAUAGCAUAAGCACCCUUUUGACCAAGGAAUUUAGAGAAUUCGUAGAGCAACUUUAUUCCAAAGUAACUUUUCCAUUUCGCAUCAUUUCCCUUAAUCCACUAACUUCUUCUAAGCAGAUUCCUAGCUUUGUAAAGAUGGAUUCUUCACAUUUAUAGCGAUCGAACCAAUUAUACUUCCUAAGUAAUACUAGGUAACGUCUAGGAUUUUGCAGCCCAAGCCCCCGGGAUAAGAGAGCAACAAAACCAAAUUUCGAUUCAACAAAUUACUCGACGAAAGUAAAUUACCCUAUUAUUUGCUAUCAUCUCCAACAAAUCAAUAGGACUACCAAAAUAACCCUAUUAUUGGCAAAUUUUCUAAAAAAAUAGGGCAAAAAUUAGAAGAACAAAGGAUCGAUUUAGGCGAAUACAAACCCUAGCGUGGAUGAACUCCUCGAUGCGCCCGUUCGGGAACCGGGCGAGGAGGCGCGGGCCCUGGCCGUGGCGGGAGAUGCACUCGAAGGUGCGCACCUCGUCGGCGCGAUCGAAGAAGAGAUCCGUCCCGUCGCCAUAGAUCCGGAGCAGCACCUUCUUCUUCCUCACCUCCUCCUCCUCCGCCUCCUCCUCCGCCGCCCCCGGCCUCCUCCUCCGCCACCGCACCUGGUAAACCUCGUUCGUCAUCGCCCCGUUCAUCGGCACCACCUCGAGCGCCCACCGCCCCUCCUCCGCCGCCGCCGCCGCCGCCACGGCGCCUCCGGCGAACCACCGCGCCGUGAGUCCCUGCAGCGCCCCCGCCGCCUCCCUCGGGAUCCGCAACCCCGCCGCCCCGAUCUCCACCGCCACCAUCGUCUCCUACCCCCUCCUCGCCCGGUGAGUUCGCCGAAACCCUAGCUCGGAGUCUCUAAUUAAGAGAGGUUUGAUCGAAAUAGAAUCUCCGAUGAGCAAAUCCGAUAUUUAUAGUUUAGAUAAAAUAAAAUGCGUUCGAUUCUUAGUUUCCUUUCAUGAAAGGCGUCUUAAAUAACAAGAAACCAGGUGGUAGGGGGACAAAGCAGAGGCUUUGGAAACGAGUCGUUGAAAAGAACUACUCCGUGCACCGGGCCUACCACAUCAUUUGAACCGAGCCAGUUAUGCCUUUCUUAAAAGAUAAAUAGAACGGGUAUUUGACAAUAGACCGGGUCCAGGAAAUAGACCCAGAGGUUUACGAAGAGGGUGGAGCGGGAGAGACCGUUUUAAGGCGACACGUGUCAGAGAGCGAUUGGCAGUGGUGGCGACUAUCGAGGGAGGGGAGCAAGAGCGGGCACAGAACGAAGAGUUGGGGGGGGGAGCGAGGGAGGCGUGAGUAUAUAUAGGAUGCGUGUGGGGCCCGCUUUAUAGCCAAAACAGCGACACGUUGAUUAUUUUAUGUCAUGCCACGUGGCAUGGCGUGUGGGCCCACGCUUCGCGGCUUUGUAAAUUGGUCAAAGGAAGAGCGGCACGCGCUGCACCCACGGCACUCAGGAAGCGACACGUGUAAGCGACGGAAGGUUCGACACGUGGCGUUUGGUGUAUGGAUAAGGUGCGUGGGAUCGUGCAACACGCAGCGUAGGUCGAUUUCCACGAAAAUAGACAAAUAUCUCGGCCGACCGUGUGAAACGGAGCGCACGCGGAUCGAAGUGUUUGUGGAUUGACGAAAUUACCCCUGAGAAAUUUUCAGGAGCUCAAAGCUGUACUCUACUUAUCCGAGAGCUCUUAUUCUUUACUUCUCUUAUCAAUUUUUUUUAUUAAAAAAUUAAAAUUUAUACUUAUUUAUAAAUAUAUAAAUAUAUAUAUAUAUAGUAUUUUUAUUUUUUCAAUGGCUUUUAAUAAUGUGAGAACAACAGUCGUGACUUUCACCAAUGCAACGCAAAUGGGCUUUUCUAAUGCUUUUGAAUUGCUAGACUCUUGUGCGAAGUAAAUCUUUGCACAUUUGUGGUAAGAUCAAUUUAUGCUAUUUGCAUAUGAAGAUUAUUUUUGCACGGAGUGAUUCCACUUCAAAUUGAGCCAUCCUUGUAAAUUUAUAGAUCGAUCAUGAAGCAGAUUUAUAGUGGGAUAGAAAUACGCUCUCUUUUAUAGCAAGUGUCUUUUUUCUACAAACACGUGUGCAUGUCGGAUUGAUCACGUUACAGAUUUGUAGAGGAUUGCCCCGCUAUAGAACCCCUACGACGCUCAAUAGUCCCGCAUCAGGUGAAAAAGAAAUUAUAAGUAGAAAUAUAAGGAUUAUAUAUAGAAACACAAGGAGUAGGAACCAUACUAUCAAUUACUGAAGUUAAAUAUUUUUGGCUGGUGAUUUGAACCAACGAAUUAUUACUACUAGUGUACAGGAUUGUUAAAAUUAAUAUCAAAACCAGUUCACUAGCUGGUUGUGAUGCCGAAUCGUCCCAUAUCAGAUGAAAAAGGAUUGCACCUUUUAAUUUCAAUUUUAACUUUUUUUUAUUAUUCUUUGACACACCACUAAUCAAAGUAAAAGACUAGCAAGUAGAGUCACUGAUCAAAGUAUGUGGACUGCCAUAGAGUUAAGCUUUUCUUUAAUUGAAAGAGAUAAGCUAUCAAGGAAGUGUUAUGUAUAGCAGGUUUCUUAUACCAAAUAGUGGUACUUGUUCAUAUCUUUUGAUCAUGUUGUAAGGUGCAGCGCUAGCACUGUUAACUAAAGUAUUAUGUCAGAAGCAUUGUAUGGAGAUCUCCCAAUGUAUAACUUCUUUUUGCAGCAAUAGAUCAGCUUCAAAUUAGAGAUUAUACUUUUUAAAUUCAAAUGUUCUAUUUUAGUUUACCGUUGCAUGCAACAAGAGUCCUAAACUUUUCUACUUGUCAAAUAUUGUGCGACAGAUGUUCGCAAAGUAUAAGCAAACAAGAUCUCAAACAGAAAAAAAUGUUUUAAUUACAACAUCGAUCUUUUUUUGUAGGAUAACAACAACCACUCAAAAGCUUUAACUCUGGUUAAAACUAUACGAAUAAGAUUUUCUUCAAUAAUAAUUUCAACAUAAACUUAUCAUAUUACACAGUUUAAUACGGUUCAUUUAAUAUUAGAUCUUACGAGACAUGCCUAUUACAAAAAUUAAGAGUUUCUCGCCAAAUAAGCACUACAUUCUACAUCAGUGCUAAAUUAACGAGGGAGCAUCGAUAGAUGUAAAAAAGAAAAAAUAUGAACUCUAUUUAAAAUAUAGUUAAAGGGUCUUCAUGUUUCUUUCAUUUUACCUUUGUACUCCAUUUUAUCAUACAUUUUAAAAUUUCAUACAUUUUACCUUUGUAUAGAAAGUAAAUUUCAUACAUUUUAAAAUUUGUUAUCAAAUUUAUUGAAGAGUCGAAAAAUGAACAGUCAAAAACGAAUAAUCUUGUGAAAAUAGAUACGUUAGACAUUUUCAAUUCAUGACCGAAGUUAUCAAACGUUAUCUAAAUAGUAUAAAGAAUUUUUUAUAAAAAAAUUAAGCUGUUUGGAUUGUUCUACGCUGUUAAACAAGCAAACGACUCAUAUAGGUCAUAAAAAACGGACGAUUUUUGUGAUCCUUUGAUUAUUACGUAAAUAAUUUUUAAAAUUCAUAAAAUUUAGUUUUUAAACACUUUAAAUACUCUAAAUCAAAGUUAACGGUCUCGAUCAUCGAUUCGAAAUCCCUAUUAUCUAAAACGACUUAGGAGGACAAAGGCCUCCGUGCGUUCUCCUAAAAUAAUAGUAGCUGAAUUUAUGUUUAAUAUUCAAAUUAUAGUAUUAUUAUACUAAUCACUAUAGUACCAAAAUAUUUCUAUAAAAACACUUCACUCCUACCGAUCGUCCCUAGAGCAAGUGGCAAAAGGUUUGGUGGUUGGUACCCGAGACCCAAGUUCGAAUCCUAGUUGAUUCACAUUUCUAGUUUAGUUUAUUUCUAAAUGAAAUAAACGAAACGGAUAGCGUGCUACCUAUCUCUCAAAAAAAAAAAAAAAAAAAAAAAAAAAAAAAAAAAAAAAAAAACUUCACUCCUUUGCAUUAGAAGCUUCUUGUGCACCAUCCAACCAAAAGAGGAAAAGCAGCUUCAAGCAAAAGCCAUUUUGACUGCAGCUGCACCAGUCACUUGCCACCCCAGUUUGAAAAAGAAAAAGCCAAUGAGAGGAGAUUAUUUUUAUGCUACAAAAUCAAAGCUCAUCUCAGCUUUUUUUUGCUUUCAUGUGGAUUUUGUUCCUUUUCCUUUGAAUCCAUGAGGUCCACAAUUUAAAGUAGAAUAAAGUGCAUUAGUUAUAGUUAUAUUUUAUGCUUGCAUGAGGACUACAAUGCCAUUUUUUUAUUAUCUUAAUGAAUGCUUAUGUACUACUGGACAUAAAUUUAAGGAUUUUUUAGUCUUCUAGAGUGAUAAGCUCAAACCUGAAUUUUUUUUUUUCAUUUAUUAUAUUCUAUCUUUAUCAGAAUUAGAUUUAAAAUGAAAGAUGGGUGUGUUAAGACUAAUUUUAAGCUAUUUUCUACUAUAUUAAAUUUUUGGAUAGUACAGUACUAGAGCCAAUUCUAAGCUCAAUCUCUUCUAAGAGAUCUUUAUUUCAAUUACAAUACAUUUUUGUUAAUUAUGUACCCCACUUGUAUUAAGAGAGAGAGAGAGAGAGAGAGAGAGAAAUCUUUUGAGAAAGAGGACAAGUACAGAGAGAGAGAGAGAGAGAGAGAGAGAGAGAGAGAGAGAGAGAGAGGAGGAAAAGUACAUAGAAUAAGAGGGAUAAUUUCAUUUAUACCCUUCAAAAGAUUAGAAAUACCACAAACACCCUUAUAAAAUUGGUAAGCAAUUGUCUCUUUAAAUAUCCACUUUAUUUCAAUUUUACCCUUGUCGGUAGUCUCCUUAGUUUAAUUAUAUAGAUUUAAUCCCAUUUUUUAUUAUAUAAAAUAUAUCAAAUAUGAAAUUUUCUAUUUUACCUCUUAUUUUGAAUCUUCUGGUGGUAUACCCAUCAUUUAUUUCCCUAUUAACUAAUAAAAAUAAUGUGCAUAAGACCCCUCAAAUAUAGAUUAUUUUGAAACAGGACUGUAAACUAUUUUUAACUUUUUUUUGGUCCAUAUAAUUGACAAAUUUGUCAAAAUUAAAUAGUUCAUUAGCUAUAAGCUGCUAAUUCUUCAGAAAAAUAGCCAACUAAAGCCAUCAUAAAUUGAUACAAUUGUUGUUUAAAUUUAUGAAAUUCUCAUUUUAAUGCUUGAAAUAAAUUAAAGCAAAUAAGAUAGAAGAGGGUGAGAAAAUAUUUAAUAAAAUUGAAGAGCUAUUUCAAAAUAGCUUAUUGUUGAGAGAGCUCCAUACAUUUUUUAUGUUUGGGAAGAUUGCUGCAUUUAUCUAAAAUUGUUUCGUAAUUUUUUCGUAACAUUCCAUAAGUAUUUUAAAAUGAGUUUUUAUAGCUGAUUUUAAAAGACUUUUUUAACAAUUUAUUAGAUUGUUUAUUAGCAUCUAAUUAAAGAAUUUCUAUAGUAUUUUGUUCAAUAUUUUUUCAAAGAAUAUAAUUAAUUCACUAAUAAAUAUAAUUAAAGUGUAUUUAUGAGUUAAAAUUUCAAAGGGCAUUGAUGAAAAGUAGAACAAGGGGUGUAAUAGAAAUUUGUUUACCGUUUACUUCAGCAUGGACGAAAAGUUACAUAUAAAGCUAGUUUUAAAAAAAUUUUAAAAAUAGAGGGAUAUUUAUGAUAUUUCAACUUUAUGGGGCAUCAGUGAAAAUAUUUCUUUAGAAGGGCAUUGAGUAAAUUUUCUUUUGAAUAAAUGAGAAAAAAAGCACUACUAGUUACAGAAAGAGACUAACCGCUUUUUAGCGCUAAGUGGUAAAGAUUUAGUGAUUGAUAACUAAAAUUUCAAAUUCGAGGCCUAAUAUUUUUAUAUUUUUAAUUAAAUCUAUUUUUUUAAAAAAUGUAAAAAUAGUUGCAGAAAAGAGAGAGGGAGGGAGGAAUUUUGACACUUUUAUUAUAAUAAUUAAAAUUAGGAAAAACUUUAAAUACCCCCCUUGUGGUUUCACUUUUUUUCACUUUAGUAUCAUGUGGUUUAAAAUGUAUCAAGUUAGUACCCUGUGGAUUCUCACUUUAUCACUUUAGUAUCCUGUGGUUUAAAGUGUAUCAAAUUAGUAACUGUGGUUUUGUACUUUAUCACUUUAGUAUCCUGUGAAAACCACAGGGUACUAACUUGAUACAAAAAUAAAACCACAUAGUACUAACUUGAUACAUUUUAAACCACAGGGUACUAAAAUGAUAAAGUGAGAAACCACAGGGUACUAACUUGAUACAUUUUAAACUAUAUGGUACUAAAGUGAAAAAAAAUGAAACCACAGAUGGGGUUUUUGAAGUUUUCCCUCAAAAUUAUCAUUGAUAGACCAUAUAUACUAAUAUUUUGCAGUCUAUUGAGUGAACACAUAAAGAGUUGAGUAAAAGCAAACAUCACAGAUUCAUUUUCUAUGGAAUUGAUUUACUAGUGCUUGCUAAAUUUUAUCUCUAAUUGACUAACUCUCAUCUACUUAACAAAGAAAAUAAAGAGUUUGCGUGCUUAGAAAAAUUACUCUUAAAAUAAGAAAACUUACUAAAGUCAUAUGCUUAUUAUAUCUACUUGUGUUUAAUUGAUUAAGUACUGGUCAAAUGAUAGAUAACGUGCAAUUCCUUUCCACUUCUGAGUCGUUUGAACAUCUUACACCAUUCUACUUUGAUCCAACUCACCUGAAUGGAGCAGCAUGCAUGCGUUGAUGCUAUUUUGAUAUUUGGAUAUAUAACAUGUAACUUUCGAUUCGAUAGCGAAGGUUGAACUUACUUAAUUAUGAUCGAAAGAGACGUGUGCUCUACCGGAUCGAAUAGACAAGAUUGUUGCAAUAGAGUGUCGGAUCGUUGGCGCUAACCAUUAAUCUCAAAAGCUCGAGCUGUUAGAAAUACGCAACCAAUUCACUUAAAGUGUACAGAAACAGCGUUCACGGGUCUCGAUUGUGACUCGGCCUACCUGGCCUCACGCCACUUCGAACAUGACUCGGCCUAACCCAGCUUCACACCAUUUCGAACAUGACUUUGCCCACAUAGCCUCCCGUUAUAGGACAGAAUGUUGGCUCAUUUAAGCCAACAUAGAGUACUAUAGUUAACCGCUAUAAAACGACGAGUUGUGAAAGAGGACUACGGAGAAAACAAAACAAAGUCGAAUCAAUAGUAACAAUUGCCUUUUCUAAUCGCGACAUAAAAGGGACUUUUUUUUUUUUUUUUGAGGGAAAACACGCCCUGAAGCGAUUUUAUGCCUUUGAUGACAUAAAAGAGAGUACAGUGUUGGAAAUUAAUACCAUUGCAGAUCCUUUUAUUUUGACAAUAUCUUACUGCUAUUAUUCGGGAUGUCAAAUAAGUAGGGUCUCAUAAAUUUAUUUUCUAUGGGUGUCUUUUAUAAUUCUUUUCGCUUAUGGUUCGUGAGUCGGCUCGUGUUCGGCUCGUUAAUAAAUGAGCUCGAACACGAUCUGACUUUUUCGGCUCGUUUCUUUAACGAGUCGAGUUCGAGCUGGAUUUUUCAGCUUGUUUAAUAAACGAGUCGAAUACGAGCUGAGGUCAGUUCGCUCGUGUUCGGCUCGUUUACAGCUCUAGGUCCAUCUAGCCUGUAACUAGGUUUUUCUUACGCUGAGUAGGAUAUGCCUGUUUCGCCAAAGGUAAAAUUCAUAUUGAAAUAAAAUUUUCGGCAAACUAUUGUUCGGGUGAAAAUAAUUGGGAAGUAAGAGUUUCGUCCAAAGUGAUUUGUUUGUAUAGCUGCGAAACUGAAUUUUUUUUAGUUAUGUUAAUUUUUUAUUUGAUAAGAAGUAAAUAACAUAAAAGAUAAAGACAUAGAGGAUAGAGUAAUAUUUUACUUUUUUUUUUUUCAUAAGUGAUUUUGGGUUGGGAUGAACUAAAGUCAAUUACAACAUUACGAAGGAUUUAAGUGUUGAUCAAAGAUAAAGUUACGAUGAAUCAAAUAACGGAAGUGAAUGUUUAGGACACAUCCUUAGAGUAAAACAACAAUUCUAAUAAAUGUCAUGUCAGGCCAAAUAAAUACGAAAUUUUCUGCAUAAUUUAUCCAAUUAUAGUCUAAUAUUACAAUAGAAAAAAAUUUCUAAGUUGAGCUUUCCUGAAUUUAAGUCUUAAUUUAAUUUUUUAAAGUUUUUAAUAACUCUACUUAAAUUAUAUUAUUAUUUUUUUAUUAAAAAAAAAAGAACAAACUACUCUUGAAGGGGGGGAGAAAUAUAGUUAAAGGUCAUUUUAUGUACUUUUCAAUGUUGUCACCUGCAUUACCAAUUUUCUUAUCCAUCUUCUAAUCUUUGUAAUUUUAUAGANGGGGACAUUUUAUGUACUUUUCAAUGCUGUCACCUGCAUUACCAAUUUUCUUUUCCAUCUUCUAAUCUUUGUAAUUUUAUAGAAUAUCAUCAUUGUCUUAGUCAAAGUAUAAAUUCAUGCACAAUUAAAGGGGAUUCCACAAAGAAUGCAAUUUAUGGUUGGACUCUCUCUAUUUGUCACCAUCAAUGUACUUUUUAUGAAUAGUGGUUCAAACAAGAUACCCAUUGAGUGAUUGAUUAGGGGAAUGAGAUUCUUUGAAAAAUUCCAUAUUACACCCAAGGAAUUGAUUAGAAUGAAAGAAUCAUCUCCACUUGCACCUUUUCCAAUUUUUCAUCAAAUGAAAAUGACAAUUAAUAAGAGGCUUGAUAAUUUCUUGAUUGCAACUUGAAAAUGGGAAUGUCAAUGGUUACGGAUACCUGACAUUUAAUUCGAAUCUGAAUCCGAAGGAAGAGGGUUUAACCGAUGCUGAACGAAUAUGAGUUCGAUUAUUGGUAUAAAAAAUAAAAAUCCAAUGAAUUCGGAUUCACGUAUGAUUUUUUUUUUUAAAUAUACUUGAUCUGAAUCUGAAUCUGAAUUGGCUUUCUGUUAUAUAAUCAUAUAAAAAUUUAAGUUUGUACACUAACAAAAAUUUAGUUUUGAAUAUAAUGUGUUUUAAAUUUUGAUAAAGAGAAAUGAUUACUUUGGGAUUUGAGUCAUUGGGUUCCGUUCCAGGUUUUAGAUGUUUUUUUUUUUUUUGCCAAGUUUGAUUUUGGUUAUAGACUUUCAAAACUCUGACUGGUUCGGAUUUUGAUUCGGAUUGGAAUUUUAUUUUCAGUAGUCGGAUUCGAGUUUGAAUUUUGAAAAUAUGUCCCGGAUUCGGUACGUUGGCAUCCCUACCAUAAGGAAACUUUAGGGGCACAAUACAUUGAUUUAUUUCCAGGGCCGUGACAAAGGUAGAAGUUCACAUUUUUAUAUUGGAAUUGAGUUCCUAUGCUUUUAAAAGUACCAAGUGAUUAGUAUUUGUAAGUUUUCGGCUCUUGGAUUAAGGGAUGUGCGGUUAGGAUGAUGUGAGCCCCCUAGGAUUGAGUGGGUGGUUGGUUGAAUAGUAUAAUCUAACGGGUAAAAAUGAUCAAAGGCGUAGAUCUAACGGUAAAAAAUUUACAAGCACCAAGUACCAUAGCCGGAUUCUUUAUAUUGUAUCCUAAUAAAUUAUAGGGACAAAUCUAAUAUGUUCUUCAAAAUUAUAAAAAUACCUUGUUUUUUUUUUUGAAAUAUCAAAAUAUUCUUAUUAAUUUUAUAAUUUUUUCAAAUAUUCGCAUCUUCUCUGGGGCUUAUUAAUGAGAUUGGAUUUUUGACGGGUAUUAUAAUAAUUUCAAAACAAAUUUAAAAAUUUUGAAUAGUAGUAAACAAUAAAUAAGCAAAAGCUCUAAAUUACAAACCACCUCUAGAUAGAAUCUCACAAUAAAUAAAAUUAUGUGUGUAAUUGGACCUGUCAAAAACAUCAAGAUUUAAAUAAGAGGAGGGGACAUCAUGGGGGUGUUGUUACAUCCCAAUAAUUCCAAAGUAAAUUAGAAAUAAAAUUAUGAUGGAUAUAUAAGGAGUUAUGCUCCGUUUAGAAUUGCGGAGAGAUUGUGUUAUGUGCUGCGAUUAAAAUAUCAUGUUUAUUUUCGUACAUAAUAUUAUAUUCCUUAUAUCGUAAUGAGUCGGUGACGAUAUAUUUUCUACGAUCGUACCGAAUAAAUAUUAGACUGAAUCAUUGAAUUAUCUUCCAAUUUUUUAAGGCCUAGAUAGGUUCAAAGAAUAUCGCAGUUAUUUGACAUUAAUGUAAUUGAAGCUCGUUCAAAAACAUGAAGAUGACACCAAAAUCUCUCGGUCAGUAAAUUUAAUUUCUACUCGCUUCUUUUAUUUUUAUUUUCAUAUCAUUUUGCAGGUAGAGUUAUUAGGGCUUAGUUGUUUUUUGGUUACACACCUUGAACUUAGGAUAGUGAAAAUUUUGAAGUCUAAUUAAGGACCAAAAUGCAACCCUGUAAAUGUUCGAGGGUUAAAAAAUAUUUUUAAAAAAACGAAUGAGAAUAGUAAUAUCCGUUCAGAGGCCCAUUUUGUUUUGGGCCCCUAUUAUGGGCUUGGGCUUAACGAAACGAGCACACGAAUCCAACGACCCAUUGUUCAAUCUCCACCGUCCAUUAUUAGACGGUACAGAUUAACUGUACCCUGGAUGGACGGUAGAUCGCCCUCCUAUUGGCGUCCGCAUACGGUGCCAUCCGUACACUAGCCCUUCCUUCUAUGUUUCUAGGGUUUCUAGGGUUUCUCUGCUCGAAACUUCGCCUUCGUACUCUCCCUGCUUCUUCUUCUUCGAAGCUCGUCCAUGGCGGAGGAGAAGAGCUCAACCACGAACCCUAAGGUACUUCUCUCUCUCUCUCUCUCUCUCUCUCUCUCUCUCUCUCUCUCUCGCUAACACCUUUUAUCUACUCACAGGAAUCGUACCCUUCCUUCUCCCUUUCCAAUCUCACUCAAUCGGACCUCGGAUUAGGGCUUUUCGGCUUCCCCGAGAAGCCGCUGCCGCCUCCUCCUCCGUGCGUCGAAGUCGAUCCCUCGGAGGUACAUAGUUAGUACCAUUCCAUCAAUUGCUCUAAAUAGUGUCCUCUGCAUAGGCGAUUAAAUUCUCCUCAUCUCACAUUUGACCCUGUUCUUAUAAUCGUAGGAACCUCCGAUUGCAUUAUCUAAUGCAGAUCCUGUUGUUAUUAACGAAUCUUUAACACUUUAUAAGGUAUCCGGUUCAUUUCCCGCAAAAUGUUUAUUUAAUAAUGUAGAAAAACAAGGUGUACUACAGGUGUUUGAUAAAAUGUCGCUUUGGUUUUAUUUAUUACAGGGAAGAGUAAAUACAUCUGAUGUUUUUGGUGUCACCAACUCGGAUUUGGUCCCUGGAAAGUAUGAAGGUGAAGAAAAAAUUGCUCUUUUGGUGCUUAAUUUCUUCUUUAGGUACUGUUGGAUUGCACAAUCUUGUUGAUGUUAAGUGUUGAUUGUUCUCUUACUAGGUGGAUUGAAGUUGUGGGAGGGGUCUCUUGAUUUAGUUAAGACCGUCUACUCUGAGGUUGAGAAAGGUCGACUAGUAUUGAAAGGAAAGCGAGUAUUAGAGGUGGGCUGCUUCUUCUCAGGUGACAUUUUACAUCCUUUUGUAGUGUGGACUUAAUUUGUAAUAGUUGUCGGUUUCAGUUUAUCGAAUCAAGUUCAUGUGGAAAUCAAUGGGAAAUGCUGCUUUGUGAGAUGGGAUGUAUUGCUAGUUGUUAUUUCUUGUGUGAUAAAUAGACAAAUAGUUAAUGUAGUUUUAUUGCCCUAACUCAAGGUUUCCUGCUAAUAGUAGUUGUAUUGUUAUUUCAUUUCUCAUAAAAAAAAAAGGAAACUCUUGCAUCGUUUAUACUGGCAAUGGCAACUUUUUAGGAUUUUAGUAGGUAUAUGAGAAAGUAAAUAAUUGGUCUUGUCCAAAUCUGCAGUAUUGAAAAAUGCUGAUAGAGAGAGAACCUGCAGCAGCGCAGAAUACUCUUCUCACUCUUUUUGGUAUUGAGGGGAGGAAAGAUUUAACAGAAAUCAGUUAAACAUUAUAAUUCUAAAAAGCUUAUGCUUGUUUUUGCAUAUGUUCCUCAUUUUUAUGUACUAUGAUUUCUAUUCUGUUCAUUAAGUUCUCUCAUAAACCUUAAAAUCUUUUGAAAGUAGUCGCUCAUAUAUAUCUUCAUCAUACAUGAUUAGUCAUUUGUAAUUUGAUAAUGUAUAUUAUUUCUCUGUAAACUGUCUGAUGUGACAACUUCUCUUAAUCAUACUCCUUAAAAUGGGAGGGUUUAGGGGCCUCGAGUAUGAAGUUCUGGUGAAACAAAAUUAGGGACUAGAAGGAAUUCAUAUACGAAAGAAAAUUUUUUAGUGGGUUCUUUUAAAUGCUGCUGCAUAAUCACAAAAAGGAGGCUCCAUAGAUGAAUGUAGUUUCCCGUCAGGAUUAAAUGUGAUUAUUUUCUCUCAAAGUUAAAUGCUUGUGAUGUUCAAGGUUCCAGUUUCUCCGAAUUAACUUUUACCUCAAGUUACAGGUCUCAAUUUUGGAAAGUUAGAAAGAUUCAAAAUGUCAGAUCAAAGAAUUGUGAACAGAAUUUUAUAUCUACUCUGACAUAUUAGAUUUCUUUUUAGUGAGAGAACUUUUUGUAGUUAUUGUCAUCCUUUCAUGAACUUAACAGCAGUGAGUUCUCUUCUCAAAAAUAAGGGAGAUAUUUUUUUUAUCCUAUCUAUGCUGCAUUUGAGGGGGGUUGUGAAUUGUUCAAAUGUGCUUGCAUUUAAAAUGUUUGCGCCAAGUUAUUAGUGGAUAUUGUAAGUUCUCUUCUGCAAGGGCUAAUUAUGGUUUCUUUCCUCCUAUAUUUCAGCUUGGAUGUGGCCAUGGGCUCCCUGGUAUCUUCACAGGUCGUGAGGUAUGAGUUACAUAGGCUCAAAUUUGUAUGGUUUGGGUUUCUGUUUUAACUACCGGAUUUUCUUUUCUUUAUUAUUAUUAUUAUUAUUAAUAUUUUGUUCCUUAACCAUUAGGGUGCAGCUCUCAUCCAUUUCCAAGACUUCAAUGCUGAGGUCCUAAAAUAUCUAACCAUACCAAAUGUAAAAGAAAAUCUUAUGAAAGAUACAUCUGUAUCCCCCUUUGUCCGCUUCUUUGCUGGUGACUGGAGUGAAAUUCACAAGCUUCUUCUCUCUGGUAACAUUGAUCAACAAAAAGAAACAGAUGAAACCUUAGGAUCGGAAUAUGAUGGCUAUGAUCUCAUUUUGAUGGCCGAAACUGUUUAUGCAUUAUCUUCACUUAGUAACCUCUAUGUGCUUAUCAAGAAGGUUAGUGUUUCCAAAGUUUAGAAUUUCUUUUGUCCCCCUUUUUUUUUUUUGUGUGUGUUGCUGCAAAAUCUCCUGCAUUUGUUGUUUGUUUGUGGGUAUCUGAAGUGAGCAUGCAUAUUGUAGUGUCUGCACUACCCUCGCGGAGUUGUAUACAUGGCAGGAAAGAAGCACUAUUUUGGAGUAGGCGGCGGCACGAGACAGUUUGUACACUUGGUUGAAGAAGAUGGUGAGUGAUACUUCUUUAGUACUAUUUAAUGAUAUUUUUGUCUUGAGGAUUGUCUGGACUUCUCUUCUAGUCAAAUUUUCAGGGAUAGCUUUUCCUAUGCAUGGGAUAUACAACCAUGUCAUCAGUAGCCAAGAAUAAAGCCAAUUUCAAAUUGGUCUUCGAAUUUAGGAAUAAUUGUGAAUCUGUGAUAAUGAUUAUGAGGAUAGACGUAAUGAUAAAGUAUGGUUCUGGGGAUGACUGGACAUUAAAGGGAUAGCAAACAUUUCAUUAGUUAGCUGGAAACAGCACUAAUUCCCAUGUUACUAUUACGUGCUUUUUAUCCUGCAUUUAGCAGAAUAAGGGAGGAAAUUAGAAUUGGUAACUCACUCUGUUCCCUGUAUCCUAAUAAAGGGUAUAUAUGCUAUUGGGAAGAGUGAUUGGGUGAAACAUUGCUUUAUCAGUGUAUCAUUUUUACGUCUUAUCAUUAAAAAAUAUUUUGUAAAUUUACACCGAGUUUUCGUUUUAAUUCAAUUCUCAUAUAUUUGCUGCCCUUUAUGCUUUACAAGCUCCUUUACAAACUUUGAAGCAUGCGUACGCUAAGUCUAUGCUGAUUUCUCUUGUUCUUUUUCCAGGUGCCAUGGAAGCUUGCUUGCUUGCUGAAGUUGCUGAUGGCUCAUCUAAUGUUAGGGAAGUGUGGAAGUUCUCAUUCAAAUAGUACUUCGUCCAUACUCGAGGCAAGUGAAUUCAGAAAUUGUGCUUUAUGUAUUACUAUGUUCUGUUAUGCUAUACCAUGCCUAAACAAGAAAGUAACACAUUUCUUUUCCUUUAGUCGGUAGACUUUUUUUUUUUUUAUUGUUGCCCCAUCAAUAGAUAUUAUGUACAAUUCUCUCUUCCGCUAGCCAUUUCAUUAUUUAAAUCUUUCAUUGUGUUCUUCAUAGCCCACUCUUGUUCUACUAUUUUAUGUUGAAUAUUUCUGAUUAAAAUGUGUAUUAUUUAUGUUUCCUAGUGCUAUGGGGUUGCUCCUAGGGAUCUUACCAUCUAUUUCUCUUUAGAGGAAAGAUAAAAAGCAGAAAUAAUAGAAAACUUCAUUAUAGUUUAAUGAAUUAUAAUCAAUAAUCAAUGUGUGACAUCAUGAUUCAGUAUUACUGCAGAUAUAGGAUUGGCUUCAAAAAUAUGCUCGACUGAAGCUUUCAUAAUUUAUUCGCUACAAGUAGAAGCCUCAUGAUUCAUCUCAAGAAGGGUAGCUCUUCUUCUUUAGCUUAUAGGAUAUAACGAUGUCCGAGUCAUGCUAUUCGUAGAAGUGUUAUCUUAAAAUAUUUUUGAACUUCUCCUUUAAUAUUUCUUUUUUUUCUUUACCAACUGCUUUACUGGGGGGCUGUUGCUACCUAAAUCAGUGGCAGGAGCGGCGCCAAACAAGUUCUUAGAAAAUGACGGCAGAGCUCCUUCUGCUAAAGCACACCUUUAUUGUACGACAUCUACCACCCUUUUUGAAUUAUUGUUAUUUCGAAAUUUGGUUCAGUGGUUAGAUUUAACUUAUUUCACAUGGGAUUGGAUUUGGGCUCUUCAUAAAAUUUUUGUUCAAUAUAUGAGACCCUCUUAUUGCUUUUCCAAUGGUAGCAUUCUAAUGGAAGCAAGUGAAUGGUUAGAUUUAAAUUAUUUUACAUGGGAUUUGGGCUCUUCAUUAAAUUGUGUUGUUCAAUUUGUGGGGCCAUUUUAUUUUAUUUUAUUUUUUAAUGGUAGCAUUCUAAUAGAAGCAAGUGCAAUGAAUAGUACACAUGUGCUGGCCCAAAGCAAACUCAUGGGGAAAAAGCUAUGUUGUCCUUCCACGUAUUCUUAUCAUGUGCAAUAAUAAUGAUUACAUUACAUUACAUACAUAGUACGAUGUGAUGGGCUUGUUUCUUCUACCUCUUAGUUGUCUUUAGGUCAUGCACCUUAGUGUAUCAAAUUACUAACCAAUAUUUCCUUCACUCUUUUUUUUUCUUUUAAUUCCUUUGUGAAUUAGUUUAAUGUUAUUGUAUUGAGAACAGGUUAUGAUAAGAAGCUCUCACCUACAUAGUUGAGUUUAUAUUGAGAGAUGAGAGUUAGGGUGUUUUCUGAAGCUGUGGUAGUAAGUUUUUUUUUUUUUUUUACUUUUUCGCGCGUCAGAUUGGAUCAUGAAAAUCAUAUGCUCUACCUUUAAGAUUCACUUUGCAUGAUAUAUUGCAGCAGAUCCGAUCUGUAGAAAAAGUGGAAUCACACUCUAAACUCUUCUCUCUCUCUCUCUCUCUCUCUCUCUCUCUCUCUCUCUCUCUAUGCAUGUUUAUGUGUAUAUAUUAUGUGGAAAACAAAUGGUCUCUUUCAUGCAAAUUGGUGAGGAACAGGAAAGGAAUCAAAGCCUAUCAGGCCAUGUUUGUCUCCUUCCCCUCAAUGUCUAUCCUUCAAUGAGUGUUGCCCACUCCCAUGUGCUUUAGCCCAUCACACCAUCAUGUUGCUCCCUCUAUUAUUCUCCUCCGCAUUCCCCUAACCCUAUAUCAACACCCUACUCACACUUACUCCCUAAACUAAGCACAUCAUAGGCAAUGGGCUUCAAAGACAUCUUUGUAAGAUGCUCUAGAGGCCACUCUUCCUCCUCCUGUUGCUACUACUACAGCAGCUACCAAAGGCUGCACUACCAAACCGCUGACAUGACAGUGAUGCAAGGGAAGCAGCGACAGCGAACAAGCGGUGGCGCAAUUUCUUGCAUCGAGAAGCCGUCGAUGUGGCGGCACUUCUCCUCGGCCCUAGUCCUGAGGAGGGUGCUCGACGACUACGGCGCGGGGGUCGGUCCGGUCAUCGUCUUCUCGUCCCCUUGGGGGCUUCCGGUUCUCUCUCAUCCCGCCCUCGUUCCUAGGAAGAAGAUCGGUUCGUCGUACCGGAAGGCCGUGUUAUGAGUAGUGAGAUGCAACUUUUGAGUACAUUUUGAAGUUGCCUUGACAAAGUUGCUAGUUAUGUACUUUUCCUUGGAUGUACAAUUGUUAUUGCAUUUUCUACCCCUUAGUUUUUGUACCCUAGAUAGUUAUGUAUCUAUGUUAAAUCUACAAUUAUUUUGGCAUUUGCUAUCCCUACAAUCUCACAAAAAUUCACAUUCAAUGGCUCUGCUAUUUCUAGUGGAGUAAACAAAAAUAACAUAUGCAUAGUUCGCUAGUUACAUAACAUGUUUUCAAUCCAAACAUCUAAACUAUGUUCUAAAAGAAUGAACACUAAAAUAAACCAUAGUCAGUUAAUUCGGGAAUUAUUGAGAAUCCAAAUAAAACAGUUCGUAUGCAAUUUAUUUUCAAAAAAUUAAAAUAAAACGCGAAUUUUUGGAUUAGGUUUAUUAUUCGUGAAUAAUUUGCAUAAGCCGAACUAUUCGGUCAAAAAAAUGCGCAAAAUAUUUGGAUAAAAGUCCCUUUUCAAAUUGUUCGCAAAUUAUUGCAGAAUUAUUCGCGAAUUAUUGAAAAAAUUCAUAAAUUUUUGGAAUAUGUGGAUCACGAAAAAAAAAUGAAGAUGGAGACGACAAUAAAUGCUAUUAUUUUUUGUUUACUUAAUCUACUUUAUUUUGUAGCUCUCUAUUUUUAUAUUUUUAAAAAUUUAUAAUUAUGUAUGCUAGUAGCAUAAAUUUAGAGAAAAAAAAUUUAGUUUAGUUUUCAUCUUGAAUUUUUAAUUGGUGAAUGCAUAAUUUUCGUAUAAAUCGCAUAUCUGAAUAAUUGACAGAUUUAUUUUUUAAACCGUAUUUUUUAACAAAUUUAAAAAUUGUGAUACAAUUAUACCCAUACCGAUUUUUUGCCGAAUCCGAAUUAACUAACUAUGAAAUAGACAACUUUGGUAAUCGAGUUUGCAUUUGGUACGGCCAUGCUAAAUGUUCUUCUUCUUCUUCUUCUUCUUCUUCUUCUUCUUCUUCUUCUUCAUUGGGCACGUUCACUUUUUAGAUCCUCUCUUUUUCAAUCAUUUUAAUUAUGAUUACAAAUCAUUUGAUGAAUUAAAAAAAAGAAAAGAAAAUAAGAAUAGAUGAAUAAGGUUUGUAACUAAAUACAACUCGAGCAGGUUGGGUCAGGCCAAACGCCUCAAUUUUUUAAUCUUAUAUUUUAAAUCUGUUUUAUUAUUAUUCUUUCAUUCAAUUUUAUAGAAUAUUUAUUGUAGUUUAUUUGGUAAGUAAAUAUUACAUAAUUUUCUAUAGAAAAACAUUCGAAAUUAUUGAAUAGCUGAUUUGGUUUGGAAAUUUCUAUCCUAAAAUAGCACAAAUUAUGUCCUAAUUUUUUUUGGUUUAUUUUAUUGCCCUCAUUGUUUGUAGUUAGGUAUAAUAAUGAAAAUUAAUAAUAAUAAUAAUAAUAAUAAUAGCCUAUAUAGGUGAUAGUACAAUUUUACCAUAGCCGUUAUUCCUGGGAUAAACAUGUUAUGAGAAUAUUUUUCUCAUUAAAUUGUAGGUGGUCUUAAUGUGAAAAAAAGGAGAAAAGUUAAAAUUAUUAGUACAUUUUUUAAUGGCACUCUCUCUAUCUUUAAUCAAUUUGAUUUGAGUUUUUCUAGUUAAUUAACUAGAGAACGUAAAAAUUAGUAACUUUGUUAGCGAUCAACCAUUAAAAAAUAACAAAAUCCACUAUUUUUUCAGCGGAAAAGUGAAAAAAGGAAUUAAUUUUAACGAAAUCUUGAAAUUCUCCAUUCAGCUCAUUAGAAUAAUCCAAACCAAAAUAGUUGCAAGUUUAGUGGGUGUCAAGAAAAUAAAAUAAAGUUUAAGACCCUUUUUAAAAAAUGGCCUCUUGUUGAGGGGUUCUCCAUAAAUUUCCACCAAAAAGAAUAAAAAAAAAUACUAAUGGUAAAAAACCCCUUUUACGUUUUGUUUUAAAAAAAAAAACAAAUGAUGAGAUAAGUAAAAAAAAAAAAAAGGAAAAAAAGAGCUAAAGUUUACACUUACACGUAGGGCCUAUGGAUAGCAUUGAUAAAUAAAAGGAAAAUGCUUAAAACGAAAAAACAAAUGUAAAAGGACUCCUAAAUGUUAAAUAUAAAAAUGUUUAAACACCGUUAUCUAAAAGCUUAACUUUUUAGAGUACAACGGUUGUUUCGUAUGGUAUCAGAGCAGGAAGUUCUGAGUUCGAGUCACGCCAGGCUCCUAGCAUAUUAAUUUCCUCCCAUUUAAUUCAAGCCCACGUCAUGGGCCGAUUAAAAAGUUUCGAGGACGUGAGGGGAGUGUUAAAUAUAAAAAUGUUUAAACACCGUGUUGUUUCACACUAAAUAUUAAAACUUUUACAAACAAUCCCCUGAACAUUUAAUCUCGCUCCUCAGCCCAACUUACUUAUUAAACAACUGAUUUAAUCAUAUAUUUUUCAAAUAAUUUUGUAUAUAUAAUUUCAAAAUAUGCAUGACCAAGUACCGAAUCGAAGAAUAGGAUGAAUAUAUCUUUAAAUUUUAUUAUUCUUUAUUAUGAGUUAGAAUAGAAAAAAAUAAAUUUGUCUGUGUUUUAAACUAUGCAAGAUUAUAUACAAUACAAGCGAUCAAGAUGACUACUUAAUUACUUAACUUAUGCUGAGAACAGAACCAGUUAAAUUAUUUGAUAAUAUUUAGAGAGUCUAAUUAGUAAUAUUAAAGUUUUGUUUCCAAAAAUAAUAAAGUUUAGAAUGUUUUUCUCCAUUUUUCUAAAAAAAAAAAAAUUCUCAAUUUCCCCACAGUGUAUUUUUACUUUGUCAUCCAGUGGUUCAAAAAAGUGGCACUGAAAUACUUUGCAAUAUAGGACAUUUUUAUUUUUCCACCCCAUGAUUCAAAAAAUUAUAUUUAACUACCAUAUAGUUUGUUUUUUUUUUUUUUUUUGAGGAAAUAUUUUUGUNUUCUUUAGAGAAUGUGAUUCAAAUAAUUUUGAAGAAAGAAAUAAAAGUUUUAGAGCAGUUGCUAUAUAUCGUCUUAGGAAAAUUUUCAUAACUCUCCAAGACUAGCUUCUCCAGUGUUUUUCCUUUUUUUUUUUUUUCUAAUUGUGUUUAAUUUACUAUUCUAUUUAGGUAGGUUAAUUUUUUGUUAAAAUAAAAAUAAAACGAUAGUAUAAUUAAUUAACUGUAAUAUUUUGAACUAUAAAGUGGCAAAAUAAAAAUGCACUAGCCUACACGCAAAAAAAAAAAAAAAGGGUGGGGAACACGCAUGGGACUCUAGCAGCCGUCCGAUCUUAAUCAGACAGCUCCAUUUAACCGAAAGAACGAUCUCUUCGUAUUUAAAACGCAAUCAAUCUUCACAUGCAUUUGCUUUAUUAAAGCAUAUGAAUUAAUGCAAGGUUGAGGUCACAAUAUCUUAUUGGUAUGCCAAACUAAAAUUUUGUGGGGAUAUUCCCCCCAAAUGAGACAGUCUUAUCCACCGUUCGUCGUAUAAACUGCAUGGGAUGAAUCUCAAAAUAUAGUUCUCAAUGAAUGGGGUCGUCUGAAUAUGGGGACUGUCCCCGUAAAAUUUUGUAUCUCGUUGUGUAUUUUGUGAACAGAUUUUUUUUUUUCUUUACUGAGAAAAAUGUGCUGUAUCUUUCUAAAAAGAAUGAAUUGUAUUUUUAGUAUUUAAACUUUAAUUUGUUGCAAAUUUUGCCCAAAACAUUCUAAACUGUUAUAGUUAAAUUUCGCAAUCCAAUUUAGUUUGUUAAAAGAAGAUAUAUUGAUAAUGUGAUAGUUUGGUGAUAGAUGACGUGGUGCUUACUGAAUUGCCCCAUCGAUCACUAGUAUAUCUGCGAAAUAUUCAAAUCUAUUCAAUUAAAUUAGACCGUAAAACUUGAUUAUAGUUAUUUAUAAAAUUUUAGUCAAAAAUAUUCUCUUUUUAAUACUUGAGCAAUUAAUGAAUAUUUGUUUCAUCGUUUACAAAUGACUAAAAAUGUUAAUAGAAAUUUUUUUUUAAUUUUUUUUUGCCGGUUUAGAUCUAAAAAAAAAAGCUUUUUUUGGGAAUUUUUUUUUUCCAAAUUUCAUAGAAGACUAGUAUUUUUAUUUUUCAGAAUUUUUUUAAAAUAAAAACACUACUUUCCUAUAAAACUUCGAAAAAAGCUUUUCUAAAAAAUCUAUUAUUUUUUAUUCAAACGAACAAAAAAUUGCAAAAAAAAAGAUUCACGGAAUUAUUUUUUAAAUUAUUUUUCGCACUUUCUGAGGAACCGAACAACUUCUUAGUUGAUUGAUUGAAAUAAUUAGGAAAUUGUUCACAUUUUGGAUGGAGAGAAAGGAAAGAAAUUGGGUUUUGUAACUUGUUAAUUAAUUAAUUAAUUAAUUAGGAAGUUAGUUUUUGUAACUUGUGAUCAUAGAAUCAACAUAAGUAGUCAUUAAGGCAACUCCUUAAUUAAUAUAAGAGAACGUUUCCUAAAAUCACUUUUAAUCAGAUCCCAAUAUCAGUGUACCCAACCCCCAUUAAAUCCACGUAACUUUCCUCGCCAUUAAUUAAUUAACUCCGUGUAUAUAUACAUAUACAUAUAUAUAAAAACUCCACAACUUCACAUCUAACUCAUAUCUAAGCAUCUCAUAUCUAAUUUACCCCCACUCACAUUUAAUAGCAAAAUUUGCUAAGACAAAUUUGGAAAAUUACAUUAAAAUAUAUAUAUACAAGAUGUAUGAUAUGAGUGAGAGAAGGAGAAGAGAGAAUAUAUAGGAAAAGCGCUUCUGGGAGAAUUGAAGCGCUUCUCGGUGGUGACGUGAUUAAGAGCGUUGGCAUUAACAUGAACAGCAUGGGGAGGAGGAGUAAGAAGCUGCAGCUCUACUUGUCGAAGAAGCUGAGGAGAUCGGUCCCCAACAUCAACAUCCGCAUCCAAUUCCGGGCCAGAAGGAGGACCGCUGACAAACCCGUUAACCCGCAGUACUCCACCACCAGUUGGCUCCUCUCCGCCUGCAAGUACCCCAAGACGCCGUCCUUCGCCGUUAGCCGACACAACGACGACGACGCCGCCGACGCCGCCGCCGCCGCUCACGGCGCCACGCUGUCCGACGUGGACCGGUUCCUGCACGAGAACUUCCACUCCCUCUACAUCCGCGACCCGAGUGACGUCACCGACGCCGCCGCCUCGCCGCCCCCCCGGUUCGACCCCGAGCCGGGGCCGGUCCGGUCCUCGGACCGGUUCUUCGUGUCCCCCGCCACGACGUCGAACUCGAUCAUGCUGGACCGGGCCGGGCCGGCCACGUCGGCGUCGACGUCGUCGUCGUCGUCGGAGGAGGACACGUCAGCGGCGGAGGGGGGAGAGGAUGACGUGGCGGCGGCGGCGGCGGCGGCGGUGGUGACGUUCUCGAAGGACCCGUACGAGGACUUUCGCCGGUCCAUGCGGGAGAUGGUGGACGCGCGCCGCGUGGACGCGUCGCAGCCGUUGGAUUGGGACUUCAUGGAGGAGCUCCUCUUCUGCUACCUGGAGCUGAACGACAAGAGCGUGCACAAGUACAUCCUAACGGCGUUUACGGAUCUGACCGUUAGUUUCCGCCGUCCCCGGGACCCCGCGGUGUCGGCGGAUGCCGGGACGGAGCAGCGGCGGCGGCGGCGACGGACGAGGACAAAGGCUGCGGCGGCGGCGGCGGCGGUGCGGCUGUGACGGCGGCGUCGAACGCGCCCCGAUUCGUUACGAAAUUGUAUACUCGGUGAUGUUACUGACAGAGCUGAUUUUAAUAUUAAUAGAUAUAAUUUAUUGAAUUUGGUUCAUGUUUCGUUCGAUAUAUAUAUAUAUAUAUAUAUAGUUAUUUAUUUAUUUUAAGCAAUUAGAUUUUGAAUUUUGCACCUCGAAUAUCAUUCUCUUGCUUCUGUUAGAGACUGUCGGUUCUUGUUUAUUUUAAUUUGAUAAAAUUUCAGAUUUGUUCAAAAAUGUUCAAAAUUAGAAAUCAACAAUCCAUAUUUCAGUUCAUUUAUAUAUAUAUAUAUACAGAGAGAGAGAGCGAGAGUUGAGUUAGAAUACUAUCGAUAGCAAACAGGCUCUAUUGCCACCCAUUUGUUUUCGGUGAUUGAGUCUCCAAAUCGACGAUCGGCAUCGUUAAAUAUAAUUUAUAUCACUUGAAGUGUUUGGAAAUCAAAUUUUAAAUCUUUUCGACAUAAUUUGCCUAAUGAUCAAAGGGUUUCAAAAUUUGUAAUUUUAAUGGUCGAUACGAGACGUUUUCUCGUUUAAUGGUGUAAAGAUAUCCAAAUUAAUUAAAUUUUUGUUAGAAAUUUUUUUAAACUAUUUAAAACGAGAUUUAUACUCUUAAUCUUGAUUACAAGACUCCUAUCAUCAUUUUCUAAAGAAUAUUCAUUUUCAGCCGUUUAUUUUUGUGUCUAUUCGAUGGAUAGGAGAACAAUAUUGAAAAUAUAUAAAAUUUAAUUUCUAAACAUUUUAAGCGGUAUGGAUCAUAUUUAACGGCGCCGAUCGUCGAUUUGAAAGCUCCAUCAUCGAAAACAAAUAGGUGGCAACGGAACUCGUUUGCUAUCAAUAAUAUUCUAGCUCAACUCUCUCUCUCUCUAUAUAUAUAUAUUAGUUUCAAUAAUAUUUGUAAUUAAUAAAUCUCCACAUUAAAAUGACUUAAUUAAUAUUAAUUUCUAAUUAUUCGGUAGUUUGUUUUUAGAGGGCCCCACUUUAACUUAAAGGUCGCCGUAGACAGAGGUGACCACAAAAUAUAUAGGGAAAACUUUAAAAAACUCCAUGUGGUUUCACAUUUUUUUAUUUAAGUAACUUGUGAUUUAAAGUGUAUUAAGUUUGUACCAUAUGGUUUCUCACUUUAUCACUUUAGUAUUUUGUGGUUUCUCACUUUAUCACUUUAGUAACUUGUGGUUUAAAGUGUAUCAAGUUAGUACUCUAUGGUUUUAUUUUUGUGAGUCCAGCUGGGAUACUAUCAAUAGCACAAAGUAUUUGGUACUAUCAAAUUUUCUACCGUUAGAUUUACCUCUUUUAUCAUUUUCAACUGUUAGAUUAUACUAUUCAACCAACCACCCACUCAACCCUAGAGGGCCCACAUCAUCCUAACCGCACAUUUUUUAAUCCGAUGGUAUACAACUUAAUAGCACCAAGUCAUUGGUGCUAUUAAUAGUAUUUCAGCCUAGUUCUUAUUUUUGUAUCAAGUUAGUAUCAUGUGAUUUUAUUUUUGUAUCAAGUUGGUACCCUGUGAUUUUUAAACCACAGGGUACUAAAGUGAUAAAGUGCGAAACCACAUGGUACUAACUUGAUACACUUUAAACUACAGGGUACUAAAGUGAAAAAGUGCAAAAUUAUAUGGUACUAACUUAAUACACUUUAAACCAUAAGGUACUAAAGUCAGAAAAAGAGAAACCACAAGGGGGUAUUUGAAGUUUUCCCAAAUAUAUACUCAGAAUGUGGAUACUUCUCUCUCUCUCAAAAAAAAAAAAAAAAAAAAACUUUUAGUGUAGAUAUGAUAUUUUAAUUGUGUUACAACGCAAAUUACGUGAUUCCUCACAUGCAACGAAGCAAAUGUGAUGUGUUAUUAUAUUUGACUUUUGGAGUAUACUUAUAGUACUUAAAAUUAUUUUUAUUACGUCUACGGCUGCUACUACUAUAUUAACUAUAUCCAUUUUGAUUAAUAAUAAUAUCGCAUUUAGGUGACAAAUUGGUACAAUUAGUUGGGUUCCAACCGCGUGAUCAAUGAGGUAUAUAUGCUGCAGAUGCUAUAAUAAAUAAAUUGUAGUUAAUGAGGAUAUAAAUUGCCGUUUAAUUAAUUAAAUAGGGUGAGAUUUGUGAUCAAUGUAUACAAUUAAGGACAUGCAUUGGGUGUGGUUUUUUAAUUGUAAUACUUAGGACCCGUUUGGAAACUAUAUAAUUUUAUAGUAUCAAAAUAUUUUUUUACUAGUUUAAUAAAAAAAAUUAUGUUUAAUUAUAAAGGAGCAUUUAAUUAGGUGCUUUUUUGAAGUAUCAAAAAAAAUAAAAAUAUCUCAAAAAUACUGUGAAUUAAUUUAUUGUAAAAACAAAAAAGAGCUAAAAAACUUCUGAAUUUAAUUACUUGUUGUUAACGAAUAUAUGUUGUAGUAUAAUAUAAUAACUUCACAAUUAAUAUAUAAAAUUACAAUAUUGUAUCGUCCUUAUAUCAAAAUAUAUGGAAACCCCCACAACUACAGGCAAUUUUGAAAUAAGCCCCUUACCCUUUUUUUAAAAAAGAAAUAAGGUCCCUCAACUUUAAACUUUUUAUUGAGUUCUUAUAUACUUGGUUAAGAGAAAAAUUUUAUUAACUGUUAAUGUGUCUUAAUUUUAUUUUCAUUUUUAUGCAUUAGAAUAGAAAAAAAAUUAUUUCUAUUUUAAAUAUUUACACGAUUUUAUAUCCAAAACAUACGGCUAAAAUGGAUGCAUAAUUAGUAAUUUCAUUUGAACGGAGAGAGGGUCCAUUAAUGGAGUCUAAUUAAGAAAUAAAAAUUUUAUAAAUCUAAUGCAAAAAAGUGCUAAAGUUCAGGAGAAUUUUCUACAUUAUUUUUUUCUUUUGAUUUUUUUUCUUGCAUGUGAGGAGAUAGAGUAAUGGCUAAUAUAAACCGUUGACUGGUUACUUAUUAUAAUUAUUAUGAGAAAUUUUACUUGUAUAACUCAAAAAAGUGUGUAGAUCUUAUCCUUUUUAUUCUAAGAUUUAUAAAAAUUUAAAUAAAUAUUAGUCGUUGGAUGGAGAGGGUAUAAGAUCGAUGCAUAUUUUAUUUUGGAGUGUGCCAAUUGUAUUGCCUCUUAUUGUAUUAUUCGAUUUGGAUUUUUGGAAAUACUGCAAUCAAGUCCUGCAACCUAAUUUAGUUGACUAAAUAUUAAUAAAUUACUGUGGCAAUUAUUAAGACAUUGUAUUACUUUUAUAUCAACUAUGCAUUAGCAUUAGUCUAUCAAAUUGGUUUAUAAGAUUUGAUUAUAAAUUGCAACAAUUCUGAAAAUUUAAGUAGGAAUUAUAGUAGAUUAAAGUUUGAAGGCAAAAGUGUCACCGUACUGAUAGUCUAAGGACCCAACUUGCAAUUUGCUCUUAUUAUUAUUUUCAAAAAUUAAUCUCAAGGUUUACUUUUGGUGAUGUGGAAACAGUGAUGUUUAGUUAAAGCAGAUCCAAGUUAAAGUGAAUUGAAUGGCUUGGUUUUUGUUUUGGUUUUGAUUUGGUUUGGUUUGAUUUACUCAUUGUGACCAUCAUAAAAAUGCUUUUCUCAAUUUAACUUUUCACAAGUUUUCAGCUUUUGUAAAAUUAGAUUACUAUUUUGAAUUUUGCAGAUUCGAUUCGAAUUUUUAGGACACUAACUAAAAUAUUCUUAUUUUUUUCUCUCUAUNAAGCCCAAAAUAAGUGGAUUUUUUAUGCAAAUUGGCCUACUUUUAUUCUCUUUUCUCUCUCUUCCUUUUUUUACGCCUUGUUUUUCUCUCCGACUCUCCGCCUCCGAGGCGGCGCCGGCGGGGUCUGCGGCCGCGGUCCGACCCCAAGGCAUCCGGCGUAAGCCCUAGAUCGCACGGCCCAUCGCCUACGCCCUCCACGGCAUUGGGAUGGGGAAGGUCAGCAUUUUACACUAUUUACACCAUUUUACAACAUUUAAAUGGUAUAAAUGGUGGGAGUUCAAAACAUCUAAUCUAGCUAAAUGAGCUUUUCCAAAAUGGUGUAAAAUUGUGUAAAAUUGUGUAAAUACCAUUUCGAAAAAGCUCCCCUGGUCCUCCUCAUAGCCCACGUCCCUCGUCCUCGCCGCCUCCGACCACCACUCCAUCCGCCGGCGGCGCUCGAGGCGGCGGUGACGGCAGUAGCGCUCGAGGCGGAGGUGGAGGCGACGGCGGCGAGGAGGGGGCUGCCGGAGAAGGGUCGGCUGGUGGAGGUGGUGGUCGCUGCUGGCCUGCUGCUGCAUACCCUCCCUUGCUCGCUUUCGAAAUCCCUCCUGUCACUGCCUCCCUCAACCCCAGCCUCAGCACCAACGUCAAUAACAUCAACAUCACCGACCCAGACGCCACGCCCACGCCUCCGCUUCGGGCGAUGGCGUCUGCGUCGUCCUCGCUGGAGAGCAACGGGUGCGAAUUACAGCAGUGGUACUAUCAUACCAGGCGGAGGCGGAGGCGAAGGCGGAGAGUCUUGGUGAAAAAUCCAAAAUCUCCAAAUAUCAUUUAAUUUUAUAAUUAUUCUUUGUUUAUUAUGUUAAUUAAUUGGAUGGACUAAAUUUAAUUUAUUCCUUCUUUAUACCACAUAAAGACAUGAAUUAAGUGGAAUGUUGGGAACAUUGGAUUUCCAACGUUCCAUUCUCUCUCCAUUAUAUAUACGUUGGAUUGCACUGCUCAUCUAUGAUGAACAUUGCUGAGAGGGAGCCAAGUGAAAAAAAAGGAGAAACUUUAUUUAAAUUUUUAUUUUAUUUUGUUUGAUCUUUUUAUCAUCGAAUGUUGAAAGAGUCUCCGUUAACCUCUUCCACGUUUGUAUUUGUAGGAGGAGAAAUUUCGAUCAUGCCUUGGGAUGGUAUUUUCGAUUAAUCCCGCACGAAGGACGGAAAUACGUCUUAAGGCAGCGCCUCGCAUGCUUCCGGAUCAACUAAAAAAUUUAUUUGGAUUUAGCGAUUGUCUGUAAGUUACAUUUAUUAAUUUUAUCACAAAUUAGUUAGAUUUUAAUCACAAUCGAAUUUUUUGUUGCGGUUUCCCCCAACAGAUCGAGAGCCGGAGAGAAAAAAAAAAGCGUAAAAAAAAAGAGAGAAAAAAGAGAAUAAGAGUAUUUUGGUCAGUGUCCUGAAAAUUCGGAUUAAAUCUGUAAAAUUCAAAAUAGUGACCUAAUUUUGCAAAAGCUGAAAAUUUGUGAAUUUUUUAUGCAAAUUGGCCAAAAAGAAAAAAAGAUACCAAUUACUCUAAAAAAGAAAAAAGUAACGACCCCAACGAAACAGCUAGCCUAGAAUAUUUAUUUUGGAGUGAAAUAAAAUAAGAGCAUAAAAAUUACACAUGCAUGCAAGAAUUAAAUAUAUUGAAAAUUUAAACUUGAAACCAUUUAAUCCUAAUCAGAAUUUUUUUUUUCCUCACAUAUAUUAAUUUCUAUAAAAGAUGAUAUAAACAAGUAAUUAAGCAGCCGAAUUACAUAACAGUGCUCCAAAUAUUACCAUAAUCUAGAAUUUAAUAAAAGAGUGAACGGGAAAGAAAUUAAUAUUAUAUUUAGGAGAGAAUUGAUCACUUUUGAACACAAUUAUUAGAGGAAAACUUUUGCAUUUAAUUGAUAGCAGAUUAAGAUAAAUUUAACAAAAAAUUGAGUCCAACCUAUUAGGAAAUAAAAAUAAUUUUGGAAUUUUGAUAUUAUAUCUUGUAUAAUUUACAUGAACUAUAUAGUGGAUAUAAUUAAGUAAUAAAAAUAUCUUUUUUUUUGCAGCUUAAGCUAUUGAAGACGAAUAAUUGUUCACAACAUUUUAAUGUAAUGUUAGAAUAGUAGAUUCUCAGCUCGAAUCCGUCGGCUUAUUAAAAAUUCUCAAGCUCAAAUAUAAGAAAAAAAAAUGUUAAAUGUAAGUAUUUAAAAUAUUAUUAAUUCUUUGAUAUCUUAAGUUGUUAUCCAACAAUGGUUGUUUCAUACACUUUUAACACUAUAAUAUAUGUGCAAUAAAAAAGGUGGUUCGAUGAUAGCCGGGUCGGUUCUAAGAACACUGAUCUUAACGGGUUAGAUCCGUUAAAAAGGCCCGAAAAUUCGACUAUAAUUACAUACGUAUUGGGUUGUAGGCCGAAUCUUGUUUGUUCUACAAGAAGCCUAGUUGGGCCGGACUCGAGAAAAAAAAGGGGUUAAGGGGUGGAAUGACCCACAUUUCUAAAAAUGGGUGGGAUUAGCUAACUCCACCUCAAAUGGGUUAUUUCGGAUUAGCUAACCCCACCUCAAAUGGGUUAUCCCGGAUUAGCUAACCCCACCUAACCCCACCAAACCCCAACCAAACACUAUUUUCUAUUCAUAAUAACCUACUAUUCUUCUUAUCCCAGCUACUCCAACCAAACACUAUUUUUUACUAUCCUGGACUAACUCCAACCCCCAACCAAACACAAAAAUACUCUAACCAGAAUAACUAAUUUUUCCUUAACCCCGAACCAAACGGUAAAAUUUUUUUGGCUAAAUUAUAGAAACCGUCUUUUCACUUUUCUCCCCUGUCAUUUAAAACCCAUACUUUAUCCCCUUAGCUGGUGUUUGGUUGGGGGUUAAAGUGGAGGUAUAAGCGGGUUAAAGCCCCUUUAACCCCAAAUACUAUUUUUUAAUUAGGAUAACCCAUUUGGGGUGGGGUUAACAAACAAUGGGGUAGGGUUAACAAACUCCACCCCACCAUAGAAUUGGUGUGGGAUUAAAGUUAAUCCCACCCCAAUUCAAUUUAAAAUAUAAUUUUAAAUUACAAAUUUUAAAAAUUUAUAAUUCGUAACCAAAAAAUUAAUAUUUUUAAUUUUUAAUUUUAAAAUUUUAAAAUUUAAAUUUUAUUAUUUAAAUUUUAAAUUUGAUAUUUUAUAUUUGAAAUUUUUAAAAUGUUUAAUUUAUAAUCUUAUAAUUAAUAUUUAUAUUUUUAAAUUAUAAAUUUUAAAUUAUUAUUUAUAAUUAUUCAAAUUUUAAAUUUAAUAUUUUAUACUUGACAUUUUAAAAAUUUAUAAUUUGUAAUCUUAAAAUAUAUAUUUAUAUUUUUAAAAGUUAUCUAGUUAAAUUUAAAAUUUUAAAUAUAAAACAAUAAAUUUAAAUUCAAAAUAUAAAAAUUGGGAUAAAUUUAUUAUUUUUCUAUUUAUAACAACUCACUAUCCUUUUUAUUCAACCUAGUCCAACCAAACACUAUUUUACUUAUACCUGGACUAAACCCAAUUCUCAACCAAACACAAAAUUACUUUAACCUUAUCUUAACCCUGAACUUAACCUUAUCCCUGGAAUAACUAGUUCUUACUUAAUCCCGAAGCAAACGAAUUAAGAAAUGAAAAAUGAUCAAGAGGGGUACAUUGUGACAAAAUAACCAAAUUGUUUCUCAUCUUCUUCAGGGUGGGCGUGAAUGGAGAGGUGGACGAGGAUGAGGCGGCGGAGAUAGGCGAGGGCGUUUGGGUGGGCAUGGACAGAGAUCGGGGUGGGCGAGGGCGAGGCGGCAUGGCGGAGGGCAAGAAAGGAUAAGAAUUUCUGAAAUAUUUUGGGUAUAAAAAAUAGAAUAUAAAUGAAACCCUAACGGAACACGUACUGACGGCGGGGUCAAAGUGAACAUUUUUUAUUUUUUAAGAGAGCAAAAUAUAGGUUUUUGAAUGACAGAGGGGAAAGUGAGAAAAGGGAUAUUGACUGAGAAAUUUUUUGUUAUUUAGCCAAUUUUAUUUUUAUGCUUUUCUAUGUAGUUUGGUGUUUAAAAAAAUAUCACUAUACUUUUUAUUACUCUUUUUAUCAAGCUCUUUUUUUUUUUCUUAAAUUUAUUUUCUCUGUUUUAGACGUAAAAAGUCCGAGCCCGGCAAUCAAUACAUGCCAAGAAAAAAGAGGUUUCUUUGGCCCAAGUCAACUAUGGCUUGUGCAAAGUAUUACAUGAGUAAUUCGAAAAAAAAAAAAAAAAAAAAAAAGCAUCCUACUACAAUUCAAAACUCUUAAACCAAAUAUUUUACUUUUGAAACUAGAAGAGUGAUACCGACUGUCCCUAGAGCAAUUGGCAAAGGGCUUGAUAGUUGAUAUCCGAGACCCAAGUUUGAAUCCUAGUUGAUUCACAUUUAGUUUAUUUCUAAAUAAAAUAAACGAAUCAGAUAGCGUGCUACCUAUCUCUCAAAAAAAUAGUAUUUUCACAUUUAUGUUUAACACUGUUUUUUUGUGCGACUUUACAACUUGAUAGACCCAAGAGCCAGGAAAGCGAAUGCUUCUCUCUGAAAACUAAAGCUGUUAGUAGUUUAAUAUUUUAAAAAAACUUCAAAUACCACCGCUAUAGUUUCACACUAUUUUUUUUAGUACUUUGUGGUUUAAAAUGUAUCGAUUUAGUACCCCGUGGCUUUAUUUUAUUUUUUAUUAUCCCUUCUACUAUUUUUUUUUUCGUUAAAUCAGUCUUAAAAUUAAAACUAAAAUGUACUAAAGUGAAUAUUCGAUAAACCUAAAUGGGGUAUCUGAAGUUUUUUGUAUAUAAUUUAACGAAAUUUUACAGAGGAGCUGACGAAAAAAGAAAAAUGAAACCACCGGUUAUUAAAUUGAUACAUUUAAACCACAGGGUAUAAGUGAAAAAGUGCGAAAUCAUUGGGGUGAUAUUUGAAGUUUGCCCUAAAAUUUAAUAUUUUGUUACAUGCACCACCUAAACUUUGAAAAUUAAACAUUUGCCAUCCGGACUUUUAUUUAUUUUUUUAAUCAGUAAUUAAUUACCACUUGAGUUUAUAUUCGCAUCAAUGUAGAGUCAUUAAUUAAUAUUAGCUAAAUAAGCAAGAAAGAAUAAAUAACACAUACUUGUGAAAUAUACGGGUCUUGUUGAUGCUAAGAAUUUCUCUAGUUAUUACAUUUUACUUUUAAAAGUUCAAUAAUAAAAGAGAAAUUUUUUUUUUACUAUAAAAUUGAAUCGCGAUGUUCAAAAGGUUUUUCUAUAUAUAAUGGAGACUAGCUUACAUUUUUUUUUUAUAUUUUGACCAUUUCACUAAUGUUACGUCACUUCAUAUUGAUUAAAUACAAAUCUAGAUAGUUGAUUGUGAAAAGCUUGAAAAGUUUGGAUUACAAAUAUAACAUUUAUAAAGUUGAGUUGUUAUCUGUAAAUUGGCAAAAAUUUAUUGAUUGUGGUGCAAUAAAUCGUUAUAUAUAUAUAUAUAUAGAGAGAGAGAGAGAGAGAGAGAGAGAGAGUUGAGCUAUAUAGAAUACUUGUAAAAGUAUUAUGAGAGUGGUGCUUUUGAGUUUUUAGCCAUUGGAUGGAGAGAUGUGAGGUUGAGAUGAUGGUGAUAGGUGGUGGUAGGUGGAAUAGUGUUUGAUCCAAGGGCUAUUAGUAAUCAAGGAGUAGAUCCAAUGGCUAAAAACCUAAUAGCAUCAUGGCGGUAAUACUUGUAAAAGUAUUCUAGCUCAAUUAUAUAUAUAUAUAUAUAUAUAUAUAUAGNAAUAUAUAUUUAUAUUUUUAAAAGUUAUCUAGUUAAAUUUAAAAUUUUAAAUAUAAAACAAUAAAUUUAAAUUCAAAUAUAAAAAUUGGGAUAAAUUUAUUAUUUUCUAUUUACAACAACUCAUUAUUUUCUUAUUCAACCUACUCCAACCAAACACUAUUUUACUUAUAUCUGGACUAAACCUAAUUCUCAACCAAACACAAAAUUACUCUAACCCUAUCUUAACCCUGAACUUAAUCUUAUCCCUGAGAUAACUAGUUUUUACUUAAUUCCGAACCAAACGAAACCUAAUUAAGAAUGAAAAAUGAUCAAGAGGGAUACAUUGUGACAAAAUAACGAAAUUGUUUCUCAUCUCCUUCGGGUGGGCGUGAAUGGAGAGAUGGAUGAGGAUGAGGCGGCGGAGAUAGGCGAGGACGUUUGGGUGGGCAUGGAUAGAGAUCGAGGUGGGCGAGGGCGAGGCGGCAUGGCGGAGGGCGAGAAAGGAUAAGAAUUUCAGAAAUAUUUUGAGUAUAAAAAAUAGAAUAUAAAUGAAACCCUAACGGAACACGUACUGACGGCAGGGUCAAAGUGAACAUUUUUUAUUUCUUAAGAAAUCAAAAUAUAGAUUUUUGAAUGACAGAGGGGAAAGUGAGAAAAGGGAUAUUGACUGAGAAAUUUUUUGUUAUUUAGCCAAUUUUAUUUUUAUGCUUUUCUAUGUAGUUUGGUGUUUAAAAAAAUAUCACUAUACUUUUUAUUACUCUUUUUAUCAAGCUCUUUUUUUUUUUCUUAAAUUUAUUUUCUCUGUUUUAGACGUAAAAAGUCCGAGACCAGCAAUCAAUAUAUGCCAAGAAAAAAGAGGUUUCUUUGGCCCAAGUCAACUAUGGCUUGUGCAAGAAAAAAAAAAAAAAAAACCAGCAUCCUACUACGAUUCAAAACUCUUAAACCAAAUAUUUUGCUUUUGAAACUAGAAAAUUGAUACUGACUGUCUCUAGAGCAAGUGGCAAAGGGUUUGGUGGUUGAUAUCCGAGACCCAAGUUCGAAUCUUAGUUGAUUCACAUUUUUCGCUAAGUUUAUUUCUAAAUAAAAUAAACGAAGCGGGUAGCGUGCUACCUAUCUCUCAAAAAAAUAGUAUUUUAACAUUUAUGUUUAACACUCUAUUUUUUUGUGCGACUUUACAACUUGAUAGACCCAAGAGCAAGGGAAGCGAACGCUUCUCUCUGAAAACUAAAGCUGUUAGUAGUUUAAUAUUUUAAAAAAACUUCAAAUACCACCCCUAUAGUUUCACACUAUUUUUUUUAGUACCUUGUGGUUUAAAAUGUAUCGAUUUAGUACCCCGUGGCUUUAUUUUAUUUUUUUAUUAUCCCUUCUACUAUUUUUUUUUUUCGUUAAAUCAGUCUUAAAAUUAAAACUAAAAGGCACUAAAGUGAAUAUUCGAUAAACCUAAAUAGGGUAUCUGAAGUUUUUUGUAUAUAAUUUAACGAAAUUUUAUGGAGGAGCUGACGAAAAAAGAAAAAUAAAACCACGGGGUAUUAAAUUGAUACAUUUAAACCACAGGGUAUAAGUGAAAAAGUGCGAAACCACAGGGGUGGUAUUUGAAGUUUGCCCUAAUAUUUAAUAUUUUGUUACAUGCACCACCUAAACUUUGAAAAUUAAACAUUUGCCAUCCGGACUUUUAUUUAUUUUUUUAAUCAGUAAUUAAUGACCACUUGAGUUUAUAUUCGCAUCAAUGUAGAGNCAAUGAUGCGGCUUCUAAAUCGACGAUCGGUUUUGUUAGAUUUGAUUUACACUAUUAAAAAUAUUUGAAAACUAAAUUUUAUAAUUUUUCGAUAUCAUUUGGCUAGUGAUCAAAAGAUCUCAAAAUUUUAUAAUUUUUUAGUGUGUCGUUGCUAUUGGUAUAUCUAAAAUUUCCUCAAAAGCUUUUGUGUGUUAGCUUUUUGAUGUUUUACACAUAAAUUAGUUUGUACAACACAGAUCAGCAUAUACCAGUGAAUAUAUUGGCCGGUACGUAUAUUAAGCAUUAAUCUUUUUAUUAUUUGUGUUAUUGGUAUUUGAAGCACCCACCAUAUGAUGUUUCUUUUUUUUUAUUUAAAUGUGAGCUUGCGCUAGGUCUUUGGGUAAAAUUAGUUUUAAAAUUGUUUUCUCUAAUUAAAUUUUAUUAAUAAUUAAUUAACUUCUAGAGUUGAGUGGGUAGUUGGUUGAAUAGUAUGCGGAUGAAAAUAAUUAAAGGAUAGAUCUAAUGGCAAAAAACUCGAUAGUACCAAGAAUAGUAUAAUAGCUGGACACUCUCUCUCUCUUUCUCUCUCUCUCUCUCUCUCUCUCUCUCUAUAUAUAUAUAUAUAUAUAUAGUGUGUGUGUGUGUGAGGCUACUAUGUAUAUAUAUAUAUAGUGUGUGUGUGUGUGAGGCUACUGUGCUUUUGGAAAUAUGGAGCCUUUCGUGCUUUCAGGUCGUUUUUGAUGUUGCGACUUUCGAAUCGUCGAUCGGUUUCGUUAAACUUGAUCUAGAGUAUUUGAAGUAUCUAGAAAAUAAAUUUUAUGAUUUUUCGAUAUCAUUUGCCUAGUGAUUGAAAAGGUUCAAAAUCAAUAAUUUUAAUGGCCAUAGUGAGCCGUUUGCAAGUUUAACGGUGUAGAAAUAUUCAAAUCACGUAAAAUUUUGAUAGAAAACUUUUUACACUAUAUAAAAUGAGAUUAAUAUCUGUGAUCUAAAAUUUUAAUGUCAUAUUAUCACGUUUUGUAAGAUUUUUAUUUUUAGCCGUUGAUUUUGAGCCCCUUCGUUCACUAGGCAAAUAAUAUCGAAAAAUCGCAUAAUUUAUUUUGUAGGUACUUCAAAUACUCUAGAUCAAGUUUAACGGAGCCGAUCAACGAUUCGAUAGUCAUAACAUAGAAAACAAUCUAGAAGCACGGAAGGCUUCGUACUUUCAGAAGCAUAGUAGCCUCACUCUAUAUAUAUAUAUAUAUAUAUAUAUAUAUAUAAAAUUGAGCUAGAAUACUUUUAGAAGCAACAAUCACUUGGUGCUUCUAAGUUUCUAGCCCUUGGAUCUAUUCCUUAAUUACUAAUACCCCUUAGAUCAAACACAAUUCCACCUAUCACCAUAAUCUCAACCCUGCAUCUCUCCAUUUAAUGGUUAAAAACUCAAAAGCACCACCCCUUGGUGUUUUUAAGAGUAUUCUAGCUUAACUCUCCCUCUCUCUCUCUCUCUCUCUCUCUCUAUAUAUAUAUAUAUAUAUAUAAAAUUGAGCUAGAAUACUAUCAAUAGCAAACGGGCUCUGUUACUAUCUAGUUUUCGAUGAUUUAUAUAUAAUAGUUUCAUGUUGAAUAUUGAAAAGAAUUGGACCUAUAUAUAUAAAUAAUGUAGAGUGUAUUAUCUUUUGUCUAUAAGCUUUUGGAUUGGUUUGAGUACUUUUAUAUUGUUAAUUAUUAGUAUUAAUUUAAUGUGCCAGGAUUAUUAUGUAUUUGGAGUUAUAUAUAUAAAACUCUCCCCCCCCCCUUUCUCUCCACAGGAUUAUGCAAUUGAAGCUAUAAACACCUCUCUCUCUCUCUCUCUCUCUAAAGACUAAGCCAUGUCAAGGAGGGUGUCAUCAAGUGCAGAAAUCAGGAACUUAGCUGCAGUUUCAAGCGGCCUUCUUACUGCGUUUGUAGCUGCGAAUGAUCAAACCCUUCCUCGCCUCCGAAAACAUGUCAUAGCUCCUUACGACCGCCGCUACAGGUACCCCUCUCUCUCUCUCUCUCUCUUUCUCUAAGAGUUCAAGUCAGGUGCAGGGCACAGCAACAAAUUAAAGAUCAAACGUUCAAUCUUAAUCAUUGAUUGUCUCAUUCAUUUGCAGUAAAUAUGGUAAAUAAUCUUUUCUACCAUAUUUUCUGAAUAAAAGGUAGCGAGCUACCGCUUCAUUCAUUAAGCGACAUGAACCUAACAACAGAGACGAGAUAGCCAGAAUCUCCGGUUCACAAAGAGGGCAAGUAAAAUAUAAACAUAGAAAAUAAAAAAGACAAAAAAAGAAAAAGAGAAAGGAAAGAGGAGAGGGUUGGGUUGCAGAAAUGCAUAAAUUUUUUUUGCCGUUAAUGCCAUAAUUUACUAGUCUUUCUAUUUAAGCAGCAAUUAAUUAAGGAACUGCUUAGAUUGAUCUUUCAAACUUAUUCUAUUAUAGUGUGCACUUCAUUUGAGCCGGAUUCUCCAGUAAGUUAUUUUUCUCUAUUAGUUUAAGCUUUUAGCCUUAGUUUGGUUGGGGGUUAAAGGGUGGAAUAACCUCUUAACCCCCAUUUUAUCCCCAAACACUUCUAAAAAUAGGUGGGAUUAGCUAAUUCCACCUCAAAUGGGUUAUCCUGGAUUAACUAACCACACCUAACCCCAUCAAACACCAACCAAAUAUUAUUUUCUAUUCAUAAUAACCCACUAUCCUUCUUAUCCCACCUACUCCAACCAAACACUAUUUUUCACUAUCCUGAACUAACUCCAACCCCUAAUCAAACACAAAAAUACUCUAACCCCACCUUAAUCCUAAAUUUAACCCUAUAUCUGGAAUAACUAGUUUUUCCUUAACCCCGAACCAAAUGGUAGCUUAGAGAUCUAAGCUGUUAUUCUCAUCCUAUCAGAGUAGGAUGCCUCCAUUUGCGUAAUGCGCAUGGAGAAAUUUCGUGGACAUAAUCAAUAGAUCAUGCAUGUUUUCUAUGAGCCGGAGUUGUUUUAUUGGUUCGGUCCACUGGACCAGUUCCAAGCAAUAGUAGUUUUCCAUAGAAACACCUCUCUCAUUUGAGGGUGCAACAUAACAAAGCACAAGAUUUGCUUUUUAUCUUUUCCUUUUCCUCUGUAAUUAAUACACCCAUAUCUCAAUUUCUGUACACAUUCAUUGAAGUGAGAUUUUUUUUUUAAUUUUUAAAAAGCCCCCUUAUUACGCAAGCUAGGUUUUGUUAUUUUCUUAUUUAUUCUCAAGAUAAUGUUUAUAUUAUAUUAUAUUUUAUUAAAUAAAUCGCUCAUGGGAUGUGAUAGUAAACUGUCUUAGACAUAUAUAUAAUUAAGAAAUGGACAAAUAAACUAAACAUACAAAAUGUGUGCGUGUGCUCAUGCAUGUAUACAAAUAUAUAUACACAAGGACACUAAUUUGCAUCCAUAUGUACAUGCAUAUAUACGGACGCACGUACGUACAUGUACUACACGUUCACACGUACACAACACCAACAUCCUUUUCUCAAACAAAUAAAAGUGUAAAACCAAAAAUACAUGCAAUGAGAUAAUAAUUAUAUAAAAAAAAUCCAUUAGUGAGUCAUUUGCAUGCAUAUAUUUGUAGUCACUACAAACUAAUUAUACAGUUACGUUUUAACUGAUGAACACGAUCUAAUAUGUAUUAUAUAUAUAUAUAUAUAUAUAUAUAUAUAUAUAAGCAUCAUAUAUACUCUCGCUCUAUAUCUCUCUUUUGUUUCUUUUUUUUUUUGUUUUGGUAAUUAUGUUGUUGUGAGUAACAUUAAUUGUUAUAUAUGUUUCAACAAUUUACAUAGGUGGUGGCAAAUGUUUCUGAUCCUCCUGGUCAUCUACUCUGCUUGGGCCUCGCCGUUCGAAUUAGCCUUUCAAAAGGUGGGCUCGGGCUCGCUCCUAGCCAUCGAUCUCGUCGUCGACGUGUUCUUCGGCGUCGACAUCAUUGUCUCCUUCUUUGUCGCGUACUUAGAUGGCUCAACGUAUCUCCUCGUCGACGACCGCAAAAAAAUAGCCUUGAGGUAUACAUACAUACAUUACUCGCGUCUUACUUAUGUACGAAAAAUUACGAUUUUACUCUAUUUUAUUAAAUUAUUUAUACACUGAACUAGUUAAAAUAUAACACAUAUGCUCGGAAAGAAAAAAUAAAAGGUUUAGGGUUUCGAAUACAAAUGCUACAUUGUCUAAAGACUUCGUCUCUUUUAAGAGAUUGCAACUGCAUUCAUAAAUUCUUUUUUUUUAAAAAAAAGAGAGCUUGAAAAAAUUGUGUGCACCGGGUGUGCCAGUACAAUUGUGCACCGACUCAAUUCUUUUUAAAAUAGAUGGAGAGUUUGUUAACAAUUGAGGUGGAAUUAAUAGGCAGGAUCUGAGAAUAUAUAUUAACGUUUUUACUCACGUGCAUAAUGAAUAUAAAAGAACAUAUAUUUGAUUGGUGAAACAGAAGAUAAAAAUUUAACCUGUUAAAUACUAAAAGUAGAGAUUAAAUUCACGUUCAUACAGAAAUAAGAGGGUUUAGAAUUGAUUCUGAUAUUAUACUACUGAGAAGAUCGACUUAGUAAAAAAUAAGCCCAGACAUAUAUAUUAAUAGUAUGCGUUUUCAGAUACGUGACGAGGCCGUGGUUCGCGAUGGACGUGGCGUCGACGUUGCCGUUCCAGGUCAUCUACCGGAUCGUCACCGGCAAACACAACGGUGGAUCCGUCUUUGGCUUCAUCAAUCUCCUCCGCCUGUGGCGGCUCCGGCGAGUCAGUACCCUCUUCACAAGGUAUUAUGUUUCUAAAGUGAAUAAUUAUUUGGGUAAACUUCAAAUACCACCCAUGUGGUACGUUUUACACUUUCUCAUUUUAGUACCAUAUGGUUUAAUAUAUUAAAAUGUAUCAAUUUAGUAUCCUGUGAUUUUUCUUUUCUUUUCGUCAACUACUCCGUUAAUAUUUCGUUAAAUUAUAUAUAAAAAAUUUCAGAUAUCUUACUUAGGUUUAUCGAAUAUUCACUUUACUAUCUUUUAGUUUUAACUUUGUCACUGAUUUAACGAAAAAAAAUUAAUGAAUGAAAUAAUAAAAAGAAAAAAAUAAAAUCACGGGGUGCUAAAUUGAUAUAUUGUAAAGCACAUGGUACUAAAUUAAAAAAGUGCGAAAUCACGUAAAUGGUAUUUGAAGUUUCCCCUAAUUAUUUUAAUGAAAUUAUUUUUGUGUCUCUUCACAUUGGUCAAAAAAACACUUUAACUUUAUUUAAUAUUUAUUUAAUACUUUAUUAAUUAUUAGAGAAUAAUAUUGCUACAUAAUUGGCUAUGUUAUCAGCUAGUACAACAGGACAUGGUUUAAAUAAUAGGAUUGAUUGGUUAGCACUAUUUGUAGAGAAUAUAAUAAGUUUUUUGAGUUGAAAUGGAUGUAUUGAAGCUUAUUUUAUGUAAAUGAUUGGAGGGAAAAGUCAAAUUAGGGUUAAAAUUAGUCCUAUCAUGCACAUCAGUACUACAUGUGGUGUCUCUUAAUUAGGGUAUUGAACAUGCACAUGAAUAAAAAAAAAAGUCUUUUUAAAAGAUGUUAUUAUAUAUUUGCUAUUGAAUAUAAACUGUUUAUUUUAAAUACUUUAAAUUUUUAGAGAAAUUAUUAUUUUACAUGAGAGUAGGGUCCAAAUUUGAAUCCUACCACACUUCGAUCCCUUUUAAUUUCUCUCAUAUCCAUCAUGGAUGUGAUGAACUAUGUUAAAUAAAUUUAUUAAUCCUUGUUAAAUAUGAUAAUCAAAUAAUGAACAUAUUCAGUUAACCUCUACAUUGGUUGAAUAAAUUUACUCUAAAGCAAAAUCAAAAGACAUAUCAUAUUCACAAUAUUAUAUGUUAUCAAAUGAUAAUGAAUUUAUGAGGUGGCACUAGCACUAGCUUAAUUAAGAAGAAGAGCUUUGGACCAUUAAUAGCAAUUUCGAUGUAUUCCACCCUGCGACUUUUGUGUGCAGAGAAAAUCAAAACUUUUUAUUAGAAUUUUUAUUUUUUGAGUCUAAAAAAGCUUAUCUCAGCUUUUCCUUCACGGCAAAAGCUCCUAACACAUGUGUUCUCAUUGGAUUUCCUGAAUUUUCAGUCAUUAUCAGUACAAGAUCUUCUGGUACGUACUAUCAGAAUAUUUUGUCAAAUUUUGAAUAGAAAAGUUUAACAAGGAAUACCUUUUGGGAUGACGUUUGGUGGUGGCCAUUGAAGCAUUAAUGCAAAAUAUUAUUGGCGCAACGUACUUUGAACUUGUCAAAAGAAAUUGAGUUUAAUGAAUUCUGUCAUACUUUUUCUAACAAAGAAAACGAAAAAGUUACCGACUGUCCCUAGAGCAAGUGGCAAAGGGUUUGGUGGUUGGUACCCGAGACACAAGCUCGAAUUCUACUUGAUUCACAUUUCCAGCUAAGUUUAUUUCUAAAUGAAAUAAACGAAGCGUGUAGCGUGCUACCUAUCUCUCAAAGAAAACAAAAAAGUUGUUGUUGUCAAAAGCGUCACUUGUCGAUUAUAUUUUGAUGUUGUUGUUACAAAGUGCACAAGAGGAAAAUUCACAGAAGAGAAAACUUUACAUAAUUCUAAAAAGAAAAACACUUUUUUUUUCUUUUUUCAUUUUUCUUUUUCCGCCUUUUUUGGUGUUAAGAAGCUAGUGGAAUGAAACUAGUAGUCCAAUAUGGGCUCUUGUGCUAGCUAGUUGAGAAUGCCUACUUUUUUUCUUUUUCUUUUUCUUUUUCUUUUUUUUAGAUAGCCAAGGUAAGGAGGUGACAAGCAAAACCUCUGAAGAUUGCAACACAACAUUCAUACUAAUGCUGCUUACUUGGCCCUACUGCAGCUUUUGUAGAAAGGCCACUAGAGCCGAGUAGAACUGUUUCAAGAAGCAAUGUCAGUUGCUAUGAAAAAUCCUUGCAAGAUCUUUGUAUGCAAAAAAAGCAUAAAUUACACAAAUUUUGGACCCCUCAAACUUGCAUGUUUCAACUUCUUGGUAUAGCGAAAGAUCGAACGUUUUAAUCUGCCAAAUACGUGGCUGUUGCUUUUUGGAGUAUACAAGUGAUUCCAAAAGCUAGUCAAAUGUAGCAUCCUCCCUGCAUAAUUAAAGGCUAAUCAGCAACAUGGCAGCAUUUCAUCUGAUUUUGUGCAUGAGAGGAAUUACGCAGACAUCAAACAUUUAGCAGCAGAAGUUUCAUUUUUCUUUUUCUAUCAUACCCAAUAAAAACUAUCUUCAUUCGGUUUAUAACUUAAAAUUGGUAAACGAGAAUGUAGUUGAAUGUACAGAAAAUAGAUUCUUUGAUUGAAAUUCAGCAUCAAAAACUAAGACGAAUUCUUGGACUGUACAGGUUGGAGAAAGACAUCCGCUUCAGCUAUUUCUGGACGAGGUUUGUGAAGCUCAUUUGUGUAAGUUCAAGCUCCUAAUUAUUUCAUUGCGAAAGAUACUCUUUACCGCACUAGCAUCAGUAGUAACUUCGACUUAGGCGUUUGUACUCGAAGGCCCAUUCGAUGAAGUUACAAGUACUAGAGUGCUAAUUUAGGUUUAAGUGAGAAGUCAAAAUGUAUAAAAUCACUAAAAUAUGGGAUUUGUAAACCUGGAACCAUCAAACUCCGCAAUUUUGUCGCCUUAAUUUCCUAUGUAGUAGUAAUAAUAGAUACUUGGUUAUGAGUGUUUUUCUCCUUAAUUGGUUACAGGUGACAUUAUUUGCGUUGCACUCAGCAGCCUGUGUAUAUUUCUGGCUGGCGAUGCAUUACCGUAUAAAACAAAAAACAUGGAUUGGGAGCCAGAUACAUGAUUUCAUGGACCGCAGCAUAUGGCUUGGGUACACCUAUGCCGUGUACUGGUCCAUCACUACUCUCACCACCGUCGGUUACGGGGACUUGCACGCAGAAAAUACGGGGGAGAAGCUGUUCAACAUCUUCUUCAUGCUCUUCAAUAUCGGCCUCACCUCCUACAUCAUCGGAAACAUGACCAACCUCAUAGUCCACAGCGCAACGCGAACAUUUAUCAUGGUACUCCUCGCUCUGAGCCCGUUGUCUAAAAGGUACCGAAAGCCAAUUCUAUCACCGAAAUGAAUGUGAAAUUUAAUGCAGAGGGACAAAGUACACCAAGUCUUGCGAUUUGCAAGCAAGAACCUGCUCCCCGAGGGGCUGAGAGAACAGAUGCUAGCACACAUGCAGCUCAAGUUCAAGACCAUGGAGCUGCAGCAGGAGGAAAUUCUUGCCGACCUGCCCAAGGCGGUGCGGUCGAGCAUCGCGCAGCACCUGUUCCAAAGAACGGUCGAGUCAACCUACCUAUUCAAGGGGAUCUCUCCAGACUUCAUAGCACAGUUGGUAAGAAUCUUCCAUCGCUACAUAUUAUUCUAAAAACCUAACCAACUUCCUAAUAAGAGAUGACAAAACUAUUUGAGUAGAAAUAAUCAACCACAUCUGCUUAUCAGCAUGAAUGCUACUUAUCGCGUUUGUAACAAAAGUUUAGAUAAAUUUUUAACAAUAUAGAUCAGUAAGAAGUAUCAUGAUCAUCUAGUUAAUUUCUUGAUCUGUUAUGGCAGGUUUCUGAGAUGAAAGCAGAAUACUUUCCACCUAAAGUGGACAUAAUUCUACAGAAUGAGAUGCCAACAGAUUGCUAUAUUAUAGUCUCAGGGGCAGUGGUAAUAAUAGCGAGCUUUUUUCGAUCGUUUCGUGCGAUACUCUUUCAUUUGUAUACUUAUGCUUAUAUACUGGAGAUAUCGGCCUAAUUUUGCAGGAUGUUCUAACUAACAAGAAUGGAACCGAGAAGGUAAGAUUCAAACUACAAGAGUUAUUUCGUUAACCGGAAAUAUAUCAUCAUGUUUUUCAUAGGCAAACAAAGAAAAGUAAUACUACAUGCUGAAAUGACCAAAUGUUACUUUGGUUCAAAAAUUGUGAUCUUUUGUAAUAACUAAAAUUUCUAACUAUGUGUGCAACUCUCACUCAAAAUCAACACACUAGGAACACACUAAGAGAUGUUUUUUUUUCUCUAUCAAGUGCUCAUUAGAAUACCAACUUAUAUAUAUAUCUCUCUUCUUUUUUUUUUUCUUCUUUUAAAUAGAAAAAGGAAACCAAAAUAAUUUUUUUCUUGUCCUUUGAAAGCAAAGAAUUAAUACUGAGAAUACUGAGAAUACUGAGAUUUUUUUUUUUUCCUGUUUGGCUCGCCUCGGAAGCCUUAGCUGCUUCCAUACUGUACGCUUAAUUCAUUUCUCAAUGAAUGAAACAUGUAGCUCGUCUUCCUCUUUCUCAAAAAAAAAGUAACGGUAUAUGGGUUUCUAGUUUGUGUCAAAAUUAGGUCCUGCAGAUAUGGUAGGAGAAAUUGGAGUGAUCUUCAACAUGCCUCAGCCUUUCACGGUACGAAGCAGAAAGCUUUCCCAGGUCGUUCGGAUAAGCCAUCAGCAUCUUAGGCAGAUCGUUCAGCCGUGCAACAUAGAUGCGGAAGUAAUUUUCUCCAAUUUUCUUCAGGUUUGGCUCCGAAUUUAAAAAAUUCACAAAGAAAGAAACUGAAAAUUUAAUUGGCUCAAGGAUAUAUUUUGUUUUGCUGGAACUUCUGCAGAAAUGCUAUUUGAGAAACACAGUAUUCUUAUUACAACAGCCACGAGUAGAAGCUUCUUACAUACUUUUGAAGCCUAAUAAAUUGCAGAAUCCAACUUAUGAUUCUUCUUACAUUUCCAGUACCUCAAAAAUCUAAG
rnacentral:lncRNA from 1 species